UCAACCCACCUCGCACCUUCGACAAGUGAAAGCUCACAUCAAGGAUCGGAACAGGAAAAGGAAAAGGCCCAAUUGAAAGGGGGCAUUUGUCUCGGUUUUAUGGUUCGGAUUAAAAUUGAACUUUUCUACUUUGGAUUUGUAUUAAUAUUUAGGAUGAUUUCUUUUAUUUAAAUCAUUAGAUGUAGAAGUAGUAAUAUAUUAUUAUGUAUUAUAUGCUUUGUUUAAAAUUUUUUUGUAGGAAACCCAAAUGGAAAAGGCACAGCGAUUUUGAGCUUUCCAUUCUCAAAGUAGGAAGCACCCACUAAUAACCUAUGGAACUAUCACGAUCAAUCAUGUAACUUUUGUCCUUAUCUUUUUAGGGGAUACACAUUAAGGGCAAUGUGUUAACUAAAGUGUGGGAGUGAUAGAAAAUUUGUUUUAAAUUUUUAUGUUUUUCUCUGAUUCUUCUUGUCAUUUUUGUGCUUAAGCUUGUAGAAAUACAAGUGAUUGGUUAGGAGCAUGUACAGAGGUAGAUUGUAUUUGCAAUAAAUUUGGCAUGAGGAUAGGUUAUUUUAAAUAUUUUAUUAUUAGACUAUUAAGUUUUAUAUAUUACACUGUAAACAAGCAUCAAAGUAAUUGAAUGUACCAAAUGAAAUAAAGAAUGCAAGGAAACAAGCAUGCUAGUAUGAAUGAUAAAUUGUCAAAUUUGUGGUUGUUUGGUUGAUUAGAGUUGUGAAUAUUGUGAUACCUAGGGAUGACCUAAGGCAUUGUUUGGAAUACACCAAUAGCCAAAAAUCUAACCCUAUUAUUUAUCUUUAGUGCCUAUUUUUUUUUAGCCAGAAAGCACUUCUUGAUGAACCUUCAUACAAAACCCGAGCCAAAAUAUAAAUUUGUAGUAUCAAUUUCCAUUGGUCCUGAAUUGUAUGACUAUAGACAUCUGGCCAUACAUAUUGAAGGUUAAACAGAUACAUUAUGGCAGAUUAUGUAAAAAUAGAGUGAAAUAGGAGGGAUCAAUGUGAUAUAGUAAUUAUAUCUUAGCCAAUAUGUGUAAUAAAAUAAAUAUUCAAGAAGAAAAUCAAAAUGACUAGAAAAAGUACUUGAAAAGUAAAAAACAUUUCUAAGUGAGAUGUAUUGAAAAAAAAUUGUGACAAACUGACAAAAGCAAGAAAAGUCCGUUCAUUAGUACACAAAAACAUGUGAGCUAACCAUGAUUGUUAUAUUACGCUGUGACUGAUCCGCCGUAAGUUAGUGUUGCAGAUUAAAAUAAUUCUUACAUUUUAUGAGCUUGAAAGCAAGAAUUUUUAGUAGGUUUUAAUUAUGUUUUUGUAAAUUCUCGUUAAGUUAAUAAAAUAUGCAAAUUGAGUCUUUUAUUGACCUGAGGGGUCAAAUGAGGCCCAAGGGUGAGCUAACUGAGAAACCGUAAUUUAUACAUAUUUUUAUCUCAUGCUUAACACAUUUUACGGAUAAAUUUUCCUUAGAAUUGGUGAAUUCGAUGGUCCUAAUGCCUUAAUUUCAUGUUUUAUACUUAGGCGAGCAUAGGAGAGCGAAAGGAACGAGAAACAGGUCAAAAACGGAGAAAAUGGGCCACCGUAUGAAAUCAACACGGUCUGGACUUCCUCACACGGGCAGACACAUGGCCGUGUAAAUUUGGUAGAAUUGAAGCACAACUCAAAGGGGUAGAACACACGCCCGUGCCAUUCUAACAGGCUCGAGCACGGCCUGAAGUAAUCGCAUGCGGGCGUGUCACACGGACGUGUCCCUACCGAGCCCAAGUUGAGUCCAAUUCAGAAAAGGCUAAUUUUGAGGGUUCUUAGACAUUCCAAAGCCUAUAAAUACACCCUAGAGGAGGAAGAAAAGGGGAGGCAUAGAGAGGAAGGAAGGAAUUACUCGAAGAAAGCCAAUUGAUCCAUCUCAGAAGUAUGAUUCAUCAUCAAGACUGAAGAUCCCCCCUCAAUUUCCCUUUAGGAGUUUUGGGUUUUCUUUAUGUUUUGUAUUCAUUAUUCUUCUGAGAUGUUUUCCUUUUUAGUUGUGAACUAAAUUCCCUAAAUACCUAAGGGGAAUGAAACCUAAGACAAAUCUUGUUAUUAUUUUCUGAAUUGUAUGAUAAAUAUUUGACUUGUUCUUAAUUAUGUAUUCUUAAUUCUUGUUUUGAUAUUCCAGGAUAUUAAUUCAAAUUAAGCUCUUAUUCAGAGGAGGAAUAGACCCUGUCUAAGAGUACAAUUGUCAUAAUUAAGCGGAGUUGAUAGCGCGCCUAGAGAUAGGGUGACAAGAUUUUACCGGAUUAGGGUGAAACCUAAUAAGGAGAUCCAUAGAUCGAGUUAAUGCAACCCUAGGGUGUUAAUUAGAGAAAAUUCUCAAUUAUUAAAUCUAAGGAUUAGACGUUAUUAUUCUUGAAUAGGGAGAAUAACAUAACUUAAGGAUCUCUAUGGAGUAAGUUAAAUAAAUAAAUCGUCCGAUUCAGAGUCAAAAUAACAUAUAAAGUCUAGGUGGAUUUUUCCUUAGGUAUUGUCUUAGUUCAAUCGUUUUCCAAAAGUAAUCCCCCAAUUCUAUUUUCUGUGCAUUCUUAGUUUAGUUAAUUGGUUAGUUAAAACAAACCCCCUUAUUCUUAGGCUAGAUAAUAAAAAGACAGUCAUUACUAGUACUUUUAGUUCCUUUGGGUUCGACAAUCCAGUUUUGCUAAAACUAUACUACUAUUUGAUAGGUACACUUGUCUACAUCGUGAUGAUUGUUAGUUUCAAGAACGAUUAAUUAUAAAUUUAUAAAACUUAUCACACAAAAUCGCGAUCACUAACACAUUUUGUGCAUUUGUAGGAAACUAUUAGUAGGUGUACUAAACAGAUACUAGUCGCUAUGUCUCAACACAGAUGACUCAAUGUCGCAACAGAGGGAGUAGAAUGGAGAAAGCCUAAGACUACCUUUGAUGUCGCAACACAGGCUAAUGGUAUCACGACACAGGUCCUGGUGUGUUGCAACAUCAACUAUGUGACGAAAAUUAAAACAUGAAGGAAUGGCGUUUUGGUCUGAAUAAUCAAACUUAAAGCUAAAGAACGUCAGCUAACCUAGGGUGAAGGACGACGGCCACCUGAAGGAUAUAAAUAGGCUUAUUUGUCACUUUUUAUGGACACCAUUCCUUUAACCAAAAUUCUCUUUGUCAAAUUUAGUUUAGUUUUCUUUUGUUCUUAGUUUUAGAUUUCUUUCAUUUGUUAUUGUUGAUUUCAAGAAAUCUGAAGUGUAGAAGCAUUUAAACUUUGUGGAUUUGUAAUUAAUCUCAAUACAAUCAGACUCUUUCAUUUACUUUAUCUUGUUGAUUUAAUCAGCAUGCUUUCUCUUUAUAUUGAUUUCAUAAUGUCUAUGAAAGCCAUGAGGAUCUAAUCCCUCUAUAGGGGAAUAGCGAGUGGAGGUAUGAUCUAUUAACCAUUUUAUAGGGUUAGUCAACAGAUCAGUUGUUUGGGAAAGAAAGAACGUGAAGCAAACCCUAACCUUGACAACCUUGGAAAAUCAUCAAGGUGGAAAUUAUCCCAAAAUUGGUAUUGCCCAUUCAUGAACACCUUCACCCCCAAUCUAGUCUAGACUAUGAUUUUGGAAGAUAAGUAGUUCUUGCUGACUCAUUAUGUUAGUGGAAGAUCAGAAAAUCCUGAGAGGGUAGUGACUAGUUGAUUGACGAGGAACCCGAAAUGACAGCUGAUGGAGAUUACCUAAGAAGCUAAUCACCCAUAAUCAAGAUUUGAUUUAUCCUCCCUUUCUAUCUCUUGAAGUCUAUUUCUUUUAUGUUUGUCUUUAUUAUUAUAAAAACCCUAAAAAUCCUUUAUUUCUGUUCAUUCAUAAUAUAGUUUAUUAAAGUACUAAUUAGAUAUAUUGGUGUUUAGGUUAGAAUUAAUUUAGCACUAGCCUCCCUUGGGUACGAUUCUCGGAAUAUUUACUACGUGUUUCAUUAUAAACAAACUAUAUUACAACUUGACUCGUAAACUUGCGGACACUGCCUCAAUUUCUAUAUAUUUUGUAGCAAUAUUCACACUCUAUACUAUAUUAUUAUUUAUUUCCUUAAAAAUUAUUAUUAUAUUGCAUGGUGCUUAGAUUAUAUUAAUAAUGUGAAUAGCGGUUGAAGAUAAUAAAGCAUAUAAUGGUUCUUGUCAAGCAUGAUUUUUUUUAUUGAUAUAAGAUAAUAGAUUAGAAGUACCUAAGUAAGAAUGUUUGAUGAUACCAUAUGAGAUAUAAGUCUUAUAGAUAGUCGUAGAGACAUGAAAGCUUGAAUUGAUUAUUAUUCAUUCAGUUUAAUUCGAAGCAUAAAAGAAAUUGUGUAUGAUGGGAUGCUUAAGGCAUUGGUUGAAUAACUAGUUCUCAAAUGACUAUACUUAAUGCUAUGAAUCCCUAGUCUCUUUAUUUGAAGCCUAAUCACUCAUUUUUUAUGAACUUACAAAAAUUGAAACCUAAAGACCACAUAGAAAUUGAAAACUUGAACUCUUCCCUAUCAUUGGUCCUUCAAUGCAUUAUGAAAUAGACUUCAAGCCAUAGAUAUUGAGGUUUAGGUAGAUACAUUACGAUAUUUUAAAAAAAGAGGAAGAAAUAAUAUGGUACAGUGAUUAUAGGUCGGGCAAAAUGUGCAACAAAGAAGAAUCAAGAAAAAGACAAAAGUAAAAACAAGGAGAAAAAUUACAGAACAGAAACAAAAGAACUAUGAUUGAGAAACGAGUAAAAAGUCAAAGUGACAAAACAAGGAGUCAGAAAAGUAAGAAAACUCAGUCAUCAUUGCACUAAAACUCGUCAAGCCAACCAUAGUUGCUAGUUUUAUAUUGUAUCCUCCUACAUGGAGAGAUAAGGUAGGUGGGAGAGGCAGACAAAAGGUGGAGAGCUUGGAUGGGACAUUAAAAGGGAAGAUAAGGAACAAUGUCAUGUACCUAACUGUUUCUAGUGUUUUAACGAUUUUGAGCCAUAUCUUUCUUUGAACUCAUACCAUCUUAAGCCUUAGAACAUUACAAGCCUAGAAGACCAAUGUGACUUAAGUGUUCUCUGUGCAUAAUCUUCCGAAAUUGCUAACAAUUUUAUUUAAUGAAUGUUUUUAUUCACAUGAUUGUGUCUUCUAUAUAUCUAUUUGAUUUAUGUUAAUGCUGAUAUUGCUAAACAUUUGGUCAUGCGAAUUGUUUCUAAUUUGUUUGUAAUGUAACUUUUUAAACUAAUACUAAUUUAUUUUAAAAUUUUUGAAGGCAUCAAACUAUCAAGAUUAAGUUACAUGUGUGAUACGAAUUGUUAUACCUUUAAUAUUUGACAAUCAUGUUCUUAGUAGAAAUAAAAUCCAAAUGACGUCUUCUUAUUGCAUCUUGUGUGUCUAGACUUGGUUUUCUUAAAGACAAGAGCAUCUUCUUAUACGAUUAUACGAGGGCUUUUCCCCAUGAUUCACUGAACUAUUAGGCUUUUGAUCUAAGAUAUCACAAUCUUCUGAAGGAUUCUGCGAUGAUGCGCGUAAUCGAUCUCUUAUUAGCUUAUUCAAAAGUCAUUUCUAGAGGAAUGGGUCAUGAAAGACUAAGUGAGGUUCAUUUUACAUCCAUCUUCACUAACUCUAGUUUGUUUAAAGAAAGAAUCCAAGUCAAUUUUUUUUAUGAUUUGCCUUUUUGCUUAUUUAUUUAUUUUAUGUUUUUUGAUUUGGUUUACUCUUAUUUACAACUAAAUGUUUUUCUUUUUGUUUUCAUAUCUUUUUUUCAUUUAUUUUAAUUAUAUGUACAUUGCUUGAGGACAAGCAAUGACUUAACCGUGGGCAAGUUUGAUCUAUCAUAAUUUGGUGUUGUAGGUUAAACUAAUUCUUACACUUUAAGAGCAUGAAAGCAAGCAUUUCUAAUAGGUUUUAAUUAUGUUUUUGUAAAUUCUUGUUAAGUUAAUAAAAUGUGUAAAUUAAGUCUCUUAUUGCCCUUAGGGGCUGAAUGAGGCUUAAGAGAGAGUUAACGCAUUUUGUAAGUGUAUAAGAGACCUUUAGAAGGCAUAUUAAACUGAUACUAGCCACAACACGGGAUGACCGAUGUCGCAAUAUAGGGAGCAGAAUGGAAAAACCUCAAGACUACCUUCAAUGUCGCGACACAGCCUGAGGGUGUCGUGACAUACCCUUGAAGGUAUCCCAAAAUGAGUAUAUUGACUGCUAUGUCGGGACACAGGUCUUAUGUGUAAAGACAUCGACUCUAGGAUAGAAAUUAAAUACGAAACAAGGGUGUUUUGGUCUACACAUUCAAACUUAAAGCUCAGGAACAUCAACUAACCUAGAGUUGAGGACAACGGCCACCUAACCUCUAUAAAUAGGCUCCUUUAGCACAUGUUAUAGACAUCAUUCACUUAGCCUAUAUUUUCUUUAGUAAAUUUAGUUUAGUUUUUCUUUCGUUUUUAGGUUUUAGAAUUUAUUUCAGUUAUUUUUCAUUGUUCUUAAGAGAUCUGAAUUUUGGAAAGCAUUCAAACUUUGUGGAUUCAUGAUUAUUAUCAAUACAAUCAGGCUUUUUCAUAUACUCUAUACUAUUGAUUUAAUUAGCAUGCUUUCUCCUUAUAUUGAUUCUAUACUAUCUAUGAAAACCAUGAGGAACUAAUCCCUCUAUAGGCGAUUAGCGAGUAGAGGUAUGAUCUAUUGACUAUUCUGUAGGGUUACUCUAAGGAUCAACUAUUUGGGAAAGGAAAAACGUGAAACAAGCCCUACGCCUAACAACCCCGUGAAGUCAUCAAAGUGGGAAUUAACUAAAAAUUGGUAUGGCCCAUCAGUGAACACCUUUACCCCAAGCCAGUCAGGAUCGUUAGGUCAAGAUAAGUAGUCAUUGCUGACUCAUUAUGUUAGUGAAAGAUGGGAAGAUCCUGCUAGGGUAGAGACUAGCUGAGAACUCGAAACGAAAAUUGAUAGGGAUUACCGAAGAGAGCUAAUCACCCAUAAUCAAGAUUUGAUUCAUUCUCCUUCUCUAUAUCUUGAAGUUUAUUUCUUUUAUGAUAUUGUGUUUUAUUAUUAUAAAAACCUUAAAAAUAUUUUUUAUUUUAUGUUUUCCUACUAUAAUUAAUUUAAACUACUAAUUAGAUCUUUUAGUGUUUAGGUUAGAAUUGAUCUAGCACUCGCCUCCCUUCGGUAUGAUCCUCGGAGUACUCACAUAAACUUGCAUAAAACUCAUAAAUAAUUUAAUUUUCAAAUUUUUUUAAUUUUUUUCACCUGGUAGUUAAAAUUUGAAGGUUUGACAUACAUAUGAAAUCAUUUCCUUCAUGUUGAUUUUGCAAGAUUUUCCAUGCCUCUUUAGCAAAUUCAAAUACAAAAAUGAAUUUACUUGGUCCACGUCAACUCCACUAAAAAUGGCAUUUAGGGCUUGUGAAUUUCCAUGUGAAGUCUUUCUUUUUACAUCAAUGUAUUUACUUCUUUCUUUAGGGUGUGUAGUUUCAUGAGCAACAGUUAUAAUAAUGGAGUCCAUCCAUUUUUAAUAGCUUUCUAGUUUUUUUUUUACAGACAUAAUGAAAACUCUUAUACAAGCGUUUCAUUAAGCAUAGUUUGUUUAACCAAGUAGCAAUGGGGAUCGAGUAAUUGAACCACCUUACUUCAUGGAUUCCAUUGUCAUAAAUAAAACAAAGGAUCACCUUUUACAGAACUUUUGAAGCUUUCUCUAAUACCAAUUGAAAAAGCCUUGGUUUGUAUCUAGAAAAAAAGUCUUGUUCUAAUAGGCUUUUGAACAAAAUCAAACAAAAUAGACCAAAAGAAAAGUAGAGCAAAAGCCUAGUAAGGAGAGAUGACACGUAAUGUAUGUUAAUGAAAAUCAAAUUCCCCAAUCUUAUUUUGUAGACCCUCAAUCAAUGAAUGAUUUUAUUCAAUAAUUGUUCGAAUCACCUAUUGGCUUAAGCCUAAUCUACCAUUGCAAAAAGAAGUAGUUGUAACCCUAACAUCAAGCCCAAUUGUUACAAAUCACUCACCCAAAUUCCUCAAAAUACAAUCAGUAAACCUGUUGUAGGGAUACACCCGAUUAAGCAUCAAACAAAGUGAAUAAAAUAAGAAUCAAAAAGAUCGAACACGUAAAUUUUACGUGGAAAAAGUCCUCAAGGGAAGGAUAAAAAAAACCACAGGCAGAAAGGGAUUUCACUAUAAUAAUGGAAAGUACAAAAUAUGAAGAGAAUUAAAAGAAAACUUAAAGCCAUACAAGAAAAAUCCUUUGAAACAAAGAACAAAAUUCUGUCAAUCUAAAUAAUUUUUUGUUGUGUAAAACUUAGAGUAACUAAGGCUUAUUUAUAGGCUAAUUUGUAGCAUAUAUGACUACAAAAACUCUAGGUUAAUUAGAGUUUAACUGGAAAACUAAAAAUAGAUUAUAACUAGGAGAAGAAAAUAAAUUUUGGACAAAAUAAGAGGCAUUCUUCGACAAAUCUCCAGCUUGAGUCAUAUUUGGACCAACUCACUUGCCGAGCCCUAUUACGGGCUUAACUAAUUCUUCAUCAGAUAUUUACCAAGUCCAAGCAAUGCUCGAACUUUGAAAUUGGAAGGCUCUUUGUCAACAUGUCGGUCGGAUUAUGUUCUGUGCCAAUUUUAAGAAUCUGAAUAUCCCAUUGAAUUAUCAUCUCUCAAAAAUUAUGAUAAAAAAUGUCUAUAUGCUUCAUUAUUUCUUGAUAUAUUUGGUCUUUGGUUAGAUGUAUGGCAUUUUGAUUAUCAUAAUAUACGACAGUUGCCUCUUUUUCACUUACCAGUUCACUAAACAGGCCCCUUAAUCAAAUUAGUUCUUUUACUUCUUCUGUAAUUCCAUGCAUUCUGCUUUAGUAGUUGGUAAAGCCACUAUAGCUUGAAGUGUCACUUUCCAACUAAUGGCGUAAUUCCCAAAAGCAAAUAGGUAACCUGUGAGAGACCUUCUUCUAUCUAAGUCUCAUGCAUAAUUAGAAACAACAUAUUCGACUAAACCCUUUUGAGUUCUUUCAAACUCUAAGCACAUGUUAGAAGUACCCCAUAAAUAUCUGAAAAUCCACUUAACUGUAUGUUGGUGUAACUUACCAAAUUUGGUCAUGUAUCAACUAAAAACACUAACAACAUGUGAAAUAUCAGGACGAGUGCAUACCAGUGCAUACAUCAAACUUCCAAUUGCACUUGAAUAAGCUGCUUUUGACAAGCACCUUUCAUCUUCUUCAUUUUGUAAGGAAUCUGAAGUUGAAAGUUUAAAGUGUGCAGCUAAAGAAGUACUUACGAAUUUUUCAUCUUGCAUCUCAAAUCACUCAAAGAUCUUCUUAAUGUACCUUUUUUAUGAUAAAAAAUUUUUUCUGGAACAUCUAUCUCUCUAUGAAACACCCCAAAAUAGGGCUUAGAAGUUUUAGGGGUAUUUUAGGAAUUUUAGCCUUAAAGUGUUUAAAAUUUUGUGACAUGGUUUUAUCAGUAAUGUUUUUGACUAUGGUUUUUAGGAAAAUCAAAUCAAUUUUUGAAAAUGAGUUUUAAAGACAUUUAAUUUUAGAAAAAGGAUUUAUUUGUAACAGGAACAAAAUUGUGAGCUUUUCAAUGGCAAUUAGACCAGAUUUUAAAUUAAAUCUACAAUAAACCCUCCACCUUCAACAUAUCAUGUUAUUUCCUCCCAAAACCAUUUCUUUUUCGUUUCUUGUUCUCCCAAGCCAAUCCCGGUCUAUUUUUUUUCUUUAAAUCUUGAUUCCUUGAUUUCCAUCAAUCCCCAAGUAUUAAAGCUUCAUAAAUCUCCAAGAAAACACUCUAAAAUUCCAUAGAUUUCACCAUCUUCUUCACGUGUGAGUUUUUCAGGUUUUCGAUAAAAGUCUAUUUUUCUUCCACCAAAGGUAACCAAUCAUCUACCCAUUAUUUUUUAAUGUUAUUAGGUCUUUGAAACUAAAUUUUUAAUCAUUAAAAUGCAAGUUUUGAUUAAAAGCUGAAAAUAGAAUCGUUAAUGGUGAAUUUUAGAUUUUCGAGUAAAAUGUGAUUUCAAAGUGUUAAUCAAUAGGUUUUGAUAUGAUUAAAACAUUUCUAAACUUGUUUUUUUAAGUUUCAUUAAGGAUUUCUUAGGUUUUAAUGAAUUUUCGAAAAAAUAGCUAUAAACAUGUCGAAAAAGUCGAUACUAUGAACUGAGUGUUUUAGUGUAGUUUAAAGGUUGGGAAUUAGUCAUAGAUAAAUUAUAAGAUGAACGAAAUUUGUUUUAGGCAAAAAGAUUGAGUUUAGACCAAGAUAUUUGAAUGUAAAGAUUGUUAUGUUAAAGAUUUCGGUUACAUGAGAGCAUAGUUUUAGGCUUAUGCUUUUUAUUGCUUGUGGUAAGUUCUUACGUAACACCCCUUACCCGUAUCCGAAGUCAGGAUAGGGUUUGAGGUGUUACCAGACUUAAACAUAACAUUCAUUCAAAAUCGGGCCAUAAAAUUUCAUCCAACUUAACACCAUUCAUUAACAUGCAUAUCGUCCCUAUUACGGACCUACAAGGCCCUGAACAUACAUUGGAAAUGGUUCGGGACUAAACUGAGAACUUUCAGAGCUUUUACAACAUUUAGAAAAAUUUCUUGUUUUGGAGGGUCACAUGCUCGUGUGGGUAGGCCAUGUGGUCAUGCACGCUCAUGUGGAUUGGGACAAGCCCGUGUAACUCUCUGUUUAUGACAUCAUCAACACAAUUAGGAUCACACAGCCAAGUCACACGCCCGUGUGAUUAGGCCGUGUGGCGAAUUAAAUUCCAAAAAUUAAGUGUGGACUUCACAUGGCCUGGGCACAUGCCCAGGUCCUGAGGCCGUGUCUAUCACACAGCUGAGACACAUGGCCGUGUCUCUGCCAGUGUGUUUACUACUGGGCAUACUGUUUUGCCUAAUUAGGGUACAGGGGACACACGGUCAGAUCAUAAGCCCAUGGGGCAGACCGUGUGUCACACACGGCCUAAACAGAUGCCCAUGUGUCUACCCAUGUGGUCAAAUUCUAGGCUAAUUUCCAAGCUAUUUGCCACCUUUAAAUGCUCACUCACUUAUACAUUUUUGAUGCUAUGCAACAUAGCAUAGUUAGUCACUCAAAUACUCACAAUCAUGAUUAUUCCAUGACUUUGUAAUGUCAACAUAGCACAUGCUCAAACCAUCAUGCUUUCAUAUGGCAUUCCACACCAAUUUCAUAUUUACUCAUCCUUAUAAACCCACCUUCAACCUACUCAAUUAUACCAUCAACAUGGUCAUACCUUUUAGUCCCAAUUCAUUCAUUAAGCAUGUGUGCAAUUUAUCACAUCCACUUCCAACAAGCAACCACAUCACAAUAUAACAUCCCGAUUUUGGGCUUAGUCGGAAUAGUGGUUUUAGGACUACAAAUUCGACAGGAGAAAUUUUAUUUUUAUUAUAUUUUUAUGGUCUACAAUUUCACAGAAUGAUUUCGUGAAAAUUUUGUUCAAAAAAUUUAACGUUUGGGCACUCAAUUUAGUCAAAAGGACUAAAUCGUAAAAAGUGCAAAAGUUGAGUUCUACAUGCUAGAGGUGUCCAAUUGUUAUGAAAUUUUAAAUUGGAGGUCCUUAUAUGGUAAUUAGACCAUUGGUUAAGUUGGUGGACAAAAAUGGACAUGGUUAAGCAUGUUUCCACAGUUUUUAUUAAGGGCAUUUUGGUCAUUUAGUUAUUAAAAUGAAUUAAAAACAAAAUUAAAAGACAAUUUUUGUCCAUCUUCAACCUCUUGGCUGAAAAUUGCAUGGAGAAACCAUGGCUAGGGUUUUUCAAGCUUUCAAGCUCAAUUGUAAGUUCGUUCUAGCCCCAUUUUUAAUGAUUUUUAUAUUUUUGCAAUCCCCGUAACAAGAUCUAUCUAUUUCUACCAUUAAUUUGAGCUAGGGUUCAUGUUUCAAAAUUGACCCAUGUGUGACAUGCAUUCAUUUUGAUGUCUAAUGGUAGAAAAUGAGUGUUGGAUGUUAAAUAAAUGAGUUUUACUAAGCGAUUUUCGAUGAAAACGACCGAAAGGACCAUUUUGUAAAAGUCAUAAAAAUGGUAUAAAAGGGUGUUUUGAUGAGAAUUUUAGUUUUCUAUAGUCAUGAAAAUGAUUUGACUCAGCCUAUAGAGUGAGAAAAUUAAAUAAAAAUCACUUUACGAGCCCAGGGGCAAAAAAAUUACCUAAAUGUGAUUUUUGGAUCACAUUAAAUAAUGUGACUAAUAAUUGGACUAAAUUUGAUAUUAUAGAUCAAGGAAAAUGAGGAUUGGACUUAGAUUGGGUGAAAAAUGGAAAAUCGACAGUUAGAUUCCUUUUUGCUAUUUUGGUGUUAAGGUAAGUUCUUGUGUCAAUAAUAUUGCAAUGCUAUAUUUGAAUUGAAAAUUCUAUAUUAUUAUUGCACAAAUGUCAUGAUUUAAUAUAUUGAAAAGUGAUGAAAGAAUGGUAUAUAAAAUUUGUGAGAACAAUGAUAUAUAACUAGUAGCACAUGAAAUGUUUGAUGAUUCAAUCAUUGAUGGCUUGCUAUAUAAUAGCUGAAUAUAUUGAGAAUUUGAUAUAACAUGAUGUUUUAUUAAGUUGGAUAACUUGUGAAAGAGUGAAAAGAAAGGUAAGUUUGUAUGUAAAUAAUAUACCAUUUUUACUUAUGUUAUAAUAUUUUGUUAUUAUAUGAGAGGUGGUUGCAUAUUGAAUUAUCACUUGAUUUAAAUUAUGAAUUGAAAUUGAUUAUGGAUGAAUUGGUAAAAUGUUGAAAAGUGAGGAAUUUCCUAGUUGGACUUUCAGAAUAGAAAAGAUACAAAUAAUCUGCUGUGAGAACACAUGUGUAGUACUAUGUGCAGGCUACUAUGUGUUUAAAAUGGUUUUAGGUCACGUGUGUAGUACAAAGUGCAGGCUACUACAUGUACCAGAUGGUUAGGUCGCAUGUGUAGUGCAGGCUACUAUGCGUACCCAAUAGCGUCGAUCACAUGUGUGGUACUAAGUGCAGGCCAGUAUGUGUAAAAGAUAGCUUUGGUCACAAGUGUGGUACUAUGUGAAGACAACUUUGUGAAGAAGGUAGCUUUGACUACAAUGGUGGUACUAUGUGCAGGCCACCGGGCAUCCGUUAUUAUUUCGAUGUGUUCAACGGGAAAUGACUAGAUAUAAUUGAAUAUGACUAUGUGAUGAAUAAGUGAAGGUUCAUGUGUGUAAACUUAUGAGCAACGUGCUCGAUAUGUGAUCAAACUUUGGUAAAUUUGAUAUGGAGUAAGUGUUACAAUGAAAGUUACUACAAAGAAAACAUGAAAGAGUGAAAUUUAGUAAUAAAACAGUUUUGGACAGCAGCAAUUGUAUGACUUUGAAAAAUUACCAAAAAUGGUGGAAACUAAAUUAGAAGUUGAACAAGAUAUGAAAUAAAAUCUUAUUGAUUAUAUUUUCAUAUAAAGGAAACGGUGUAAGCAAAAUAAUUUCAUAUUAUGAGAUAUUUGAAUUUUUGUGAGAAAGAGUCAGAAUUAUUUUGAAAUCCCCUAUUCUGAAUUGGUAAAAUCAUUAAAAAUUUUAAAAAAUAAAUAAUGGGUUAUAAUUUAUAUGUUUAAAAUCCUUAAUGAGUCUAUUUUUUAAAAAAACAAACGGAAACAUUAUCCAAAUCUUGUACGAAGAGAUAAUUAAUUUUUAGUAUAGAGGGGUCAGAACUGUCAGAUAGAAAAACGUGGGUGAUUUUAAAGAAUAAAAUGUACUUAUUGGCUAGAGAAAAAAUUAUAAAAAUUUUAUGGUAAGAAGAUAUGUGAGUCUAGUUUCUUAUAAAAUUAGCGGUUCUCAAUUUGAAGUCCCGUAGCUCCAGAUAUAAAUAAUUUAGUGACCGUAACUCGAGGAAACAGCUUAACUGGACGUUGAAUUCAAAAAUAGCAUGUUAAUACAUUGCUUAUUAUUAUUUUUCAUGCGAACUUACUAAGCGUAAAGCUUACUCCCUCUUUUCCAUUUCUUUUAGUGUUUUUAGGUUGGCUUGAGGUUGGAGAUCGUCAGAGGUAGCAUUACACUAUCAAGCCAAUACAUAUGUUAGAAAUAUCAAGUGAAUGGCAUGUAUAGGGACCUAGUUCUAUCACAUGUGUUAUUAUGAUUUGGCUAAAUGAAUUGGCCUAUAUAAAGCUAUUGUAUAUGGCCAUGAGAGGUGGCUCAUAUUGAUUAUGGUUUGUAAGUCUAACUAAUCAUGUUACGUUUUAAUGCAUAUGAUGUGAUGAUAUGAAUAUGUUUGUUUGCCAUGCAUGGUUAGUAAUAUGUCAUGUGUGGUGAAUGCAUGUUUUAUGACCAAUCGAGGUGGUCAUGACCAUGAAUUAAAUGUGUAAUAUGGUAAUAAGAUGAUAAUGCCUUGAACAUGGAUGUUUGAUGUAUAAGUUAGUAACCAUAGAUUAAUGAUAUAAGUGAUUAAUAAGAUGACAAGGUCCGAUGAAUGUGUAAUAAUGUGGCUAGACUAGUUUAUCAUGAGUAGGUGGAACAUAUGUAUAAUGACGAGCUAAUGUUGAAUGUGUCUUAAUAAAGGGUUUUUAAUCACUAAAAUGAUUCCAUGAGUUGUGAGUUUGAUGUGUAUAAGGUUGUAAGGGUUUAUGGGAAACAUGAAGGCUUGGAAAAUAGCCUAAGUGUUAGCCACAUAGGCAGAGACACGGCCAUGUAUCUCAGCCAUGUGGAGGACACGGCCUAGCACACAGGUGUGUGGCCUGGCUAUGUGGUUCAAAUUGUUUUGCUGAUGUCACAAACAGAGAGUUACAUGGGCUAAGGAUACGGGUGUGUCCCAAGCCACACAGGCGUGUGUGACCACACGGUUAAACACAUAUGGGCAUGUGGCUCUCCAAAGCAAGAAAUUUGCUAAGUUGUCCAAAGUUUAUUGAAAGUUCUCAGUUUAGUCUCGAACCACCCCGAUGUAUGUUUUAGGCCUCGAAGGCCCGUAUAAGGGAUGAUAUACAUGUGUUUGAAAAGUUUUAAUUUGGACAAAAAUUUUAUGGCCCAGUUUUUGCAUGAAUGAUUGUGUAUGUGUUCGGUAAUGCCUUGUAUCCUAUCCCGGUCUCGGGUACGGGUAAGGGGUGUGACACACAAAGCAUAAACACAUUGUAUGCAUGCAUAAAUAAUUAGGGUUACAACCCGAGAAGCAAAUAUAAGCCACAUCUCAUGGCCAUAUACCAAAUGAAUCAUAAUACCAUCAUGAGCCAAUUCAUUUAGCUAAUCAAUAUGACAUAUAACAAAAUGACCAAGUCCCAUACACAUGCCAUACUCAAAAUGUCGAGACUAACUAUACCCAAAAAAAUGUUGAGACUAACUAUACCCAAAUGUCAAAUUGAUAGUCUGAUCAAAUCUCCAACGUCCUUCGAUCCCUGAGCUAGCUUGGCGACACUAUAAAAGAUGGAAAGGAAGUGGUAAGCAUUAAAGCUUAGUAAGUCCAUAUGUAAAUAACUUGCUAUAUAAACAAGUAUUUAAUAUACAUUUAACAUAAUGAGCAUAACUUAUAUUUCAUCAAAUCACUUACACUUGCUCAUCACAUAAACAACUUUGUCAUAAGUUCAUCACAUACCAAGGCAUUACUCAUGAGUUCGGUAUACAUACAUGUAACAACUCAUAACAUAAUCUCUAACUCAUUCUUCUCAUUGACUUAACCCUUGGGUCUUUUGUCAAGUUACUCAGUAAUUUACCCGUUGGACACUCGAAAAACUAUUGGAUACUCAGAAGGCUCGCACAUAAGUACCACAUACGUAGCUAAAGCUACUUCAUAUCACAUAACACAUGGAGGCUCAUUCUCAAGCUAUUCACGAGUCUGCUCACACAAGCUAUCGGCCAGGACGUAGCUACACGAGCUGCUCACAUAAGUUCUCAGGUAUCCAUAACACAUGCUGGACUACCCAGCCACUGAUAGGACGUACAAGACCAGCACUAGGAACCACAUAAACAUAUCUCAUGAGCUCAUAAAUCACAUGAUUCCUAGUGACAUGUCACUUGUAUCCCAAAUUAUUCCUAAGGUUCUGUAACACCCUAAACCCAACCCGAAUGCUAUGACCGGAUCCAGCGUGUCACAUUGAAGUGUUUUAUCAAAAACCUUGUUUUCAUUGAAAACCCUUCCUUAGAAUGAAAAACCUUAAUUAUUUUGUAAUGUCUCUUUUCAGUUGUAAAAGCUUUAUUUAAAACAUAUGAUUCAUGGAAACUUGUUAUUUAAAAAUUUAGUUAUGGAAUCGUAGUAUUUCAAAAACCCUAAUUUGAACAAUAACCAGAGGGAGGGCCUUAUUACAAUCCAGUCUGAAACAACUUAAUAAACUAGAAACUAUAUGUUUUUUUCAAAACAAAAAUCAAGUUCAAGUCAUCUUGCUAGCUGGCCACCACGGAGUCCCUCCAACCGUCAAUCCUCCUAUUGAGCAUCACUUAAGAAAAAUAAAAGAGGGGGUGAAUUUUCGAAAACUCAGUGUGUACAACCCUCAAACAGUCCUAAGCAAACAUCAAUCACCACAACGUCAUACAUGCAAUGCUGUGCAACCCACCCUAAUAAUCCAACCGCUACACAUCAUCUCCGUCCCCCUGUACACAUCAUGUGGGGAUAUAAAUAUUGACCCACUCAUCCGAUACACAUCAAUGGUAGCCCGAUUAUGGUACUACCUUCAUUGCAGCAAGCUGCUAAUCAAAUAUUGGGCUUAAUAGCCAUCGGUGGAUCCACGGUUGUCAAGCAACCAUGCGAUCCUCAUAUAUUUCCUCCGUUCUAUAAUUCCCAACCCAUAUGUAACCUAAACAGAAUAUCAUAUGAAUGCAGCAAAUAUACAUGUAACAUUCGUAAAUCUUACCUUCAACACAUAGGGGUAUUUUGGUCACUUUUCACCCUUAGGGGCUUUUCGGUGAUUUCUCUUUAUCAUGAGUUUAUUACUUACCUUGGCCCAUUAACAAGUCAUCGUUGAUUAAAGUGAAUAGACACUAUGCACCAGGUAGGAUUCCAGAGAAGAGGAGGUGAGUCAUUAAGACCGCUUAAGUACCAAGCUCUCCCUAGAUCCAAUCCUAGACAUGCAUAUACCCAUUGCUUAAACCGUAAUUUAUACAUAUUUUUACCCCAUGCUUAACGCAUUUUAUGGAUGAUUUCCUAUUAGAAUUGGUGAAUUCGGUGCUCCUAAUGCUUUAAUUUCAUGUUUUAUACUCAGGAGAGCAUAAGAGAGCAAAAGGAAUGAGAAAUGGGCCAAAAACGGAGAAAAUGGGCCAAAGUACGAAAUCAACAAGGCCUGGGCCUCCUUACACGGGCAGAUCACACGGCCGUGUCAAUUUGGCAGGCUCGAGCACGGCCUAAAGUAAUCUUACAUGGGCGUGUUACACGGAUUUGUCCCUACCGAGCCCAAGUUGAGUCCAAUUUAGAAAAGGCUAAUUUUGAGGGCUCUUAGGCAUUCUAAAGCCUAUAAAUACACCCUAGUGGAGGAAGAAAAGGGAGACGAAGAAGAGGGAGUAAGGAAUUACUCCAAGGAAGCCGAUUGAUCCAUCUUAGAAGCUGGAUUCAUCAUCAAGACUGAAGAUCUCUCCUCAAUUCUCUCUUCAAGAGUUUUGGGUUUUCUUUAUGUUCUGUAUUCUUUAUCAUUCUGAGAUGUUUUCUUAUUUAGUUAUGAACUAAAACUACGAAAUACCUAAGGGAAAUGAAACCUAAGGUGAAUCUUGUUAUUAUUUUCUGAAUUGUAUGAUAAAUAUUUAACUUGUUCUUAAUUAUGUGUUCUUAAUUCUUGUUUUGAUAUUCCAGGAUACUGAUUCAGGAUAAGCUCUUAUUCAGAGGAGGAAUAGACCCUGUCUAAGAGUAUAUUUAUCAUAAUUAAGCGGAGUUGAUUGCGCACCUAGACAUAGGGUGACAAGAUUUUGUCGGAUUAGGGUGAAACCUAAUAAGGGGAUCCAUAGAUCGAGUUAAUGUAACCCUAGAGUGUUAAUUAGAGAAAAGUCUCAAUUAUUCAAUCUAUGGAUUAGAUGUUAUUAGUCUUGAAUAGGGAUAAUAACAUAACUUAGGUAUUGUCUUAAUUCAAUCGAUUUUCCCAAAAGCAAUUCCCUAAUUACAUUCUUUGUGAAUUCUUAGUUUAGAUAAUUAGUUAAUUAAAACAAAAGCUCUAUAUUCUUAGGCUAGAUAAUAAAAAGACAGUCAUUACGAGUACUUUUAGUUCCUUUGGGUUCGACAAUCCAGUUUUGCUAAAACUAUACUACUGUUCGAUAGGUACACUUGCCUACAUCGCGAAAAUAGUUAGUUGAAGAACGAGUAAUUAUAAAUAUUUAAAACCUAUCACAAAAUAAUGCGAUCAAGUUUUUGGCGCCGUUGCCGAGGAACUAAGAUAUUAGGAACGCUCAAUUUUUAUUACUUUAGCCAUUUAUUUUCCUUGCAAUUUAAUUUUAUUAUUGUUAUUACUUAUUAAUUUACUUUCUCUUUCUCUUGGCAGGUUUCUAUAGUUUAUGAGUAGAAGAAACUCGUCAGGACCAUUACUUUUUGUCGAAGAAAUUGAUCAUACAGUUCACAGAAAUCAAAGAGAAAUAAGGCGAAGCUUACGAUACAUAGAAAACGAGCAAGAAGACGAUACUCAACUCGCAACCAAAAAGAUGGCUGAAAACCAAGGCAAUCAGCUACCUCUUGCAAUUGCGAUUAAUCAAAAUCCUGCUCCACGUAUUAUGUAUGAUUAUGCUAAACCUUCUUUAACAGGAACUGAAUCAAGCAUAGUUAGACCUGCUAUAGCUGCAAAUACUUUUAAAUUAAAACCUAACACUAUUCAAAUGAUACAAUAAAUUUUUCAGUUUGAUGAUUUGCAGGAUUAAGAUCCUAACGCUUAUUUAGCCAACUACUUGGAACUAUGCGAUGCAUUUAAAAUUAAUGGUGUUUCUGAUGAUGCCAUUCGUCUUCAGCUAUUCCCUUUUUCAUUGAGGAACAAAGCUAAAUAGUGGUUGAACUCGUUACCACGAGGGUCAAUUACUACUUGGGAACAAAUGAUCGAAAAAUUUUUACUAAAAUAUUUUCCGCCGGCUAAAACGGCUAAAUUACGUAAUGAUAUAUGUUUUUUUUGUGUAGAUGGAUUUAGAAACACUCUACGAUGCAUGAGAGAGAUAUAAGGAUCUUUUGAGAAGGUGCCCUCACCAUGGUUUACCGCUUUGGCUCCAAGUUCAAACAUUCCAUAAUGGUCUGAAUCCUUCAACUCGACAAAUGGUUGACACAGCUGCUUGCUGAACCAUCAAUAAUAAAACACCUGAAGUAGCUUAUGAGUUUCUAGAGGAGAUGUCACUGAAUAAAUAUCAGUGGCAAGUCAUGAGGACAAAGCUAACAAAAACAGCUGGCAUUUAUAACGUCGAUUCGGUCACCAUGCUCUCUAAUCAGGUAGAACUCUUGAAUAAGAAAAUUGAUGGUUUUCUUAGUUCUUUGCAGGUUCAUCCAGUAAUGCAGUGCGAAGCAAGUGGAGGUGGAACAAGCCAUUCAGAAUACCAACCUUAUGCCCACAACAUGGAUAACGAGCAAUUAAAUUACAUGGGUAAUAAUCCUCGACCUCAAAACAAUCCAUAUAGUAACACUUACAAUGCAGGUUGGAGGAACCACCCCAAUUUCUUGUGGGGUGGUCAAGGAAAUCAAAGACCACAACCACCUCCAGGUUACCAACAACCCUACCAACAGGAAAAGAAGCAAAACCUUGAAGAGAUACUUUCAAAGUUUAUAUCAGUGUUAGAAACUCAUUUCCAGAGCACCGAGACAACACUUAAGAAUCAACAAGUAUCGAUCCAAAGGCUCAAAACUCAGAUAAGCCAACUGUCCAAAUUAAUUUCAGAAAGACCACUAGGAAGUUUACCUAGUAAUACCCAAUCAAAAGAGCAUGUGAAAGCAGUUACACUAAGGAGUGGGAAAGUGUUAGCGGAAACUUAAAAGAAGCUAACACAAGAGGCCGUGGUAAGCGAAAGAGGGGAAGAAAAAACCGAAAAUAGUGACAAACUAGUGCCGAAAGAAUAUAAACCUCCAGUUCCGUACCCAGCAAACUUGAAAAAAGAUCGCAUUGAUGCGCAAUUCGGUAAGUUUCUUGAACUUUUUAAGCAAUUACAUAUCAACUUACCUUUUGUUGAAGCCAUCUCGCAGAUGCCUACAUGCGCAAAAUUUUUGAAAGGGCUUCUAACAAAUAAAAGGAAAUUCGAGGACUUGUCUACAGUAGAACUCAACGAGGAGUGCUCAGCCAUACUCCAAAACAAGUUUCCAACCAAACUGAAAGAUGCAGGGAGUUGUACUAUCCCUUGCUUAAUUGGUAGUCUGAAUGUUGAGAAAGCACUAGCUGAUUCAGGCGCUAGCAUUAAUUUGAUGCCAUAUAAAAUGUUCAAACAACUUGGCCUUGGGGAACCUAAACCUACUAGGAUGAGUAUUCAAUUAGCCAAUAGAUCUGUUAAAUAUCCUGGGGGCAUUAUAGAAGACGUACUCGUGAAAGGAGAUAAAUUCAUAUUUCCUAUUGACUUUGCUGUGCUUGACAUGGAUGAAGAUGUGGAAGUGCCCUUAAUUUUAGGGCACCCAUUUUUAGCCACUGCUAGGGCUGUAAUCGAUGUGGGUGAUGCUAAAUUGGUACUUAGAGUAGGUGACGAGGAGAUUAUCUUUAAAAUUUAUGAUGCUAUUAGGUUUUCUAGGGAACAGGAUGAUUCAUGUUAUUUUAUUGACUUUAUUGAUCAUACUACUCAAGACUCUUUUCAAGAAAUUAUACAGAAAGACACGAUGGAACUGUAUCUAGCUCAAGAAGAGGAGACAGAUGAUGAACCUAAUGAGUAUUCUUCAAGACAAGUAGAAUAUGAGGGCAUUAAGCUAAACAAUGAACUUAAGCAAAAACCCUCUAUUGAAGAGCCUCCCAAACUGGAACUUAAACAAUUACCAAACCACUUGGAGUACGCAUUCCUUGGAAAUAACUCUACAUUACCAGUUAUUAUUGCUUCCAACUUGUAACCCAAGGAGAAAGAGAAAUUGAUCCAAGUAUUAAAGGAACAUAAAAAGGCCAUAGCUUGGAAAAUUUCUGACAUUAAAGGAAUCAACCCCCAUUUUUGCACCCACAAAAUUUUGAUGGAAGAUGAAUAUAAACCGUGUGUGCAAGCUCAAAGACAACUGAACCCCAACAUGAAGGAAGUUGUAAAAGCCGAGGUAAUUAAACUUCUAGAUGCUGGAAUUAUUUAUCCUAUUUCUGACAGUUCUUGGGUAAGUCCAGUGCAGGUUGUCCCCAAGAAAGGAGGCAUGACGGUUGUGACCAACGAGAAGAAUGAAUUAAUCCCAACAAGAAUAGUCACAGGAUGGAGAGUUUGCAUAGACUAUAGGAAACUAAAUGAUUCCACAAGAAAAGAUCACUUCCCCUUGCCAUUCAUUCACCAAAUGUUGGAAAGAUUAUCCGGACACAUGUAUUACUGCUUUCUAGACGGACUCUCUGGUUACUUCCAAAUCCCAAUAGCUCCUGAAGAUUAAGAAAAGACGACAUUCACAUGCCCAUAUGGUACGUUCACUUAUCGUAGAAUGCCUUUUGGAUUAUGUAAUACUCCUGUCACUUUUCAGCGCUAUAUGAUGGCCAUCUUCGACGAACUCAUGGAAGAUAUCAUGGAAGUAUUUAUGGAUGAUUUUUUGGUAUUCGCUAACUCUUUCCAUCUCUGCCUUAAAAAUUUAAAACGAGUUUUAAUAAUAUGUGAGGAAACAAACCUUGUGCUUAACUGGGAGAAAUGUCACUUCAUGGUUCAAAAAGGUAUUGUAUUAGGGCAUAAAAUUUCUAGUAAAGGAAUUGAGGUGGACAAAUCUAAAAUAGAAACAAUCGAAAAAUUACCAUCUCCUAGUUUGGUUAAGGCUAUUAGAAGCUUUUUAGGACAUGCUGGUUUUUAUAGAAGAUUUACUAAGGAUUUUUCUAAAAUAGCUAAGCCUUUGACUAAAUUGCUAGAAAAAGAUAUACCUUUUAAUUUCGAUGAGGAAUGUUUAGAAGCAUUUAAUACUUUAAAGGAUAAAUUAAUUAAUGCUCCAAUCAUAAUUGCACCUGAUUGGAACAUACCAUUUGAACUAAUGUGUGAUGCGAAUGAUUUUGCAGUUGGUGCAGUAUUGGGAUAGCGAAGAGACAUUUUCAACCUAUCUAUUAUGCCAGUAAAACUUUAACAGCUGCACAAGAAAAUUAUACUACUACGGAAAAAGAGUUGCCAGCUGUGGUUUUUGCAUUUGAUAAAUUUCGAUCAUAUCUCAUAUUGUCUAAAGUUGUUGUUUACACUGACCAUUCUGCCCUUCGCUACCUUUUAACUAAAACUGAUGCAAAACCUCGACUCAUUCAAUGGAUUCUCCUAUUGCAGGAAUUCGACUUGGAGAUUCAGGAUAGGAAAGGAGCUGAAAAUCUCGUGGCUGAUCAUUUGUCCAGGCUCGAGAAAUCCAAUACCAGAGAACUAGAUGAUGUUGAAAUAAAUGAUUUGUUCCCUGAAGAACAAUUUUUCGCUAUAUCUAACUUCGAGGUACCUUGGUUUGCAAACAUCGCGAAUUUUUUAACUGCUAACAUUAUCCCAAAAGGGUUAACACACCAGCAAAAGAAGCGAUUCUUUAAUGAUGUGAAAAACUACUUUUGGGACAACCCCUUUCUGUUUCGCAGAUGUGCAGAUCAAGUCAUUAGAAGAUGCGUUACAAGAUCAGAAACUUCAAAAAUAUUAGAACAUUGCCACUCAGGGCCAACCGGAGGACACUAUAGUGGAACUAAGACUGCACACAAAAUACUUGAAUCAGGUUUUUAUUGACCUUCGUUAUUCAAAGACGCUAACAGGUAUGUUACUUCAUGUGAAAAAUGCCAACGGACAGGUAACAUAUCUAAACAUGAUGAAAUGCCUCAAAACUAUAUGCUUUCAUGUGAAAUAUUUGACGUUUGGGGUAUCAAUUUCAUGGGCCCAUUCCCCAGUUCAUUUGGGAAUAAAUACAUCUUAGUAGUAGUUGAUUACAUGUCCAAAUGGGUGGAAGCCCAAGCUCUACCUACUAAUGAUGCUAGAGUGGUAGUACGUUUCCUUAAAACACUCUUCUCGAGAUUCGAAACACCUAGAGCAAUUAUCAGGGACAGGGGCACUCAUUUUUGUAAUACCCAAUUUGAAAAAACUCUUAAGAAAUACGGAGUUCAUCAUAGAACAGCCACCCCAUACCAUCCUCAAACUAAUGGACAAGUUUAAGUAGCAAAUCGAGAAAUCAAAUGGAUCCUUGAAAAAAUAGUAGAAUCAAACAAAAAAGAUUGGGCAACGAAGUAGACGAUGCCUUAUGGGCUUACAGAACUGCUUUUAAGACCCCCAUAGGGACAUCACCUUACAGACUUGUUUAUGGAAAAAGUUGUCAUCUACCAUUUGAACUAGAGCAUAAAGCUUUUUGGGCUAUCAAAUUUCUAAACCUUGAUCCGGAACUUGUAGGAAAAAACAAGUUGAUGUAGCUGAACGAGCUUGAUGAGUGGCAAGCCAAUGCAUACAAAAAUUCACGCCUAUACAAGGAAGCAAGAAAGCGGCGCCAUGACACUCGCUUAAAGAAACGAAAACAAUUUGAAGUUGGAGAUCUUGUCUUACUAUAUAACUCAAGACUCAGAUUGUUUCCUGGGAAACUUAAAUCACGAUGGUCAGGACCUUCGUAAUUCAAUCUGUUCUUCCAUAUGGCACAAUAGAGGUGAGUCACCCAUCAUAUGGUACUUUCAAAGUAAAUGGCCAUCGUCUCAAACUUUAUAAUGGUGAGAAUUUCAAAGAUGAUGGAGAGGAGCUACGACUCCACAAAUUGCCCUGAAUAAACCAACAAGGUAAUAGUCGAGCUUAGACUAUAAACAAGCGCUUCUCGGGAGGCAACCCAAGUACUAACGGUUUUAAAUUAUUUAAAUUUCAAGUUUUAAACAUUUAGGUCACUAACAGAGUAUUUGAAGCACAAGUUCCCAACUCCACGGAAACACAACCGUGCUUAAGGCCGUGUGACCAACACAGACGGAAACACGACCGUACGAUACGGCCAUGUGAAAACAGGGUAAAAGUUAUCUUUCCCAACACAGGAUGUGAUAAGUGGCCACAGGCGUGCGACCUAGCCAUGGUCAAAUCUGCCAAACGAACAUGGGCGUGCGACACGCCCGUGUCUAGUACCCGUAGAUGACACUGCCAAAAUGACACGGGCGUGCGAAGACCUACACGAACGUGGGAGAAGUGAACCACAUCACACACGGUCGUGUAAUAUGAUCAUGAAGACACAUGCCCUAUACACACGGGCGUUUCCAAAGGCCAUGUGACGACAUCUCAUUUCGCGACAAACACGGGCGAGACACGAUCCACACGGGCGUAUGAACCGGCCACGACACUUAAAAAAAUUAGGUUAUCUAUCCUAUUUUAUUUUAUUUUUUUAUUUUAUUAAUUUUUGAAGAUUCUUUUGUUUUUAAACACGGCUUAUCUUUAUAAUUGCUACCAAAUUAUUUCCCCAAUCCUCCUAUUGUUCUUCAGAAUCAUAUUUGUCCUCUAGCUUUAUUUCCAACAACUCGCUCUUGCUAAUCCAGGAUUCCAUGCAUUUUUAACUCAGGAAGUUUCACUUCUCUCCCUCUCUUAUUCUUAUACUCUAAUAUUAGUCUUUGUACAUUGAGGGCAAUGUACGUCUUAACUGUGGGGGAAUAUUUAUUUCAUUAUCAUAAAAAUCCCUGAAUGACUGCCUUGUUCUCUUGAAAAGCUCUCAUAUCAUAUUUAGGAUAAAUUUUGAUUGAUUUAUGAUUUUUGUUGAUAUAUCUUGAAUUAAAACAUAGGCAAUUAUGCAUUGAUUGUUUAAACUUUAAGACAUUAGAGAAUCAAGCAUGAUAAGUUGAUUUUUAAGAAUUUAAAAUCUUAGGUUGUUUCCCUAAAGUUUAGGUAUUACUUUGAGUUGGAAUUCACAAGUUUUAAACAUCAAAAAGCCAUAAUUUUUGUGAGAUUUUUUAGCCUUUUGAGCAUCUAUUAAUUCUUUCAUGCUCACAUUUAUUAUUGCUUUGAGUGCGUCAGUAUUGAACUGUUAUUCUAGAACUUGCUUGAUUAUGCAUGUCGAGACCACACCAUUUGAUUUGAUAUGUCAAAAUGAUUAAGGCACUUAGGAUUAACCCACUCAUGCCAUGAAAAUCCUACCUCCAUGACUAACCCCUAGUAAACAUCCUUGAGCCCAACAAAGCCAUUCCUUGUAUUAAUCUUAAUAUUAACCCUUAACCCAUUAUUGUUGAAAUCCCCUAAAUUAAUCCCUAUUUUUUGUCGAGAUUUGAGUUGAAUAAAUUGCUUAGCUAUGUCUUGUUAUUAAUAGUUAGUCUAUGUUAUUUACCUUGUUCUAAAAAAAACUAUGUAUACACAUUAGUAAUUCCACUUUUUUUUAGAAGAAGCUCGAUUGUACACAAGUGAUGAUUAACUUCUUUUCUAGUUAGGCAAUUUUUCAAUUCAAUCUCGAUUCUAACCCUUUCUUUCAGCUUGUGACCACACCACCUAACCAAGCCUCAUUACAACCCUCUAAAGACCUUUUGAUUGAAGUAUCAUCUUAAAUUGUAGUGGUGAAGAUUUGAUUUUCAUGCAAGCCUAUGGUAAUGACUUUUCAUUAUUGGCUAUUGAGUGCUUCAUUUAUUGUCCUUAAACACCUCGAGUGAUUUGAGUGAAUCUUUAGUGAGGAUAUUCAACUCUAUGAUAUUCUUAAUCAAAGGUAAUUACUUAGACGAGGGGAGACACCUAUGUUGCAUGACUACAUGCUCAACUUGGAAUGUUUGAAACUUUUAUGUUCUUUUAGUUGAAUUCUCAAUGUGUGAUUACUUAUGGGUUAUUUUGAGAUAUUAUCGAUAGAAAUUAUAAGUUGAGAAGAAUUUAUUUUGAUUAUGAGUUGAGAAUUUUGCUUGAGGACAAGCAAAUGCUUAAGUGUGGGGGUAUUUCAUAAACCAUAAUUUAUACAUAUUUUUACCCCAUGCUUAACGCAUUUUAUGGAUGAUUUCCUAUUAGAAUUGGUGAAUUCGAUGCUCCUAAUACUUUAAUUUCAUGUUUUAUACUCAGGAGAGCAUAGGAGAGCAAAAGGAACGAGAAACGAACCAAAAAUGGAGAAAAUGGUCCAAAGUACGAAAUCAACAAGGCCUGGGCCUCCUUACACGGGCAGAUCACAUGGCCGUGUCAAUUUGGCAGGCUCGAGCACGGCUUGAAGUAAUCGCACACGGGCGUGUCCCUGCCGAGACCAAGUUGAGUCCAAUUCAGAAAAGACUAAUUUUGAGGGCUCUUAGGCAUUCCAAAGCCUAUAAAUACACCCUAGUGGAGGAAGAAAAGGGAGACGGAGAAGAGGGAGUAAGGAAUUACUCCAAGGAAGCCGAUUGAUCCAUCUUAGAAGCCAGAUUCAUCAUCAAGACUGAAGAUCUCUCCUCAAUUCCCUCUUCAGGAGUUUUGGGUUUUCUUUAUGUUUUGAAUACUUUAUCAUUCUGAGAUGUUUUCUUAUUUAGUUAUGAACUAAAACACCUAAAUACCUAAGGGGAAUGAAACCUAAGACGAAUCUUGUUAUUAUUUUCUGAAGUGUAUGAUAAAUAUUUAACUUGUUCUUAAUUAUGUGUUCUUAAUUCUUGUUUUGAUAUCCCAGGAUACUGAUUCAGGAUAAGCUCUUAUUCAGAGGAGGAAUAGACCCUAUCUAAGAGUACAUUUUUCAUAAUUAAGCGGAGUUGAUUGCGCACCUAGACAUAGGGUGACAAGAUUUUGCUGGAUGAGGGUGAAACCUAAUAAGGGGAUCCAUAGAUCGAGUUAAUGCAACCCUAGAAUGUUAAUUAGAGAAAAGUCUUAAUUAUUCAAUCUAGGGAUUAGACGUUAUUAGUCUUGAAUAGGGAUAAUAACAUAACUUAGGGAUCUCUACGAAACAAGUUAAAUGAAUAAAUCGUCCGAUUUGGAGCCAGAAUAACAAGUACAGUCUAGGUGGAUUUUUCGUUAUGUAUUGUCUUAAUUCAGUCGAUUUUCCCAAAAGCAAUUCCCCAAUUCCAUUCUUUGUGAAUUCUUAGUUUAGAUAAUUAGUUAAUUAAAACAAAACCUCUCUAUUCUUAGGCUAGUUAAUAAAAAGACAGUCAUUACUAGUACUUUUAGUUCCUUUGGGUUCGACAAUCCAGUCUUGCUAAAACUAUACUACUAUUCGAUAGGUACACUUGCCUACAUCACGAUAAUAGUUAGUUCAAGAACGAGUAAUUAUAAAUAUUUAAAACCUAUCACGAAAUAACGCGAUCAAUUGCCACACCUUAACUUUAUGACUCGUCUGCGGUCGCAAUCAAUUAAUUAAGUUUUAUGUCAAUUCAAGCAGUUUCAGAUACUAAACCCAAAACCCCUUACAAAGCCCAAACAAGACUACAUACAUGCAUAUGGCCCACUAGGCCCAAUCUCAUUCUCAUGGCCCAUUAGGUCCAAAUCACAUUCGUAUGGCCCAUUAGGCCUAAAUCACAAUCGUAUGGCCCAUUAGGCCCAAAUCACAUUCUUAUGGCCCAUUAGGCCCAAAUCACAUUCGUAUGGCCCAUUAGGCUCAAAUCACAUUCAUAGUCAUGCUUUCAUACAACUUCUCAUCACUUACUAUCAAGUUGCCCAUUUUGCCUAUUUUGGGCCUACAGCCCAUCGGCCCAUUUAGCCCAUUCUGGCCCCGUUGGCCAAUACACGGUCCAAGUCCAUGGUAUCGCCCAUGGGGCCCCUGAUAACCUAUCGGUUUCCCCUUACGAGUGUUCGUGCACUCGCAGGUCUAUUAUAGCCACAAUUUUGGCAUUUCAGCAUUUUGGCUUUUCGGCAUUUCGGGAUUUGUCGAUCUACUGUGUGUGUGCAGUGUAUGUGCACACCUGGUAAUAUAGCAUCCUGUGAUCCCCCCUAGCCAUGAACCUACAAUCGAUAUCACUCAAUGAUUAACCACACAUACUUAUCGAAUACCUUGCCAAAAGCUGAGGUCUUACCUUAACCUUACCUGGAACGCCAAGCCUUAAUGGCUUUUUCUUGCUCACUAAUCACGAGCACUUCCUAGAUCUGCAUUAACCUUAUUGUUAAAAACAUAAUGGGUGACUUAUAUCCAACAUAUGUCACCCUUUCCCAUUAAAGCCUAUUCGGCCAACCUUUACCAAAAUGAAGAACACUUACCAAAGUUUCAACACUUAGGGAGCAAACCGGCAGAGAUCCAAAAGACUGAGGUUCGAUACUAAUCCUACCAAAACCGAUUCAGAAGGAGUGAGGGACAGGAGUAAUCGAUACUUAGCAAAACCAACUGAAAGAACAAAACACUUACACUAGAAUUGGCUGAGGUAGAAGGAGUAGUGGCAGCACAGAGGAUAUUCGGCUUCUAAGGUUUGUAUGAUGGAAAAGGUUAUUCGGCACAAAGUAAAACAGUAGUAGCAACCGUUUACAACCAGUGGUGAAUCAAAAAAGAAGUAUUGAGUAGGGGAAAGAAUGGAAAAUCGGCACAAAGUAAAGAAAGAAGAACAAGGGAUUUCGACUUUUUGAUCCUUGGAGAGAAAAAUGUUUUCUGGUAACAAGGAAAGGGAGAAUUUGGCAUUAGCCUGGAAUCCUCACAUUCGACACCUAUAUAUAGUCUAUAGUCGAAUUUCCUAUGCCAAAAUUCCUAAUUCGACUCCACCUCUUCUUCACUCCUCAUCUCCUAAUUUUUCUCCCUGAUAAAUCCCUAAUCCCCACCUCAAAUUUCUCCUCUUAUCACUCCCUACAGUGUUCAUAUCCAACGCCAACACUGACCAUCUCUUAAACAAAAAUAAAUCCUUCUUUUGAGCAAUGAGGGAUUCAAACCCCAAACCCCAUUGCCCUGUAUGUGACACCACUUGCCAUUCCACCACAAGGCUUUCUUGUGUCCAAUUCCUCCUUCAUUUAUUCAAAAGCUCAGCUACUUGCCAUCGGGGUUCUUUUAAGUAUUAACCUAUAAUUUCCUUCACCCUUAAGUUCGAACUCAAACCUUAACUAAGACCUAUUAUCACAUAAAUAAAACUUAACUAGGAAUAUUAAGCACACUUCUUAUCAAAAUCGAAAUAAGAAAAAGAAAAUUUGGGAUUUCGAGACUUUUGGGGCGUUACAAGUUCAAACGAGAUUUUUUUAUAUCACAUCUCUGUUAAGCUUGCUCGUAAUGUCAAUCUCAAUGUCCAUAACACUCAUCACUUACUCGUGGAGUAAUCAAAGCAUAACUCGUAAUAACAUUGAAGAAUUUUAAUUCACGUAAUACUCAACAUCAAAAAUAUAACAUAACAUCACAUUAUUUUAUAUGAACUUACCUCGGUACAAAAUGAUGAAAACGAGCCUAUUCUUCGUAAACCUUGUUUUUCCCCCGAUCAAAACCCGAAUCAUGUUUUUCUUGAUCUAUAAUGCCAAAUUUAACUUAUUUAAUACAUACAUUGUUUGAAUCGACCCAUAACACAUACUUUGAUAAAAUUACCUUUUUACCCCUAACUUUUUACUUAUUUACAAAUUGGUCCUUAGGCUCGUAAAAUGAAAUACAUGCAUUUUCUUUACUACCCAAGCCUAGCCGAUUCAUAUUCCUACUCUUAGCAGCCUACGUUUUUCUUUAUUUCACAUAUUUACUACCCAUUUUACAACUUUUACAAAUAGGUCCUUUACAUGCAUUUCCAUCAAAAAUCACUUAGUAAAAGAUGUUAAACACACAUCAAAAUUUUAUAUUCCUCCAUUAAAUAUCGAAAAUACAUGCAUGUCACACAUGGGUAAGUUUUUGAACAUGAACCCUAGCUUAAAAUAAGGGUAGAAAUAACUAGAUCAUGUUUCAAAGAUCUCAAAAACAUGAAGAACAUAAAAAACAGAGCUAAGAUGUACUUACUAUUGAGCUUGAAAAGUUGAAAAACCCUAUAUAUGGAACCCUUAGGAAUUUCAGCUAUGGCAUGGAGAAGAUGAGCAAAUUUUGCUUGAUUUUUCCCUUUUUUAUUCUUUUAUUAACUAAAUGACUAAAUUGCCCUUUAAUGCCUUUCUUUUAAAUUUUCCUUAGCAUGCCUACUUUUUUCUAGAAUUUUAAAACUUGGCCAAAUUACUAUUUAAGGACCUCUAGUUAAAAAUCCAUAGCAAUUUCAUGCUUAAAGCUUCUAGAACUCAAGUUUUACAACUUAUUCAAUUUAGUCCCUAACUUCAAAUUAGACACUUUAGGCAUAAAAUUUCUUCAUGAAAAUUUUACACAAACAUGCAUUCAUAUCAUGGAUCAUCAAAUAAUCAUAAAAUAAUUAUUUCUACUUCAUAUUUUUGGUCUCGAAACCACUGUUUUAACUAGACCCUAAUUUUGGGAUGUUACAUCUUAGUUGAUUUUUGAAUGUAUUGUUGUGUGAAUUGUUGUGUUGAAGUUUCGGAUUCACAAGGACCAUCUACAAGCUAGAAAAGGCUAGUUUUAGCUUUCAGCAUUUCGGCAAAAGCGUAGUGGUAAAUCUUUAGAUUAAUUGCUUGUGGACAUGAUUUAAUGCGUUAUUUGGGAAUUUAGUGGUACUAAACCCUUACUCUAAAUUUUGAGUGUAAGCUUUCUUGUACCCAGGUUUAUCUUGUGCGAUAUGUGCUUGUGUUAUUGUGAAAUUGUGAACUAAAAUGAGAUGCUAAAUAUGUGCUAUAUAUUUAUGAUUACUAUUGUGAAAGAGUAUAUGUGUAAGCAUGUCAUACAUGCUAAGUGACAGUGAUAAUAUUGUGCAAAUGAUACAAAUGUGCAGUGAAAGUAAUAAAAAAUCGAUAAGUAAUAUGUAUGUUUAAAUACAAAUAUUUUGACCUUGUGAUACUUGAGACCAUUGGAUAUAAUUGGCAUGCCAUAAGAUUGUGAGUACUCAUCAAUAUGUUUGAUAAAUCGUAAUUCAUACAUAUUUCUAUCUCAUGCUUAGCACAUUUUAUGGAUGAUUUAUCCUUAAAUUUGGUGAAUUCGAUGCUCCUAAUGCCUUAAUUUCAUGUUUUAUACUUAGGUGAUCAUAGGAGAGUGAAAGGAACGAGAUAUGGGCCAAAAACGAAGAAAAUGGGCCAACGUACGAAAUCAACACAGCUGGUCUUCCUUACACUGGCAUACCGCACGGUCGUGUCAAUUUGGCAGAAUCGAAGCACGACUCACAGGGGUAGACCACAUGCCCGUGCCUAUUUAACAGGCUUGACCACGGCCUGAAGUAAUCGCACAUGGGCGUGUCCUUGUCGAGCACAAGCAGAGUCCUAUUCGGAAAAUGUAACACCCCUUACCCGUAUCCGUCGCCGGAACAGGGUACGAGGUAUUAACAAAUUAUAGUAUAUUCUAUUAAAUAAAACCCAACAAAAAUAUGGCGUGCAAUUUGAUCAUGAAUCAUUAUAACAUAUGCCAUUAACAAUACAAACCAAUUUCAAAGGCUUCGUACAAAAUGAUUAGUUUGAUACUAUAAGUAGUAUUUUAUACCUAGACAAUUAUGACACAUAACAAAAUAACUAAGUCUGCUAUACAUGCCAUAUUUCAAAAUGUUGAGUUCAGAUACCAAGAGUAUUGAUAGUGCGGGCGGAUCUUCAACGAUCUCUAACUCCUGUGCUAGCUGGAUGACACUAUAAGACAAAGGAGAGAAAAGAAAGUAAGCUUAUAGCUUACUAAGUAAGUAUAUAAAUAACUGAUAAGGAAUCUAAUAUGUUUACAACAUAACUCAAUUAUAUCAUAUUUUUAAUUUUUUUACUAUUUACUCCGGUUUGAUCAAAGUGUCCCUCCUGCGUCAUAAUCACUAAAUAAAUCAUAACUCGAGUUAAAAAACUCCAAAUUCAAAUCCGUAAAAUUUCCCUAAAUCUAGACUCAUAAAUAUUCUUACUAAUAUUUUCUCUAGAAUUUUUGGUUCAGCCAAUUAGUACAGUUUAUUAGUUAAAAUUUCCCCCGUUACACAGCUCAACUGAUCUGACCUCUGUUAACUACGAAUUGAAUUUCUCUUAGUACACAAUUCAAAUAACCAUGAAACCUAUUUCAUUUAAAACUAGACUCAAUAAGGAAUUUAGGAAUAUAAACUAUAUUUCUUAAUUUGUUUUGUAGAAUUUUUAAUGAUUUUUCAAAGUUGGAACAGGGGAUCAUAUAGUCAUUCUGCACAAGUCACACACAAUUGUAAAUAUCUCAAAAUAUAGAAUUCCUUUGCUUGCUCUGUUUCUUUUAUAUGAAAAUAGACUCAUUAAGAUUUAAUUUCACAUCUCAUUCAACCUCGAAUUAAAUUUCUUCUAUUUUUGAUGAUUUUUAAAAAUCACAUCACUGAUACUGUCCAAAACAGUUUUAAUGCUAAUUUCACUCUUUCACACAUUCUUUGUACUAACCUCAUUUUAACUUAUAUAUAUAUCACAAAUCAUUUUCACUACAUUUCACACAUCACAAGUAUAGGCCCAUAACUACAAUGUCACCACAAAGCCAUCCCGUUGAACAAUUUGGAUUAAUCCUCGAUACUUGACGGUUUCAGCACACAGCCCCACAAUCAUAUUUCAUUUAAUUCGGCUCUCUUGUACACAUGGUGAACACUUAGUACCACUCAUGCAACCUAGACGAUUUGUCUCGUAGCUCUCUUGUCUACAUGGUGUCCUUCACUUGGAAUCACGCAUGCGACCUAGCUACAUUUAUCUCUCACGUAGCUCUCUUGUCUACAUGGGAUACAUCCCGUAUCACACAUGUGACCUAGCUACUACAUAGUAUCUCGUAGCUUUCUUAUACACAUGAUGUGCACUCGGCACCAUACAUGUGACCUAGCUACGCCCCCUCUAUUUUAUUCGAUCUUUCCGAAUGUUCAACCGGGAUCUCUCUCUAUUACUUAUUUCCAUUCUUCCAAUAGUCGAUUUAUACUUCAACAUCAUCUAAUAUAUAUAAUAGGCUGAAAUAUAAGAAUGUAAAUGAAAUUAAUGUAUUAUUUACGUACAAACUUACCUCGGUGCAAAAUAUGGGAAUUUUGCAAUUUAGUCCAAAACUUUCUCCUUCCCCCGUUCGAGGUCGAUUCCACGCUUUUCUUGAUCUAUAACAACAUAUUUAGUUCAUUUAACAAUCGAACUAUUUAUUUUAAUUCAAAAAUCACAUUAUACAAAAAUUACAUUUUUGCCCCCUAACUUUUACAAAAUUAUGAUUUUUCCCCAAGGCUCAGAAAUUUAAUUUCAGCCCUUAUUCUUAUGUUUAAUGACCUACUGAUCAUUUUUCUCUUCUAUGGAAACAUCAAAUUCUCACUCUAACACAUAGUUAUGAAUAAUAGGUAUUUUUAUCGAUUAUGCUGUUUUGCUCGUUUUCGUUAAAAAUCGCUUAGAAAAGAUCGUUCUCCUAACUUCAAACAUUCAUAUUCUACCAUCAAACAACACAAUACAUGCCUAUCAUUCAUGGGUAAAUUUUUAAGCAUACACCCUAACUCGAAAUAAUGGUAGAAAUAAGUAAAUCGAGCUACGAAGAUUUCAAAAAUGUGAAGAACAUUAAAAACGGGGCUUGAAAUCACUUACUAUGAAGCUUGAAAAUUGAAGAAACCCUAGCUAUGGAGGAGAGAAAAUUUCGGCAGCAACUAGUGAAGAUGAUGACCAAUUUUGUGUUAUUUUUCCCAUUUUAUUUCAUUUAAUAUACAAAUUACCAAAAUGCCCUUACUACUAAACUUUCCACAAAUUCCCUCCAUGUCCAACUUUUGUCCAUAACUUAGGAAUGGGUCAAAUUGCUAUUUAAGACCUCCUAGUUAAUAUCCCAAAACAAUUUCAUACUAAAAACUUCUAAAACACAAGUUUUACAAUUUAUUCGAUUUAGUCCCUAAUCUCAACUUAAGCGCUCAAUGCAUAGAAUUUCAUCACGAAAUUUUCACGAAAUCAUGAAAUCAUAUCAUAAACCCCAAAAUAAUUAUAAAACAAUUAUUUCUAUCUCAGAUUUGUGGUCACGAAACCACUAUUCUGAUUAGGCCCUAAUUCGGGUUGUCACAAUUCUCCCCCCUUUAGAGAUUUUCGUCCCCAAAAAUCUUACCGGUAAAGAGGUUUGGGUACUGUUUCCUCAUAGCUUCCUCAGGUUCCCACGUAGCCUCUUCUAUCCCAUGUCUGUGCCACAAUACUUUCACUAAGGCUAUACUUUUAUUUCUUAACUGUUUAAUUUCUCGAGCCAAAAUCUUUAUUGGUUCCUCCUCAUAGGUCAUAUCCGGUCGAAUCUCAAUUUCUGUUGGAGAAAUCACAUGUGAAGGAUCAUAACGAUAACGUCGCAACAUUGAUACAUGAAACACGUUAUGAAUUCUUUCUAACUCUGUCGGUAAGGCCAACCGAUAUGCCACUGGCCCAAUCUUCUCACUACUUUAGCCAUUUACUUUUACUGCAAUUUAAAUUUUAUUCUAAUUUUUAUUACUAAUUCUUCUUUUUCCCUUUUUCUGACAGGUUCUUAUAGUUUAUGACUAGAAGAAACCCUUCAGGACCAUUACUUUUUGACAGUGAGAUCGAUCGCACAAUUCGCAGAAACCAAAGAGAAAUAAGGCAAAGCUUAAGAUACACAGAGAACGAGAAAGAGGACGAUAUUCAAACCACAACUAACGAGAUGGCUGAAAAUCAAGAAAACCUGAUACCUCCUGCGAUUGCUGUUAAUCUAAUAAAUCAGAAUCCUGCUUCGCGCACUAUGUAUGAUUAUGCUUAACCGUCUUUAACAGGAACUGAAUCGAGCAUAGUUAGGCCUGCUGUAGCUGCAAAUACUUUUGAACUGAAACUUAACACAAUUCAAAUGAUAUAGCAAUUUGUUUAGUUUGAUGGUUUACAGGACGAGGAUCCCAACGCUCACUUAGCAAACUUUUUAGAACUAUGUGAUACAUUUAAAAUUAAUGGCAUUUCUGAUGAUGCCAUUCGCCUUCGGUUAUUCCCUUUUUCAUUAAAAACAAAGCUAAACAGUGGUUGAAUUCUUUACUGCGGGGGUCAAUCACUACUUGGGAACAAAUGACUGAAAAGUUCUUAUUAAAAUAUUUUUCGCUGGCUAAAAUGGCUAAAUUACGUAAUUAUAUCUCUUCUUUUGUACAAAUGGAUUUAGAAACACUCUACGAUGCAUGGGAGAGAUAUAAGGACCUUUUGCUAAGAUGCCCUCACCAUGGGUUACCACUCUGGCUAUAGGUUCAAACUUUUCAUAAUGGCCUAAAUCCUUCGACUCGACAAAUGGUUGACGCAGCUGCUGGUGGAACCAUCAAUAAUAAAACAGCUGAUGAUGCCUAUGAAUUUAAUCCAAGGUAGCCUGCCAAGCAACACUGAAUCUAAUCCAAGGAAGCAACUCAACGCAAUUUCCAUUCAAGAUGAGGAAGGGCUAGUGGCAAAACCAAGGCCAGAACUAGUGGUAAGCGAAGGUAAGAAUGAGGUAGGCCAAAACGAACAAAAAUCGGUAAGUCCAGAAUAUAAACUCGUGUGCUAUACCCCAAUGCGACAAGGAAAGACCGCUCAGGUGAAAAUUUUGGUAAAUUCCUUAAACUUUUAAAGAAACUACAUAAUAACUUACCGUUUAUUGAAGCACUUUCACAGAUGCCAAACACAAUCAAAUUGUUAAAGGAGCUUCUGGCAAAUAAACGAAAGUUAGAUGAAAGGUCGCAUGUGGAGCUGAACGCUGUUUGCUCAUCCAUUCUUCAGAAUAAGCUACCCAACAAACUAAAAGAUCCAAGGAGUUUUACGAUUCCUUAUUUAGUUGGUAGUUUAGAUGUUAAUAAUGCGUUGGCUGAUCUAAGGGCUAGUAUCAAUGUUAUGCCUUACAAAUUGUUUAAGCAACUAGGUCUAGGGAAACCCAAACAAACUAGGAUGAGCAUUCAAUUAGCAGAUAAAACUGUCAGAUUUCCUAGGGGUAUUAUUGAAGACGUACUCGUUAAAAUUGACAAAUUUAUAUUCCCAUUUGAUUUUUUUUGUUUUAGACAUAGAAGAGGAUAGUAACGUUCCUUUAAUUUUGGGAAAGCCCUUUUUAGCAACUGUUAGAACAAUUAUUGACGUUGGCAUAGGUGAACUCACACUUCGUGUAGGAGACGAAACAAUCACCCUUCAAGCUCGCAACCCGAACAACACAUCAAAAAUUGAAGGUAAUUGUACAAAUUGUUCCAGUAAGACUGAUCAUAAGUUCGAAGGACACACAUGAGCCAUGUUCAAUCCACAACAAAGAAUCUACCCAUGAAGAACGAAGGUUACGAAUCAAGGAGUUAGAUGAAUGGCUAACAUUUAAACUGAGAAAACACGAUAAACUAAAACUACGUCAGAAUGAGUGCCUCACCAAAUUAACUUAAGGUUGGAGAUAAAGUUUCAUUAGAUGCCGCAGAUCCUCAUUGACACUGCCAAACCGAAUGAAGAAAUUCCUCUUACGGUACUUAGCAUUUUCCCAUUUGGUACAGUCGAGGUAAGUCAUCCCAAAUUCGGCACCUUCGGCACCUUUAAGGUAAACAAUACCCGCCUAAAACCUUAUUUUGAUGGGAUUCAUAGCAGGAAUGAGGAAUAUAAACUCCUCGAACCACCAUGACCAUUCACCAGAAAGGUAAGUCGAGCUUAGACUAUAAAUAAAUGCUUCUCGGGAGGUAACCUGAGCACUAAAAAUAUUAAUUUCUUUAAAUUUUAGUUUUAACAUCUAACAUACUAACCGACUCAUGGAACGUAGGCUUUCUAAAGCACACACGGCCAGGCACACGGGCGUGCCUUAGGCCGUGUGAAAAUAGGGUGAAAUUUUCCCCAACACGGGAUGUGAUAAGUCACCACGACGUGCAUUAGGACCGUGGGCGAAUCUGCCAAAACAAUGCGGGUGUGUGACACGCCAGUGUCAUAGAAACGUGGUUAAACCUGAGAAAAUAGCACGGGCAUUCGCCAUGCCCGUGUCUAAAACCCGUGGCCGAACUUUUCAAAUUAACAUCGGCGUGGGCCUACAUACACAGGCUUGGGAGAAGCGAUCGAAGACAGACACGGCCGUGUGCACCCACAUGCCCAAGGAACACGGGCAUGGGCCAAAUGUCAGACGCGCCCAAACUCAAAAUUCACGAAUCACACGGGCAAAAAUUGGGGAACACGGGCGUGUCCUCUGGCUGUGUGUCUCAAAAUCUAUAAAUACCCUUCACUAUUCAUCAUCUUCUUCACCCAAAAUCCCUAACCCUAGCCGCUGCAAGUCCACAUGGCCUCUCUGCCAUGGCCAUGCGCCGCAUCCAACUCCAUUUUCGACACCCAUUCUCAUCCUUUUAGCAUUAGUUUACUCUUUUCUCUCUAUUUCCUUCAUCCCUUUUAAUAAUUCUAUGAUUCUUAUGGUUUUAUUUGGCAUAUUUUUUAUUUUUUUUCAUAGUUCUCACUAUAGUCAUGCUUAUCGUUUAUUCUUUGCCAUUUUAGUCAAUGCUUUCUGAUACAUUCAUUCUUUUCGUGUGUUCCCAUAAGAGUCUAGUUCAGUCAUUUUAUUUUGAAAAUAAUCAUGCUUUUAUUAUGUCAAUUGCUAUAUAAACUUCUAUCAUUUAGAUUAAACUACUGAGUAUUAUUGGUUGGACUGGUUAGUUUAACUAUAUUCAUGAUUACUUCUUAAGUUAAUUAUUUAUGUUAUAUUCUUUGUUCUUCUUGCAGGUAUACCAUCACAAGCUCACGUGGUAAGAAAACUGUCAUUCCCGCUUCGAAAAAGUAGAAAGAGGCGUCUUCCUCAGGCCCUACCGCGGAAAUUCACCACCCAUACCUCCAAUUUCCACCCGACAAUUAGGAGGAACUAUUCCAAAUUCUACGGGCCCAACCUUUAGGUGUGGGCCACUGCAUUGACUGGACAGUGCUUGAACAAGUCCAGUUGGCUGACAAUGUACGAGCACUCCUGACAACCGACCCAUGAGACCUCUUCUUUGCGAUCAUCGAGCCGACGUACCUUAAGCUCACACUUGAACUUUGCUCGACAUUCCAUGUUCAAGACGUCAUGACCAACUUUGAUGAUCCUGGAAUAGUCUAGUUCCGUCUCUGCGGUUUAGUCCGCUAGUUGAAUGUGCCCGAGUUGGGUAUAGCUUUGGGCUUGUACACAGAAGAGUUUAUGGAUUAGAACGACCUUGACACUCUCUGUCGCCAUAUUCACUACUUUUCCUCGAAGUGCUGGUAUGCUUUGGUCCCCAGUUCAGCCACUUACUACCCAAGCCACUCCAAGGCAUCGGCUCUCUCUCCCUCCUUGCGGUACCUACAUGCCAUCUUGGCACACACUUUAACAGGACGUCAAGAGAGCACCGGUAUCGUCAACACUCACAAUGCUUACUUUCUAUGGAGCAUGGCGAAUGGGCAUGUACUCGACCUCGCCUAUUUUAUUACCCUCGCCAUUCGCCACCAGACGGAGCGACAUCGAAGGGGGGUCAUCUCGACUGGCCCCUACGUGACUCGACUGGCACGGCACUUCGGGCUCCUCAACACAGCAGGCCAAUCAUCCUCCCUUACUCUUAUUGGCCAGAUGUCCCCACAAGGCAUCUCGAGCAUGUUCAGUAUGAGGAUGAUCAAGAAGCCCCGAAUAACCCACCCUCCUUAGUAUCGCCUCUCCCAAUCAGUCGAGGAGGGAGACCUUGAGAAUAUUACUGAUGAUGUCCCUCCACGUCAUGAGGACCUACCGUCUCAGCCACCACCACCCUCUCAUCCAGUUCAUACGGCGACUUCGUACGCUGACAUCUCUGAGCGCCUUACCCGAUUGAAGCAACAGUGUUUUCAGUGGUUCGAUAAUAUUGACGCUACUUUACAGCAAAUUUUUCAACACUUCCAGAUCUCAUCGCCACCCCCACCUCGAUAAAUAUUUAUAAUGAAGAUCAAACCUAGACUAACUAUUAUCACGAUGAAAAAGCAAGUACACCUAUCGAACAAUAGUAUAGUAAUGGCAAGACCGGAUAUCGUACCUAAGGGAACCAAAAGUACUAGUAAUAACUAUCUUUUUAUUAUCUAACCUAGAAAUAAAGAGGGGUUGUUUAUUAAACUAAUUAACUAAACUAAUUAACUAAUUAAACUAAAGUAAAGAGAAGAGUUGGAAAAAGACUUGAAGAAAAUUAAUUUGAUAAAAACGACACCCAAGGAGGAAUCCACCUAGAUUUCACUUGUUAUCUGACUCUAAACCAGAAGAUUUAUUCACUUGACUUGAUCCGUGAGACUCCCUAACCUAUGUUAUUAUCUCUUUCGAGACUAAUAAUAUCUAACCCUCGGUUUAAUUAAUCAAAAUUUCAUUCUUAAUUAAAACCCUUAGGGAAGCAGUAAAUCGAUCUAUGGACUCCCAUAUUAGGUUUCACCCUAAUCUGGCAAAAUCUCGUAACCCUAUUUCUAGGCGUUCGAUCAACUCCGCUUAAUUAUGCCAAAUCUACUCUUAGACAGGGACUUUUGCUCCUCUGCAUAAGCACAUCAAAUCAUGAAUUAAUACCUGGAAUAUUAACUCAAGCAUUAAGACACAUAAUUAAGAACAAGUCAAGUAUUUAUCAUAUAGUUCAGAUAAUAAUAACAAGAUCCAUCAUAGGUUUCAACCCCCUUAGGUAUCUAAGGGGUUUAGUUCAUAAUAAGAUAAGAGUACAUCUCAAAAGUAUGAAAAUAACAAAACAUAAAGAAAGCUCUAAAACCCCUGAAGGAAUUUUGAGAGAGAUCUUCAGUCUUGAAGUAGCUCCGGCUUUUGGGGUGGAUCGUCUGGCUUCCUUCAAGUAAUUCCUAGCGUGUGGUUCUGUAUUCCAGAGAAGUUCUGGAAGAGGGCCCCUUUCUAAGUCAUACUUAGGGUGUUUAUAUAGGCUUUGGAUUGGCUUUCUUCCUCCCUAAGUAUCAUUUUUCGUGUAAAAUACAACUCUUUGAGAAAAGGGACACGCCCGUGUGCCACGGCCGUGUGACGUGAUUACCACGUCGUGUUUGAUCCAUUAAUUUUCACAUGACCGUGUGGGUCAAUGGCCAGGCCAUGCGAAUCGUGAAAGCCCUUGGCCGACACCCUCGAAAGACACGAGUAUGUGAGCAGUUCGUGUGGAAAGGCUUAGGCCGUGUCAUCUUCUCGAUUUGGUCUGUUUUGUCCCUUUUUUAGCUCAUUUUUGGCUCCUUUUGACUCUUGGUGCUCUCGUAAGUACAAAACAUGAAAUAACCGAACUAAGAGUUCCAAAAUCCAAAAAUCUAGUGAUAAACAUCCAUAAAUAUGCUAAGUAUUUGGGGUAAAAAUAUGUAUAAUUUGGCAUUUAUCAAAUACACCCACACUUAAGCAUUUGCUUGUCCUCAAGCAAAACUUUCAUUUAUUGCUAUAAUUCCUUCCUUUCAAUCACACAAUCAUUACUGAUAAUGUUACAAACUAUUCCAUGGAAAAUCAUACAGUGAGAAUUCAACCAUAGGGGCAUUAAAAGCCUCAAACAAUCUAAAUCGAAUAUUUUGAUAAUAAAAUUAUAGGUAAUCUCCUUCCUCUAAGUAAUUGGCUUUAGUCCUAAAUAUACAAAAGAUGACAUCCUCACUAGCGAUCCACUCAAAUCACUCAAAGUGUUUAAAGUUUAAGAUUAAGCACUCGGUUGUCUAACAUGAGAAGUUAUUACCAUAGGCUUGCAUGAAAAUCAAAUCUCCACCACUUGUAAAUGAUAUGAUACACAAAUCAAAAGGUCUUUGUAUAGUUGUAACAGGGUUUAAGGGACGGGUAUAGAUACAAACUGAAGAGACAAAGGUUAAAAUCGAGAUAAUUUCAAUAUAUUACCCCACUAUCAAAAACUUAAUUAUUGAAUCACAAACAAAUAUCUAGAACUAUAUUACAUGAGCUCAUGACAACUUUAGCUUGCUGAGGAUUACAAUAACAAUACUGAGAGUUUUUUUUUGGUUUCAAGAACAAAACAAGUCAAUACAAUAUAAAAAUCAUACUUCAUGAUUCAGUAACAAAAAAUGGUGAACAUAGUGAGGUAACAAUAUUAAAUUUAAUCUCGAUAAAAAAAGUAAAUUAAUUAAGAGGAUUUCAACAAUAAUGGGUUAAUGGGUUAAUGAUAAGGGUUAAUCAAUAAAAAAGUUUAGUAGGCUCAAAAGAGGUUCACUAAGGGUUUAAUUAUGUGGGAAGGCUUUUUAUGGAAUAAGUGGGUUAAAUCCUAAGUGCCUUUAUCAUCUCAGUAUAUCAAAUCAUACGUGUGAUCUCGACAUGUAUAAUUGAAGAAAGUUCUAGAAUAACAGUUCAAUGUUGACACACUCAAACCACAAAAUAAGUGAGCAAGAAAGAAAGCUUAUAUGCUCAAAAAGCUCAAAAAUCUCACGAAAAAUUUGGGUUUGUGAUGUCAUUCCUGUAUACUUAAGAUUUCAAGAUAAUACCUCAAUUUAGGAAAGUAGUCUAAAAAUUUUAGUUAUCAAAAUAUCAACUUAUCAUGCUCAAUUCUCUAAUGUCCUAUAAUCAAAUGAUCAUGCAUAAUUCCCAUGAUCUAAUUCAUGACAUAUCAACAAUAAUUAUAGAUCAAUCAGAAUUCAUUCGAUUAAGAUUAUGAGAAAAUCACUUAAGCACAAAACCAAAUUCAGGGAUUUGAGAAUAAUGCAAAAAGUUAGGUUUCAUGUUCAUGUUCACCCCCCACACUUAAGAUGUACAUUGCCCUCAAUGUACAAAGAUAGAUUAAUCAAAAUAAAGAAAGUCAUAAGAGGGAAAGAGGUGAAACUCCCUGUUAUAUGGAUGCAGAGGUUGAUUCUGAGGCUGGAGUGUUUGGGGAAAGUGGUAGCUGCCACUGUUCUUGGCUAGAUGAAGAAAUUGGGUCAUUGAACAUGGCACUCGUUGGGUAUUGUCCCUAUUUGUUUCCUCAGUUCGUAAAAUAUUCCUAGCAACUUUGCUUGGAAUUCUGUAGAAUCAUGAAGAGCUUAUUAAGAGUUGGUGUGGAAGAGAGCGUAGUAGGAUUACUUGUUAGAAAUACCAGAAAAAAAUGAAGAAAGUAAAAUUUACUAAUAUAGAUAUGUCUUUCAAAAGAAAAUAAUAAGAUUGAAAUGAAAAUAAAAAAAGAAAAAGAAAAAUAGAGAUAAAAAUAAAAAGAUAGAAGGAUUCAAUGAUCCUCAUCAGUGGGGCCCUCAGUUGGUGGCGCUGGAGUGGCAAUGUGAAAGUGCUGGCACAGCUACUGCAUCAUGGCUUGCAUGUCGUCCAUCUGUCUAUCACAUCGCCGAUCUCGCUCGUGAAUCAUCUCGAACUGUUACUGCUCAAAGUGAGCGAGUCGGUCAGAAAGGUGUGCCAAUGAAAAAGCCGCAUGAACUGGUCGUUCCCCAGAUAGCGUGAUAGGAGGCUCCUCGUGCUGUGGUGGGACAUCAUCAGGAAUGUCCUCAAGAUCCUCCUCAUCAAUGGCAUGAGUGAGACGGUACUGAAGAGGAUCGGUCCCACGUCGGCGCUCAAUCAUCCUUAUGUGUAACAUAGUAGUGAUGCCCUGUGGGGACAUCUGACCUAUCAGUGUAAACGCUGAUGACUGGACCACAGUGUUGAGGAGGCCGAAGUGUCUGGCAAGGUGCGUCACGUAGGGGCCGAUAGAGAUUACUCCCUUCCAAUGCCGCUCGGUCAGAUGGCGAAUGGCGAAAGUAAUGAAAUAUGCCAAGUCAGUCACAUGUGCAUUCGCCAUGCACAAUAAAUAGUAGGCGUCGUGGGUGGUGACAACGCCGAUGCUCUCUCUCCUUCUGGUCAAAGUGUGUACCAAUAUGGCAUGGAGAUAUCGUAGGGAAGGGGGAGAGCUGAGGCCUUCGAGCGGCUGCGGUCAUAAGUGGAAGAGAGUGGUGCCAAAACCUUCCAGCACAAGAAGGGAGAAAUAUGGAUAUUGCGUGGUAGUGCAUUCAUGUCCUCCUCCUCCAUAAACUCAUCAACGUAAAUUCCCAAAGCAACUCCAAACUCUGGGACACUCAUCGCGUGAACUAGACCGCCUAAUCGGAAGUGAAUGGUGCCGGGGUUAUCAUUGUUCGUCAUCACCACCUGUAAAUGAAAAGUAGAGCAUAAUUCUAAAGUUAGCUCUAAAUAAGUGGGCUUGAUAAUAGCGAAGAACCGUUCCUAUAGGUCUAUGGACAGGAGGGCGUGGAUGGCAACAGCUAGCUGGACUUACUCUACGGCAGCCCAGUGAUGCAGAGACCUGUAGAGAAGGGUCGUGCGCGUAGUAUCUGAAAUAGCUCCUCCUGCGAAGCUUGUGGAAAUUUAAGGAAUGGGUGCCGAAAUUCAACUGUAGCACGUACCGAGGAAUAACCCGAUCCCCUAUGUCUCUUUGAGGAUGGGACCGCGACCUUCUUACCUCUCGAUGAUGACAUAAGGUACCAGAAAAUGUAGGAGCAUUGAUAUAGUAGUUUCAAGAUGUGGUAACAUUUAUCGAUAUCAAGCGAGAGGUGAAAAUUUUAUAUGAUUAUUCAAAAACAUAUACUGAGAUAAAAAAUGCAUGAUCGGUUAAGCAAGAAUCCUAGAACUAGUAUAUGCUAUUUAGUAGCUUAAAAAAUUUAAAUAUAGAAAAUACUAAAGCAAAUUCUUAACUUAUUCAGAACAAAUUGGUAACAGAAACAAUAUCUUUGUAAGGCAUAUAGAACACUAAUGUAGUAACACAAAUUGGAAAAACAAGGUUGACAAAGUGAACCAAAAUUGCUGUAAGGCGGCGCACGAGUGUGUUGAUGGCGAGCACGGGCGUGGGGCGUGAGUGUACAGUCGUGUGGAGGAAAAAUAGAGGGAAAAGUGAGGAUUGAUGCAGGGGGAGUGGAUUUGAGGGUGGUUUGGGGGUUGGGGAAGUGAGAAUCUAGGGAAUGGUGGUCGGAAUAAGGAUUAGGGAGUGGAGAAGGAUAGAUUUCAACUGGGGUUUUGAAAGAAGGAAGAAGAUGAACAGUGGUUUGCUUAUAUAAGGGAGAGUCACAAGGCCUAGGGCCACACCCGUGUACUCUGAGGGUGAGCCCGUGUUUUUCAAAUUUUACGAUUUAGGUCGUGCCCAGCUACUAUCCCACGCAUGUGUGUCUUGGGCGUGUGUGGCACAUGGCCAUGUCGCACGCCCGUGCCUAGCUUUGUUACCAUACCCGUGUAUUGUUGUCCACAGCUUAAAGGCAUAGGCGUGCCUCACACCCGUGUCAAAGAAACAGAAUCGAGCCUUGCCCUUGGCACGUCCGUGUUGUUUCAUUCCCACGCCCGAGUUCACCUAUGAAGUUCAUCCACGGCCAUUUCGCACAGCUGUGGGGAGUUUUUGCAUCCCGUGUUUGGGGAAAUCAUGUCCUGCUUUCACACGGCCGUAUAGCACGGCCGUGUCUCUUCCCCUGUUUUCCACGGCUUUAGACACUCCCGUGUUCCUGGCCGUGUGUGCUGAAAAACUUUGCUAUUCAAAGAUAAAGUUAAUGAUUUAACUUGUUAGAAUUUAAAAAUAAAGAAAUCAAAAUAUGUUAGUGCUCGGGUUGCCUCCUAAGAAGUGCUUAUUUAUAGUCUAAGCUCGACUUACCUCUCUAGUGAAUGGUCAGGGUGGUUCGAGGAGUUUAUACUCCUCAUUCCUGCUAUCAACCUCAUCAAAAUAGGGUUUUAAUCGGGUGUUGUUUACCUGAAAAGUGCCAAACUUUCGGUGAUUCACCUCCACCGUAUGGAAUGGAAAUAUACUGAGUACCGUAAGAGGGAUUUCCUCAUGCGGUGUGGUAGUGACAAUGUGGGGAUCUGCGGCAUCUAGUAAGACUUUAUCGCCAACCUUAAGUUGAUUAGGAGAGGUAUUGGGCUUGUUUUGGCGUAGUUUCGAUUUAUCAUGUGUUCUCGAUUUGUGUGCUCACCAUUCAUCUAUCUCCUCUAUCCGUAGGCUUCGUUCUUCAUGAACGUAUCCUUUAUCAUUUCCAGAACAUGGCUCAUGAAUGUCUUUGAAGCUCAAUUUCUACAAAGUCAUAUUGUCAAUUUUAGUAUAUUGGUGUGGACUAUUACCUUCAAUGUUCGAUGUAAUGUCAGAAUUAUGAGCUUUAAAGGUGAUCGUUUCAUCUCCCACACAAAGUGUAAGUUCACCUGUGCCAACAUCAAUAAUUGUUUUAGCAAUUGCUAAAAAGGGCCUCCCUAAAAUCAAAGGGGUGUUAUUAUCCUCCUCUAUGUCUAGAACAAUGAAAUCAAUGAGGAAUAUGAACUUAUAUCCUUUCACGAGUACAUCUUUAAUAAUACCCCUAGGAAAUCUUAUAGUUUUAUUUGCCAAUUGAAUGCUCAUCCUAGUUUGUUUAGGUUUCCCAAGAGCAAGUUGUUUAAACAUUUUGUAAGGCGUGACGUUAAUACUAGUCCCUAAAUCAGCUAAUGCAUGACUUAUAUCUAAACUACCAAUUAAACAAGGAAUUGUAAAACUCCCUGGAUCUUUCAAUUUGUGGGGUAGCUUAUUCUGUAGAAUAGCUGAGCAGACUGCGUUUAGCUCCACAUGUGAUGCUUCGUCCAACUUUCGCUUAUUUACUAAAAGCUCUUUCAAAAAUUUCAUUGCAUUUGGCAUUUGCGAAAAAGCUUCAAUAAACGGUAAGUUAAUAUGUAAUUUUUUCAAAAGUUUGAGGAAUUUACCGAAUUGUUCGUCCUUGUCACGUUAGUGUAUGGCACACGAGGUUCAUAUUUGACAGUCACUGGUUUGUUUGUAUUUUGAUCUACCUCAUCUCUCCUUUUUCUUACCACUGUUUCUUGCCUUGGUUCUAUUUUAGGCUCCACGACUCCUUCGUUAUUCUGGAUAUUAAUUGCGUUGAGCUAUUCCUGUGGGUUGGGUUCAGUGUUACUUGGUAAGCUACCUUGUGGUCGUUCGGAGAUUAGUUUGGAUAGUUAGCCUAUCUAAGUUUUGAGCCCUUGGAUCGAUGCUUGUUGAUUCUUAAGUGUUGUCUCGGUAUUUUGGAAACGGGCGUCUGACACUGAUAUGAAUUUUGAGAGCAUCUCUUCAAGGUUCAGUUUCUUCUCUUGUUGAUAAGGUGGCUGUUGAAAACCCUGAGGAUUUUGUGGCUUUUGAUUUCCUUGACCACCCUAGGAGAAAUUUGGGUGGUUCCUCCAACCUACAUUAUAAGUAUUACAGUAUGGGUUAUUUUGCGAUCUGAAGUUAUUGUUACCCAUAUAGUUGACUUGUUCCUCUUCGGUUAUGAGAUUGAAGGAUUGAUAUUCUGUAUGCACACCUCCUCCACUUGAGUCACACCUCAUUACUGGAUGUACCUACGUAGAACUAAGAAAACCAUCAAUCUUUUUAUUGAGAAGUUCUACCUGAUUUGACAGCAUAACAAUUGAGUCGACGUUAAAAACACCGACUAUUUUCGUUGGCUUAGUCCUCAUGACUUGCCACUGAUAAUUAUUCAGUGACAUCUCCUCUAUAAACUCAUAGGCAUCUUCCAGUGUUUUAUUGUUGAUGGUUCCGCCAGCAGCUGCGUCAACCAUUUGCCAAGUCGAAGGAUUCAGACCAUUGUGAAAUGUUUGUACUUGCAGCCAAAGUGGUAACCUAUGAUGAGGGCACCUUCUCAGUAAGUCCUUGUAUCUCUCCCAUGCAUCGUAAAGUGUUUCUAAAUCCAUCUGCACAAAAGAAGAGAUAUCAUUACUAAUUUAGCCAUUUUAGCCGGCGGAAAAUAUUUUAGUAAAAAUUUCUCGGUCAUUUGUUCCCAAGUAGUAAUUGACCCUCGUGGUAACGAGUUCAACCACUGUUUAGCUUUGUUCCUCAAUGAAAAAGGUAAUAACCAAAGACGAAUGGCAUCAUCAGAGACGCCAUUGAUUUUGAAUGUAUCGCAAAAUUCCAGGAAAUUUGCUAAGUGAGCGUUGGGAUCUUCAUCCUACAGACCAUCAAACUGAAAAAACUGCUGUAUCAUCUGAAUAGUGUUAGAUUUUAAUUCAAAAUUAUUUGCAGCUACAGCAGGUCUAACUAUGCUAGAUUCAGUUCCUGUUAGAAAAGGUUUAGCAUAAUCAUACAUAGUACGUGGAGCAGGAUUUUGAUUAGCUGUAAUUGCAGGAGGUAGCUGAUUGUCUUGGCUUUCAGCCAUCUCUUCAGUUGGGGGUUGAGUAUUGUCUUUUUGCUCGUUCUCCGUGUAUCUUAAGCUGCGCCUUAUUUCUCUUUGAUUUCUACGAACUGUACGAUCGAUUUCUUCGUCAAAAAGUAAUGGUCCCGACAGGUUUCUUCUAGUCAUAAACUAUAAAAACCUGCCAAGAGAAAGAAAAACUAACUUAAUAAAUAAUAAUAAUAAAAUUAAAUUGCAAGAAAAAUAAAUGGCUAAAGUAAUAAAAAUUUAGCAUUCCUAAUAUUUUAGUUCCCUAGCAACGGCGCCAAAAACUUGACCGCGUGAUUCGUAACAAUUAAUAAAUAUUUAUAAUGAAGAUCAAACCUAGACUAAAUAUUAUCACGACGAAAAGGCAAGCGCACCCAUCGAACAAUAGUAUAGUAAUUGCAAGAUCGGGAUAUUGUACCCAAGGGAACCAAAAGUACUAGUAAUAACUAUCUUUUUAUUAUCUAACCUAGAAAUAAAGAGGGGUUGUUUAUUAAACUAAUUAACUAAACUAAUUAACUAAUUAAACUAAAGUAAAGAGAAGAGUUGGAAAAAGACUUGAAGAAAAUUAAUUUUAUAAAGACGACACCUAAGGAGGAAUCCACCUAGAUUUCACUUGUUAUCUGACUCUGAACCAGAUGAUUUAUUCACUUGACUAGAUCCGUGAGACUCCCUAACCUAUGUUAUUAUCCCUUUCGAGACUAAUAGCGUCUAACCCUCAGUUGAAUUAAUCGAAAUUUCUUUCUUAAUUAAAACCCUUAGGGAAGCAGUAAAUCGAUCUAUGAACUCUCAUAUUAGGUUUCAACCUAAUCCGGCAAAAUCUCGUACCCCUAUUUCUAGGCGUUCGAUCAACUCUGCUUAAUUAUGCCAAAUCUACUCUUAGACAGGGACUUUUGCUCCUCUACAUAAGCACAUCAAAUCAUGAAUUAAUACCCGAAAUAUUAACUCAAGCAUUAAGACACAUAAUUAAGAACAAAUCAAGUAUUUAUCAUACAGUUUAGAUAAUAAUACAAGAUCCAUCAUAGGUUUCGACACCCUUAGGUAUCUAAGGGGUUUAGUUCAUAAUAAGAUAAGAGUACAUCUUAAAAGUAUGAAAAUAACAAAACAUAAAGAAAACUCUAAAACCCUUGAAGGAAUUUUGACAGAGAUCUUCAGUCUUGGAGUAGCUCCGGCUUUUAGGAUGGAUCGUCUGGCUUCCUUCAAGUAAUUCCUGGCAUGUGGUUCUAUAUUCCAGAGAAGUUCUGGAAGAGGGCCCCUUUCUAAGUCAUCUUAGGGUGUUUAUAUAGGCUUUGGAUUGGCUUUCUUCCUCCCUAAGUAUCCUUUUCCGUGUAAAAUACAACUCUUUGAGAAAAGGGACACGCCCAUGUGCCACGGCCGUGUGACGUGAUUACCAAGCCGUGUGAAUCGUGAAAGCCCUUGGUCAACACCCUCGAAAGACACGGGCGUGUGAGCAACCCGUGUGGAAAGGCUUAGGCCUUGUCAUCUUCUCGAUUUGGUCCGUUUUGUCUGUAAUAUCCCGAAUUAGGGCCUAAUCAGAAUAGUGGUUUCGUGACCAUAAGUCCGAGAUAGAAAUAAUUAUUUUAUAAUUAUUUUGAGGUUUAUGAUAUGAUUGCAUGAUUGUGUGAAAGUUUCGUGAUGAAAUUCUAUGCCUAAAGUGCUUAAAUUAAAAGUAGGGACUAAAUCGAAUAAGUUGCAAAACUUGCAUUCUAGAAGUUUUUAGUAUGAAAUUGUUUUGGAAUAUUAAUGAGGAGGUCUUAAAUAGCAAUUUGACCAAUUUUAAGUUCAUGGACAAAAUUAGGACAUGGAAGGAAUUUUUGAAAAGUUUAGUAGUAAGGGUAUUUUGGUCAUUUAGUUAUUAAAAUGAAUUAAAAAAAAAUUAAAAGCCAAUUUUUGUCCAUCUUCUUCAUUAGGCCGAAAUUUCAAGGGUUCUCCAUAGCUAGGGUUUGUUUCAAGCUUCCAAGCUCCAUAGUAAGUGAUUCCAAGCCCCAUCUUUAAUGAUUUUUACGUUUUUGAGAUCCCGGUAACUCGAUAAAGCUUAUGUUAGCAAUAAUUUAACCUAGGGUUUAUAUUUGGAAAAAUAUCCAUAGGUGAAAUUUGUGUAUUUUGAUGUUUUAUGAUAGAAUAUGAAGUUUUAAAUUAUGUUAGACAACUUGUACUACUCGAUUUUAAGCAAAAACGAGUAAAAGGGCUUAAUCGGUAAAAAUACCUAAUAGUCACAAGUACAUGUUAGAGUGAGAAUUUGAUGUUUCCAUAGAAGAGAAAAGUGAUCAGCAUGUUGUAAAACAUAAGAAUAAGGAAUAAAGUUUAAUCCCGAGCCUAGGGGCAAAAAUGUAAAUAUGCAAAAGUUUUUGUAAUUUUGCCAAAAUUUGAGUUAAGGAUUAAUUUGAUAAUGUGAGUAUUAAAUAAGCUAAAUGUGUUAUUUUAGAUCAAGAAAGACGUGGAAUCGACCUCAAUCGAGGAAAAGAAAAGAUUGUGGACUAAAUUGCAAAAUCUUUGUAUUUUGGUACCAAGGUAAGUUCAUGUGUAAAUAAUGUAGCAUAAUGGUUAUUUUUAAGUUAUUGAUGUUAAUUAUAUGUUAUGCUGAAUUUUAUUAUGAAAUGUAUGCUUUGUGGUUAAUUUCAAAUAAUAUGUAAAUUAUGUGAACUACUUGUUAAAUAUAAUUGUUACCGAGUAUUGAUUUCGGCAUUCUACGGAAGACGGAAAGGAUAAGUGUUCGAGGAAAAAAGCCAGUUUGAACCUUAGGAAUAGAUUAGGACACAAGUGACAUGUCACUAGGAUGGUUGAGCAUCCGAACUCGUUGAGUUGAGUCCGAGUUCACUUAUGGAUGCGAAUGUCCGAACUCGUUGAGUUGAGUCCGAGUUCGUGAGAUGUAACUAGGCAUCCGAACUCGUUGAGUUGAGUCCGAGUUCACUUAUGGAUGUGAACGCCCGAGCUCGUUGAGUUGAGUCCGUGUUCGCUUAUGGGCGGGUUACAUGAUUGCUUGAUUGCAUAUAUGGCACUUAUGUGCAAGUUAUCCAUGUAUCCGAAUUAUAUUCCGAUGUGUUCAACGGGUAAAGUUCUACUGAAAUGGAGGAAUAUUCGAGAUGUAAGGAGACGUAUUGGUAAGUGAUGUGAAAUGGAUAUUUUGGACAGGUAUGUAUUUAACCCUCGGGUUGAGUAUUGAUACAACCACGAUAAGGUAAUAAGAUGAUGAAAAAUGAUUAAAAAUGUGAUAUGUGUUUUAGUGAUACAUGCUAAUGUUGAUUGGUAUGACUGUUUGUUAUGUUACUUAUUAUUUGCAUAUGAACUUACUAAGCAUUUAUGCUUACUCUCUCCUUCUUACUCAUUGUAGUUUUGGACAAGCCAGCUCAAGAGUCGGGAUAGGUCGAAGGCUCAGUCACACUAUCCGGAAGACUUUUGGUAAUGGCUUGUAAAUUUAAGUAUGGCAUGUAUAGCAAUAUACCUUUUUUGUGUAAAUGAUCUUAUGGUAUGGUGAUGGAAUGGUUGAGGAAAUGCUUGAUAAUGAUAAAUUAUGAAAAUAGUUAGUUUAGAUUAUAUUUGAUGUUAAGGAAAAUUAUUAAGAUACUUAGUGCAUAAAAACUCAUAUAAGGGAUGAAAUUUGCCAUAAACAGAAUACUGCAGCAACACUGAUGCGAGUUUAAAAAUAUACUAAAAAUCAGAGAAAUUGAACUUGGUGAUGUACUACAUAUCAAAUUGAAGCUUAUUAUGUCUAGUUUCACAUGAAACAAAUGAAACAGGUAAAGGAAUUAUAUGUUACAAGAUAUUUGAAUUUUAGUGAAACAGGGUCAUAGCAGUUUCUGAUUCCCCUAUUCCAACUUUAGAAAUUCACCAUAAAUUUUAAAGAUAUAAUUAGGUAGUGUAUUUUAUAUUCUCAGAAUCCUUAUUGAGUCUAGUUUCAGUAGAAACAAACCUCAUAGUCAUAUCGAUUUUUUACAGAGAUAAAUAUGGUUUGUAGUAAACAGAGGUCAGACCAGUCAAGUCCUGAAACAGGGGUAAUUUUAACUAAUAAAAUGUACUAAUUUACCCAACCAAAAAUUCUAUAAAAAAACUAGUAGAUAGGUAUAUGAGUCUAGAUUUAGGGAAAAUUUACGGAUCUUAAUUUCGAGUUUCAUAACUCGAGAUAUGAUUUUUCUUGUGACUGUGAUGCAAGUAGCUUAAAAGCUGUGAAUGUAGAAAUAAAUAAUCCAAAGUUCUAAAUAUGUUAAAUUAAGCUUAGUAACACCUCAUACUCGACUCCGGCGACAGUCUCGGGCGUGGGGGCGUUACAUUGUCCCUUUAUUUUAUGUUUUUAUUUUUAUUCUAUUUUAAGACUACUUUUUCUUUUUACUUUAAGCUUAUUUCUAUUAGAUUUUAUAAUUUUUAUUUUACAAUUAUCAAUUUCGGCUAUUCCAUUACAAGUAAUUAUGCUUCCUUAUAUUUCCUAAAAUAGUUCUUGAUUCUGUCACAGUUAUAAAGUGCACCUCAGCUCAUCAUCACAUAGGAACUAAAAACUCCACCAGGAAAGGUUCUCCAUGACUGCCAUGUCCUGCUUGACCACGACCAUAGCUACCACCAUAUAAAAUUCUUUUGGUGCAGGACUUAUGGACUAAUAAAACUCUACCACCACCGGAGAUUCCCCUCCACUCUCACGCCGAUUAUUCUCCAAAACUCCAGUUCAAGGAAUUCAUUCAUCAUUCAAGAAGUUUCACUUCCCUCCCUAUCUUAUGAUUAUAAAUCUAUCUUUUUCACUAUAUCUACCUUUGUACAUUGAGGGUAAUGUACAUCUUAAGUGUAGGGGGUCUUUUAUAUCAGAAAAAAUCCCUGAAUUUUGUUUUAUUCUCAUGCGAUCUUCUCAUAUCAUUAUUAGACUGAAUUCCAAUUAGUCUAUAAUUUUUAUUAAUAUAUAUUGAAUUAAAACAUAGGCAUUUAUGCAUUGAUUGUUUAAACUUUAAGACAUUAGGGAAUCAAACAUGAUAAGUUGUUUUGGAAGAAUUAAAAACUUUUAGGUUGUCUCCCCAAGUUUAGGUAUUAUUUUGAGUAGGAAUUUACAAGUUUAAACAUCAAAAAGUCAUAAUUUUUUGUGAGAUCUUGAGCCUUUAGAGCAUUUAUUAUUUCUUUCAUGCUCACUUUCAAUAUGAGUGCGCUAUUAUUGAAUUGUUAUUCUAGAACUUGCUUGAUUAUGCAUGUUAAGACCACACCAUUUGAUUUGAUAUGUCAAAAUGAUAAAGGCACUUAGGUUUAAACCACUCACUCCAUAAAAGCCUACCUUCACAAUUAACCCUUAGUGAACCUCCUUGAGCCUAACAACCCAUUCAUUGAUUUACCCUCAAUAUUAACUCAUAACUCAUUAUUGUUGAAAUCCCCUAAAUUAAUUUGAUCCCUAUUUUUGUCGAGAUUUGAGUUGGAAUAGUUGCUUAGCUAUGUUUUAUUCUAUUUUGUAAUUUGACUUGUUCUUAAAAUAUAUAUAAUACAUGUAUACAUAUUAGUAGUAGUGAUAUUCUAAGCUAAAGAAGUUAGAUUCCAUAUUCUGAGAAAAAGCUCUGUUGUACGUAAUUGAUGACUAGUCAUUUUUCUAGUUAGGAAAUUUUUCAAUUCAAUCUCGAUUCUAACCCUUUCUUUCAGUUUGUGACCACACCUUCUAACCAAAGCCACGUUACAACCCUCUAAAGACCUUUUGAUUGAUGUUUCAUCUCAAUUUAUAGUGGUGGAGAUUUGAUUUUCAUGCAAGCCUAUGGUAAUGACUUUUCAUUAUUGACUAUUGAGUGCUUCAUUUAUUGUCCUUAAACACCUCGAGUGAUUUGAGUGAAUCUUUAGUGAGGAUGUGAAACUCUGUGAUAUUUUGAAUCAAAGGUAAUUACUUAGAUAAGGGAAGACACCUAUGUUUUCAUGAUAAAAUGCUCAACUUGGAAGGUUUGAAACUUUGAUGUUCUGUCAGUUGAAUUUUCAAUGUAUGAUUACCUACAGAUUAGUUUGAGAUAUUAUUGAUGAGAAUUAUAAGUUGAGAAGAAUUUAUUUUGAUUAUAAGUUGAGGAUUUUUCUUGAGGACAAGCAAAUGCUUAAGUGUGGGGGUAUUUGAUAAACCGUAAUUCAUACAUAUUUCUAUCCCAUGCUUAGCACAUUUUAUGGAUGAUUUAUCCUUAAAUUUGGAGAAUUCGAUGCUCCUAAUGCCUUAAUUUCAUGUUUUAUACUUAGGUGAGGAUAAGAGAGUGAAAGGAACGAGAAACGGGCCAAAAACGGAGAAAAUAGGCCAACGUACGAAAUCAACACGGCCUGGACUUCCUAACACGGGCAGACCGCAUGGUCGUGUCAAUUUGGCAGAAUCGAAGCACGACUUACACAGGUAGACCACAUGCUCGUGCCUAUUUAACAGGCUUGACCAUAGCCUGAAGUAAUCGCACACGGGCGUGUCCCUGUCGAGCCCAAGCAGAGUCCUAUUCAGAAAAGGCCACUUUUGAGGGCUCUUAGGCAUUCCAAAGCCUAUAAAUACUCCCUAGAAGAGGAGAAGAGGGGGGACACAGAUUAGGAAGCAAGGAAUUACUCAAGAGAAGCCGAUUGAUCCAUCCCAAAAGCCAGAUUCAUCAUCAAGACUGGAGAUCUCCCUUCAAGUUCCUUCUGGAGUUUUGGGUUUUCUAAUGUUUUGUUAUCUUUAUAUUUUUAAGAUGUUUUCCUUCAUAAGUAUGAACUAAACCCCUAAAUACCUAAGGGGAAUGAAACCUAUGACAUAUCUUGUUAUUAUUAUCUGAGUUGGAUGAUAAAUAUUUGACUUGUUCUUAAUUAUGUGUUCUUAAUUCUUGUUUUGAUAUUCCAGGAUAUUGAUUCAAGUUAAGCUCUUAUUCAGAGGAGGAAUAGACCCUGUCUAAGAGUAAAUUUGUCAUAAUUAAGCGGAGUUGAUUACGCACCUAGAGAUAAGGUGACAAGAUUUUGUCGGAUUAGGGUAAAACCUAAUAAGGGAAUCCAUAGAUCGAGUUAAUGCAAUUCUGGGGUGUUAAUUAGAAAGAGAUUUCAAUUAUUCAACCUAGGGUUAGACGUUAUUAGUCUUAAGAGAGAUAAUGAUAUAACUUAGGGAUUUCUCCAGAUCAAGUCAAAUGAAUAAAUCGUUUGAUUUAGAGUCAAAUAACAAGUGAAGUCUAGGUGGAUUUGUCCUUAGGUAUUGUCUCAAUCAAUCGAAUUUUCCCAAAAAGUAUUUUCCCAAGUUUUUCUUUCUGUGCAUUCUUAGUUAGUAAUUAGUUUAGACAACCAAACCUCUUAAAUUUUAGGCUAGAUAAUAAAAAGAAAGUAAAUACUAGUACUCAUAGUUCCUUUGGGUUCAACAAUCCGGUCUUGCUGAACCAUAUUACUGUUCGAUAGGUACACUUGCCUUAAUCGUGAUACUAAGUUAGUCUCAAGAAAAUUUCAUUUAUAAAUCUUUAAAACCUGUUACAAAUAUCACGCAUCAAUGUUUAUGUGAUUUGGGCAUUGAGGCCCUGGGACAUGUUUGGAGAGAUAAGGAAAUGUGAUCUAAGCUCCAUUCAACGGGACAUGUUUGGUGUGUUGGAGAGUGUUAGUUUAAUUCUUCACUUACGAGACAUGCUUGACUCUAUGAGUCUACGUGGUGUGUUGGAGAUCCGUGUAUCCGAUGAGUGGUGGUAAUGCCCACUUUUACGUUUCAUAACUCAAAUGCCAAAUUAUCUCAAAUUAUCUAUUAAUGUGAUUGUGAAUUGUGACGUUUACAUGAAUAUGCAUGUACUGAUUCUGUAAAUAAACUAUCGAAUAUGCAUGUGAAGUAAAAUAUGUCAACUAAGUUAAGGUUGCUAUAAUUAUGAUAUGUUUCACUAAUGCUUGAUGAAAUGUUUGCAUGGUAGUUGUUUUAGGCAUUCACUGAGCUUGUUAAGCUCACCCACUCCUUUUAAAACCAUUGCAAAUUACUGUGUCCUAGUGUGAGCGGUGUGAUUUUGAGGGGUGAUUCCAAGCAAUUCCUUUUCUAUUAUUUCAUAGGUCUUAUUGUUAUUUGUUUUCAUUUCGAGAAUAAGGCAAUGUGGUAGACUUUUACUGAUAUUUGCCAUGAUGUUUUGGAUGUCUUCAUAGACUAUUUGUUCCUAGGUUUAUGAGAUUCAUUUCGUAUGAUGUUGAUUAUUUGUCAGACUUAUUUUGGAUGUUUGAGACUAUUAUAAUAGUCAUUUUGAUAUUUAUGUAAUGAUGAUAUGAUGGCAUGAAGGAUUGGUGCAUGUUGGAAUGAUUUAUAUGCUCAAGUAUGUUGUAUUUUUCUGGUUUGGAGCAGAGGUAUCGAUAUUCAUGUUGUAAAAAUAAUACCUCUGUGAUUUUGGAACAUGUAGGGAGGCAACAAUGUAAUUUGGUAUCGAUACCCAAUAAAAAGUAUCGAUGCUCAAGGUAGAAAUAUCAUUACUUUGGCCGAGGUACUGAUAAUUUUCGAGGUUUGGGUUUUUAAACGAGAAACAAUAAGCAGUUUUGGUUUUAAUUUUCCCAACAAUAUCAAUACCACUUGAGAGAAUUAUCGAUACCUCACCUUCAGUUUCGAUACCUACGUAGUUAGUUUUUGGAUUUUGCUAAAUGGACUUUAUGCAUAUUUAAUUAUUAUUAUUAUUAUUAUUAUUAUUAUAAGACUAUUUGAUGUAUGUUUAGCAUGUAACAAUGAUGUUAACAGUAUGACUGACUUAAAACCUAUACCAAUACUAAAAUGGAAGUCAUUUCAUUUAGAAUGAGCUUUUACUUAUUGUGUAUAACAUGAGACGGUGGUGUAGCAUCCUGAUAUUCAGGCUUGGAGACCAAGUUGGGUAUAGGGUGUUACACUUAAAAUUUCCAUCCCCCAAAUUUUCUUUGCUGCACCUAAAUCUUUCAUCUCGAACUUAGAGUUAAGCAUAGUUUUAAGACAACAAAUAUCAAAUGGAUUCUUAGCUGCAAUUAACAUAUCAUCAACAUAAAGUAAUAAAUAUAUAAAAGAAUCAUCAUCAAGACGUUGUAGAUAAACACAACUAUCAUACUUACUUCGGGAAAAACCAGUACUCAACAUGAAGGAGUCAAACUCUUUAUACCACUGUCGAGGAGAUUGCUUCAAACCAUACAAAGACUUUUGUAAAAGACAAACAUAAUAUUUUUUACCUUCAAAUUUGAAGCUUUCUGACUAUUGCAUGUAGAUGUCCUCCUCAAGGUCACUGUGAAGGAAAGUAGUCUUUACAUCUAACUGCUCUAACUCAAGAUUAUUUGAUGCAACAAAUUCCAAAAGCGCUCAAAUUGAUGUAUGUUUCACAAAAGGAGAGAAAACAUCAUGAAAAUCAAUUCCUUUCACUUGAUUGUAGCCCUUUUGCAACUAGUCUUACCUUGUACCUAGUGUUAUUAGGACCUGAACCUUCCUUCUUUUUAAACACCCAUUUGCAACCAAUGAUUCCUUUACUGAUGGGUGGUUUAACUAGCCUCUAAUUCUCAUUCUUUUGAAGUGAUUUCAUCUCUUCUUCCUUUGCAACGAACCAUUGGUUGGAGUCGAAGGCUUGAACUGCCUCAUAAUAACACGAAGGUUUGGUUGAAACAAUGCUCUCGGCAACACUUAGAGCAUAAGCCACUAGGUUUCCUUCACAAUAUUUUUGUGGUGGUCGGAUUUCUUGCCUUUUCCUUUCACGAGCCAACUUAUAAUUAGUUAACUGAUAUGGUGAGGGUACCUAAGGGUCGGAUGAAAACCAAAACAAAUCCAAAACAGCUUCAAACAAGCAAAAAUUAGAAUUUUUUUGUGUCGACGUGACAUUGUGAGACACUUUAUCGGGACAAGUGAUAAACUGUAAUUUAUACAUAUUUUUAUCCCAUGCUUAGCACAUUUAUGGAUGAUUUCUCCUUGGAUUUGGUGAAUUCGAUGCUCCUAAUUCUUUAAUUUCAUGUUUUAUACUUAGGUGAGUAUAGGAGAGUAAAAAGAGCGAGAAACGGGCUGAAAACAGAGAAAAUGAACCCACAUGGGAAAUCAACAUGGCUUGGACUUCCUCACACAGGCAUGUCACACGGCCGUGUCCAAUUGGCAAGAUCAAAGCAUGACUUACACGGGUAGACUACACGCCCAUGCCUACUCAACUGCCUUGACCACGGGUAGGAGCAAUCGCACACGAGCAUGUCCCUGCCAAGCCCGAGUAUAGUCCUAUUCGGAACAGGCCACUUUUGAGGGCUCUUAGGCAUUCUAAAGCCUAUUUAAACACCUGAGGAGGCACUUAGAAGAGACAUACGGAGUAGGAGACAAGGAAUUACUUAAGUGAAGCCGAUUGGUCCAUCUCAGAAGCCGAAUUUAUCAUCAAGAGUGAAGAUCUCCCUUUAAUUUCCAUUCAAGGGUUUGGGGUUUUCUUUAUGUUUUGUAUUCAUUAUUCUUCUGAGAUUUUUUCUUUUAUAAUUAUGAACUAAACCCUAAGAGGAAUGAAACCUAAGACAGAUCUUGUUAUUAUUAUCUGAAUUGUAUGAUAAAUAUUUGACUUGUUCUUAAUUAUGUGUUCUUAAUUCUUGUUUUAAUAUUCAAGGAUAUUGAUUCAAGUUAAUGCCCUUAUUCAGAAGAGCAAAAGUCUCUGUCUAAGAGUAAAUUUAUCAUAGUUAAGCGGAGUUGAUUGCAGCCUAGAGAUAGGGUGACAAGAUUUUGUCGGAUUAGGGUGAAACCUAAUAAAGGGGUCCAUAGAUCAAGUUAAUGCAACACUAGGGCGUUAAUUAGAAAGAGAUUUCAAUUAAUCAACGUAGAGUUAGACGUUAUUAGUCUCAAGAGAGAUAAUAAUAAAACUUAGGGAUUUCUACGGAUCAAGUCAAAUGAAUAAAUCGUCUGAUUCAGAGUCAAAUAACAAGUGAAGUCUAGGUGGAUUUUUCCUUGGGUAUUGUCUUAAUCAAUUGAGUUUUUCCAAAAGCUUUUUCCCAAUUUUCUCUCUGUGCACCCUUAGUUUAGUUAAGUAGUUUAGAUAAACAAAUCCUUUAAUUUUUAGGCUAGAAAAUAAAAAGAAAGUAAUUACUAGUACUCUUGGUUCCUUUGGGUUCAACAAUCUGGUCUUGCUAAAGCUAUACUACUGUUCGAUAGGUACACUUGCCUUCAUUGUGAUAAUAGUUAGUUUCAAGAACGAUUAAUUAUAAAUUUCUAAAACCUAUUACGAAUAUCACGUAUCAACAAGACCUCUAUUCGUCACGUCAUUGCGAUGUUAGGCAUUUGCUCGUUAUGUCGUCACCUUUUUAUUUCGGCUUUUGACUCCACCUUGCUCGAGACACUCUGAUUUGUUAUGUCUUUAAAAUUAAAAGUCUUAUUUUGUUAUCAAAGCAUAGUAGAUUUAUCAAACGUAACAUCUCUGCUAACAAUGAUCUUUUCAGAUUCUAAACAUCACAACUUAAAAACUUUUGUACUAGCAGCAUAUCCCAAAAAGAUGCUUUUAACGACCCUUGGUUCAAGCUUUCCCUAGCUACUUUAGCAUAAGUAGGACAACCAAAAAUUCUAAGAUUUGAUUAAUUUGGAGGAUUACCUAACCAUAUCUCCUUUGGAACUUUACCAUUCAAUGCUCAAUAAGGAGAUCGAUUUACCAAAUAACUUGUUAAGUUUACAGCUUCAGCCCAAAAUUCCUUCCCUAAGCAUGCGUUAGAAAGCAUGCAUCAAGCCUUUUCUAGCAAGGUUCUGUUCAUUCUUUUUGCAACUUCAUUCUAUUGUGGAAUUCUAACAAUGAUUCGAUGUCUUUCAAUUCCUUCCCGUUUGCAAAAUCACUAAACUCUGACAAAAAAAACUCAACACCAUUAUCUGUUCUCAACUUCUUCAUGGAUUUUCUGAUUUGUUUUUCUAAUAGUGUCUUCCACUGUUUGAAAAUUUCGAAGACUUGUUCUUUUCUAUUUCAAGAAAUAAACCCAAACUUUUCUGGAGUAAUCAUCAAUAAAAGUUAGGAAAUAUUUAUUAUCUCCUUUUGGGAUGUUAAAAGAUGGACCCCAAAAAUCAGAAUGAAUGUAAUAUAAAGUCCCUUUUGUUCUAUGCACUGCUAAAUCGAAACUAACUCGGGUUUGCGUAACACCCCGCACCUGUAUUCAUUGUCAGAAUAAGGUUGCAGAGCAUUGCCAAACUUCUUUCACAAAUAAACACACAUUUCUCAUACAUUUUUCCAUUAUAAAUAUAAAACAUUUACAAUCAUUUAUAACGCCCCUAAUAUGAGCCUACGAGGCCCAAAACAUGCUUUAGAAAUGGUUUGGGAAUAAACCGAUAACUUAGGAAACUUUUAGAAAACUUAGAAAGUUUUUCAAAAUACAGGGAACAUAGGCCUGUGUGGCCUGACCGUGUGUCUCACAAGGCCAAAUACACGCCCAUGUCACAAGCUCAGUGGACAUUCGAAAUGGGAUCACAUGGCCAUGUCUCAGCACAUGUCCGUCCCCGUGUAACUCCCUGACUUCGGUCACACGACCAACCACAUGCCCGUGUCACCAACCCGUGUGCCCUUCGGAAUGGCCUAACACACCCAUGUGCUAGGCCGUGUGCUAGGCCAUGCCAAACCUGUAGGGUAUUCUAACUAAUACUACACGGCCAAGUCACACGCCCGUGUGUUGGGCCGUGUGGAGCAUACUAACUUGGUUUCUAAUUAAACACCAGGGGACACACAGCCGUGUCACCUGACCAUGUGUCACACACAGCUGAGACACACACCCGUGUCUCUUCCCGUGUGGACAAAAAUAGGCUAUUUACCGAGCCAUUUUUUUCACCCAAUUUGUAAUCACCUACACUAAACCAAAGGCAUAUAAUAUGGUAUAAAUAAGCAUUCCAACCAAUCUCAACCAAGCCUAAUUCAUGCUAAAUCCAUACUAUCAACCAUAUGACUUACAAGUAUAACAAAUAGUCAUUCAAUUUCAUACCAAAUUCACACCAAAUUCACAUUCUCAAAUUGCCUAAAUGGUCACUUUCAUUUAUACAUCACUUUACCUAAAAUCACAAGCAUACUAAUUCUCAAUUAUCAACUAUUUGAUACUCAAAUUACCAAUUCAUAAAGAACCUUUCACCAUAAGCAUUUACAUGAUAAUUACCAAAUGCAUAACAAAGGCCAUUUGCACAUAUAUAUAUACACAACCAAAUCAACUAAAAUAAGCCAAAUCACAUGGCUAUACACAUAACAAACCAUUCAUCAUUUAUAAGCCAACUCAAAUGGCUAAACCUAUUACCAAACUAUAUACCAAAAUGACCAUAACUCCUAUACAUGCCAUAUAACCAAAUUACAUAAGUUCAAAAGUACCAAAGUAAUAGCUUGAUAGUGUGAUGAGAUCUCCGAUGACUCUUGAAUCCGAGCAAGCUUUGAUAAUCACUAUAAAACACGAAAAAGUAAAUAGAGUAAGCUACAAAGCUUAGUGAACUCGUAUGCUAAGUAAGUAAAACUUACCAACCAACAAUUCAAUAACAUAAACAUCAUAUAAUGCAAUUCAACUUUGAAGCAUAACUUAAUACAUAUAUUCAACCCAAGGAUUAAACACAAUUUCCAUCAACUUCUUCGAUUUUAUGAUUGUAUAGUUCACGUACAUACAUGUACAAGCUCUUAUUAAUCUCAUACUCGUCCAUAUCCUUGAUAUACCUAUUGAACCAUUUGGAAUACUAUCAGGUACCCGGGAAUCUCACACACUAAGUGCCAAUACAUAGCCGAAGCUAUCUCAAUCUCAUAUCACAUAUAAUGUUCACUCUCGAGCUAUCAACGGGUCUGCUCACACAAGUUGACGAUCAUGACAUAGCUACACGGUGCUGCUCACACAAGCUGACUAGAAUCCGCAACACAAGCCGAGUAACUCAGCCACCAGUAGGACGUACGGACUAGCACCCAAAUCACAUAACCCUUAAUGACAUGUCAUUUGUAUCCUAAUUUAUUCCUAAGGUUCAACUGGGAAUUCUCAUUACCGAAUCUUAGUCGAACAUUUUUGUACAAUCAUAUUCAUCAACAAUUCAAAUAUAAAAAAUUUAGAAACACAAUUAAAGUAAUGCUUCUUAACAUACAAACUUACCUCGAUUCACAAAAAUGACGGAAUGAAUCGAUUAAUCCAACACUUUGUUUUCCCUCAAAUCUAGAUCUGAACUUUAUUUUUCUUGAUUUAUAUAAUAUCAAAUUCAAUCUAUUCAUUAUUCAUUCUAUUCAAUUUAGCCCAAAAUGCAUAUUAUGGAAAAAUUACACUUUUGUCCCUAACAUUUCAAUAUAUUUACAAUUUAGUCCUUAGCUCAUAAAAAUAAAAAUUCAUGCAAUUAGGUCCCUACCCAUGCUAGCUGAAUUUCAUAUAGACCCAUAACAGCCCAUAUUUUUCAUUUAUUUCACAAUAUAAUCACAAAAUUUACACAUUUCACAAUCUAAUCCCUAAUUGGCAAUUUUACAAAAAAUCACUUUACAAAUGUUAUUUAUCUAACAACAACCAUUUAUUUUCUAUCAUCAAACAUCACAAGUCACACAUAUUCAUCAAUGGUAAAACCUUAAACCUUUCACAAUUUUGUAAAUUAGUCCCUAAGCUACCUAAAUUAAGCUGCAAUGAUCUCAAAACAUAGAAAUCAUUAAAAACGGGACAAAAAUCACUCACCAAUUUAACAAUAAAGUAGUCGAACCCUAGAAAGCUUCCAUGGAGGUCUCUCUCUUUUAUUUUUCGGUAGAAGAAGAUGACUAAAAGAUGGUAUCUUUGGUUUUCUUUAUUUUACUAAUUACUAAAUUACACUUUUAACCUUGGCUAUAAAACAUUAAAAUUACCUAAUACAUGUCCAAGUGUAACAUCUCGAAAUAGGGCCUAGUCGGAACAGUGGUUUCGAGACCAUAAAUCUGACAUUGAAAUAUUUUUUUAUGAUUAUUAUGAGGCCUGGAAUAUGAAAAUAUGCAUGUGUUGAAGUUUCAUGAAGAAAUUCUAUGAGUAAGGUGUCCAAUUGGAAAAUAAGGACCAAAUCGAAUAAUUUGUAAAACUUGGGUUCUAGAAACAAUUUGCAUGAAAUUGCUUUUAAUUAUAAAUUAAAAGGUCUUAAAUAGAAAUUUUCCCAAUUUCUAAGUUUUUGGACAAAAAUGGGCAUACAUGGAAAAUUUUGGAAGUUCAGUAAGGAAGGGCAUUUUGGUCAUUUGGUAAUAAAAUCAAUAAAAAGGGAAAAUGAAGGCAAAAAUCAGCCAUCUUCUCCCUUGUACCAGCCAAAAUUCUCAAGCCUUCCAUAGCUAGGGUUUUCAACAUUUUCAAGCUCAAUAGUAAGUGACUCCUAACCCCGUUUUUAAUGUUCUUUGUAUUGUUGAGAUCCUUGUAACAUGUUCUCUCCAUUUCCACCUAUAUUUUAAGCUAGGGUUCAUGUAUAAAAAGUGACCCAUGUGUGACAUGUUUGUUCUUUAAUGUUUUAUGGAGGAAUAUGAAAGUUAGAUGUGUGUUAAACAUCUUCUCCUAAGUGAUUUUCAUGAAAAGCCCCUAAAAGGAUGUUUUUGCAAAAGGUACAAAAUAUGUGGUAGAAAUGUGAAAUAGAGAAAAAUUUGGGCUAGUAUGAGUUUAUAAUGCAUUCGACUAGGCUUGGGUAACCAAAGAAUUGCAUGUAUAUCAUUUUACGAGCCUAGGGAUUAAAUCAUAAAUAAUGUGAAAGGUUAAGGGCAAAACAGUCAUUUUGUCUAGGGGUGAAAUUUAGGCUCAAAAAGAAUAAUGUGAGAUAUUGAUAAUUCAUUUUUAUUGUUAUAGACCCCAAGAAACAAAUUUUGGAGGUCGAUCAAGGAAAAUGAAAUGUUUCAGAAUAACCAAAAUGCGAAAUCGACACAAAUACCAGGUAAGUUCAAAUAACUUAAAGUAAACUCAUAAUAUGCCUAAAUGCAUGUUUUAUGAAUAUUAGAUAGUUUUAUAUAAUGAUGGCAUGAAAAUCCAUGAAAUGUGUUAAUAAUAAUGACAAGAUGAUAAAUGUCUCAGUUGAAGUUAAAAGGGAAAUUCGAUGGAAAAACCAUGGCUUACGUGACUUGAGAUCCUGCAUGUGUUGCAGAAAAGGGUUUAGCCCAGACGGGUAAUCCGUUGAUCUCAAAUAUAGAAAGGAUCUAGCCCGAACGGGUUUUCCUUGAAUGAUCAAGUCUCUUGAAGAAUAUGUGUGCAUUAAGGAUUUAGCUCAGACGGGUAAUCCGAUUAGGGUCUGAAUUUAGCCUGGACUGGUAAUUCAGACCUGAGCUCAUUAAGGUUGUUUGUCACUAUAAGGGAUUUAGCCUGGACUGGUAAUCCUGAAAACACUCCAUGAGUUUAUAUUACGGGGGAUUUAGCCUGGACUGGUAAUCCCGCUGUAAGAUAUGAGGUUCGUAGGAGUGCGUACUUAAGAAGAUCACUCUUAUGACUUGACGGUAAAUGGAUAAUCCAUCAAGAUUUUCGAGGUACUCAAUGGGAUUAACAUGAGAUAUCGAAAUGAAAAUAUUGGAUGAUGAGCUCAUCUAAGACAAAUUACAUUAUGAAUUAUUAUGGGACUAACUUGAUGCUUGAGUGUAUGUAAUAGGAGGCUAUCCUAUAUUUAUUGGAUUGGUUGCCUAACAUGGUUGUAUGCUAAUUAAUCGGUAAGUUUACUUUCCAAUUAUUCGGGCUUACUAAGCAUGUAAAUGCUUACCCCUCUCUUUUCCCUGUCUUAUAGAGCUCGAGGACUCGUAGAGAUUGGAAGACGGUUGGAGUAUUGUUGACACUAUCCACUUCUCCUGUUUUGGUAUAUAGAUACUUUUAUUUUGUUACAAUGGCAUGUAUAGAUUUUUGGUUAUUUGGUGUUAUAUGUCAUUGGUUGGCCAAUGUAAAGGCUUAAAUGUUAAACUUAUUCUUUUUGUAUAUGGCCAUAAGACAUGGCUCAUUUCAUUGUAGAUUAUGACCUACCAACCAUGCAUGUUUAUGUUAGAAAUGUUUUUGUGAUGAUUAAAUGUUGUAUAUCAUAAAUAAGCAUUCGUAAGGUGGCCAAAACAUUUGGAAAUGGUUAGGCCAUAAUUGGAAAUGAAUUGUAAUAAUGAUCCAAGCCUAAAAUAUGUUUCAAUAGGAUGGAAAUCCUUAUUAUGAAAAGGGGAUAAUUGAGUAUGUAUUUAACUGAUGAGAUGAGGUUGACAUGCAAUGGAUUCAUUGAUGAUAGUCCUUGAGUAUAUUUAAGUCAUGUUAAAUGCAAUUGGGGUUUUUAUAUGUGAGGAAAUGAUGAGGGUGACCAUUGGCUUGAAAUUAUAGCCUAAAAAGGGUCCACACGGGUAGACACACAAGUGUGUGUCUAGGCCGUGCGUGACACACGGUCAGCCCCAUGGGUGUGUGGUACGGUCGUGUGUCCCCUGCACCUAAAGUUUUUUCAGUCAAAAUGCAUGGUAGUAAACACACAGAAAGAGACAUAGUCGUGUGUCUCAGCCGUGUAGAGGGCACGGCCUAGCACACGGGCAUGUGUCUUGGCCGUGUGCCCCUAAAUACAUGCUGACAUCAUAAACAGAAUGUCCAGGUUUUUGGACAUGAGCUAUCACACAGGCGUGGCUAGGCCAUGUGAAAAACACGGGCCAGGGACACGGGCGUGUGCUUGGCCAUGUGAAAACCCUAUAGGUUCAAAAUAAAAAAUAAAUUUAAUUAAUUCCACACGAGUUAGGGACAUAGGUGUGUCCCCAAAGCACACGGGCGUGUGCAUUGUCUCCACACUGGUGUGUGAGGCUUAACCUAGAAAAUUUUCCUAAAAUUUUCUUAGGUUCUCGGUUUAGUCCCGGACCAUUCUCAAUGUAUGUUUUGGAUCUCGUAGGCCCAUAAUAGUGAUACUAAGAUGUUGUUUAAUUGGUUUUAAUUUGGAACAAAAUUUUUUAACCCGUAUUUUUCGAAAAUGUCUAAGUAUGUAUCUCGUAACGCCUUGUACUUGGUCUCGGUCUCAGGUACGGGUAAGGGAUGUUACACCGAGAAUGUCCACUAACUUUAUAAAUGGGCUAAUUACCACAUAAGGACCUCCACUUUCAGGUUCCAUAGCUAUAGAUACCUUUAGCUAAUAGAAUUCAAGUUUUACACUUUAUGCGAUUUAGUCCUUUUUAUCAAAUUGAACAUUCAAACUAUAAAAUUUCUUAAAGAAAUUUUCACACAAUCAUACUAUCGUACUGUAGACAUUAAAAUACUAAUAAAAUAAUUAUUUUGACCUCAGAUUUUUGGUCCCGAAACCACUGUUCCAAUUUGACUAAAAAUGGGUUGUUAUAGUUUGUUUCCCAAAAAUGUAAUGCUCGUAAAAACCUAAUUUGUAACGCCCCUCACCCAUAUCGACGCCAAAAUAGGUUCAAGCCGUUACCUGAGAUUCUCAUUCGUAAACAUAUUAAAUCAAGUCACUAAGUUGCGCUGUAAUUUAGAACUUUUCAAAUAUGUAUAUCCUUUCCCUUAAACAGGCCUUCGAGACCUAAAACAUGCCUAGAGGCGGUGCGGGACAAAACCAAGAACGUUUGAUAAACAUGGAGCACAUUGGAAAUUUUCUUUUAACUUGAAGUGUCACACGCCCGUGUGACUUGGGACAUGCCCGUGCAAUCACCCUGUGUCCAAGACUUGAACAUUCUAUUAAAUUCACACGGCCAAGACACACGCCCGUGUGUCUAGCCCGUGUUCAUUUAACAGACCUACCAUUUUAGAUGAAAUGGACACACGAUCAUGCCAUACACCCACGAGUGUGUCCCGUGUGUCACACAUAGCCUAGGCACAUGCCCGUGUACCCAACCGUGUCAACCCUAUUAGGCUAUUUUCGAAGCCUAUGGUCACCCCCUUUUAACACUUAUACUUAAUGAAUAUUAAAAACGAAGUAAAACAAGAUUAUGUUCUCAUAAAUGAUCUUUGCAAAAAACUUAUUGCAUGGAAACCUCAUAUCAUUGGUUUCGUACAUGCUAGGUUAUUUCCCAUCUUGUAUUUAUGUGUUGUCAUACCACUUUAACACAUUCAAGAUUGGCUCGUUCUUAUGACUCAUUGCUAAUUGGAAUUCAACCCUCGCACAUGAUUCUAAACUUGAAUGGAAAUUUUGUAGGUCAUAGCCUAUUUCAAAAUAAGCCAAUCUCCAUGGCGACAUACAAAAAGAUAGAAUUCUCUUUCAUGCCUUCAUUUGGUAAAUUAAAUGGCACAUAUAACAAAUUACUCAAAAGACCUAUACAUGCCAUUGAACAAAUCAAAAAUGUCUUUAUACCAAAGCUGAGCUAUUUGAUAGUAUGCUAACUCUCUAACCCUCUUCCAAUCUUUACAAGUCCUCGAGCUCUGGGAGAAACAGGGAAAAGAGAGGGGUAAGCAUUUUCAUGCUUAGUAAGCUCGAAUAACCAGACAGUAAACUUACCAAGUAAUUAGCAUGCAAUCAAGUUGGUUAAUAAAUUCAAUGAGCAUAGGAUGGCUUCCCUAUCACAUACACUCAAUCAUUGAGUUAGUCACAUAACAAUGCACUAUGAAAGAUAUCUUAGAUGAGCUCAUCAUUCAACAUCUCAUUUAGUAAAUAUAAGUCAUGUUAAUCUUGUUGAGUUUCUAGGAAGUUUCAAUGAUAUACCCAUUAACUGUCAAUUCGUAUGAAUGAUCAUUUCCAGUAUGCACUCCCGCGAACCUCACAUCUCAUGGCGGGAUUACCAGUCCAAGCUAAAUACCCCAUUUUAUGAACUCAUAAGUUGAUGUCGGGAUUACUAGUCCAAGCUAAAUCCCUUAUAACGAAAAACACUUUUAUUGAGCUCGGAUCUAAAUUACCAGUCCAGGCUAAAUUCAGAUCCUAAUCGGAUUACCCGUCUGGGCUAAAUCAAUAAUGCACACAUAUUCUUCGGGAGGCUCGACUAUUCAAAAGAACACCCGUCUGAGCUAGAUCGUUUUAUAAAUGAGAUCAACGGAUUACCCGUCUGGGCUAAAUCCUUUCUGCAACACAUGCAGGACCUCAUUACACAUGUCAAUCAUGGUUUAUCUUUCGAAUUCCCUUUUUAACCUCAACUGAGACAUUUAUCACAAUUCAUACUUAAACAUGCAUUUCAUAAAAUUUCAUGUUAUUAAUAAAUGCAAUCACCAUGUAUUCAUAAAUCAUAUAAUUAGGCACAUUGAGUGUUUACUUUAAGUUAUCCGAACUUACCUGGUAUUUGUUUCGGUGUCAUGUUUCGUUUAUUCUGAAACCUUUUGUUUUUCUCGAUUGACCUCCGAAAUUUGUUCCUCGAGGUCUAUAACAAUAAAAAUAGAUCAUUAACACUCCACAUUAUACAUUUCAAGUCUAAAUUCCACCCUCGGUCCAAAUGACCAUUUUGCCCCUAACCUUUCACAUUUUUACGAUUUAGUCCCUAGGCUCGUAUGAUGAAACACACGCAAUUUAUACUUUACUCAAGCCUAGCCAAACACUUUUCCCUCUUAUGGUAGCCUACAUUUUCCAUUAUUUUCACAUUCCUACCACACAUUUUACAACUUUUGCAAAAAGGUCCCUUUAGGGGUUUUUCAUGAAAAUCACCUAGGAAAAGUUGUUUAACACACAUCAAACUUUCAUAUUCCUCCAUAAAACAUCAAAAUACAAUUAACUCAUGCAUGGGUAAAUUUUUAAACAUGAACCCUAGCAUGAAAUAUUGGUAGAAAUGGAGAUAGUAAGCUACCGGGAUCUCAAAAUUACGAAGAACAUUAAAAACGGGGCUUGGGAGCACUUACUAAUGAGCUUGAAAAUCUUGGAAACCUUAGCUAUGGUGGCUUAUGAAUUUCAGCUGGACAAGGGAGAAGAAUGGCUGAUUUUUGCCUUCUUUUUCCCAUUUUAUUUCAUUAAUAUGCCACAUGACCAAAAUGCCCUUACGCCAUUUCUUUGAAAUUUCAUCCAUCCAAGCCCAUUUUUUUCCAAAAACAUAGAAAUUGGGAAAGUUGCUCCCCAAGACCUUCUAUUUUAUAAUCUAAAUCAAUUUCAUACAAAUUGCUUCUAGAAUCCAAGUUUUGUAAUUUAUUCAAUUUAGUCCCUAAUUUUCCAAUUGGGCACUUACUCAAAGAAUUCCUUCAUGAAACUUUAACACAUGCGUAUUCUCAUAUUGUAAGCCUUGUAAUAAUCAUAAAAUAAAUAUUUUGAUGUCUGAUUUGUGGUCCCGAAACCACUAUUCCAACUAGGCCCUAUUUUGGGAUGUUACAUUUCUCCCCCCAAGGACUUUCGUCCUCGAAAGUCUUACCAGUGAACUGAUUCGGAUAUUGGCUUCUCAUGGAUUCUUCUGGUUCCCAUGUAGCCUCUUCUACACCAUGUCGAUGCCAUAAAACUUUUACUAAGGCCACAUAUUUAUUCCUCGGCUGUUUAACCUCACGAGCCAAUAUCUUAACUGGUUCCUCUUCAUAGGUCAUGUCUAGUCGAAUUUCAAUCUCAGUCAGUGAAAUCACGUGAGAGGGGUCUGAUCAGUAUCGCCUUAACAUAAAUACAUAGAACACAUCGUGAAUCUUUUCCAAUUCAGGUGGAAAUGCCAAGUGAUAGGCUACCGGUCCAACUCUUUCAAUGAUCUCAUACGGUCCGACAAAUCGCGGAUCCAGUUUGCCUUUUGGGGCAAAUCUCAACACCUUUUUUCCAUGGAGAUACUUCCAAGAAUACUCUAUCUCCAACUUGAAACUCAAUUUCCUUUCUUUUCAAAUCAACAUAUGAUUUUGCCUAUCCGAUGCCGCUUUCAAACAGUCUCGUAUCACUUUAAAUUUCUCUUCAGUUUCUUUAAUCAAAUCAACUCUGUGAAUCUGAUUUUCCUUAAGUUAUGUCCAGUACAAUGGAGUUCAGCACUUCCUGCCAUACAAGGCCUCAUAAGGUGCCAUCUUCAAACUCGUCUGAAAACUAUUGUUGUAGGCGAAUUAUACUAGUGGCAAAUAUUUUUCCCAACUACCCUGAAAUUCAAGGACGCAACAUCGCAACAUAUCCUCAAGAAUCUGAAUCAUCUGCUCAGACUAACCAUCUGUCUAAAGGUGAAAAGCUGCACUAAAGCUUAACUUCAUACCCAAGGCUUCUUGUAAUUUCUUCAAGAAUCUCGAAGUGAACCUCGGGUCUCAGUCGGAAAUAAUUAAUAGUUGUACCCCAUGAAAUCUUACAAUCUCAGAAAUGUAUAAGUCGGCAAAUCUAUCGAGGGAAUAAUAUGUCCUCAACAGAAUAAAAUAAGCCAACUUCGUCAACUUAUCUACUAUGACCCAUACGGCAUUUUUCUUCUUCGAAGUCAAUGGUAAUCCUGUCAUGAAAUCCAUAGUAACUCUAUCCCACUUCCAUUCGGGGACAAUCACAGGCUGUAGAAAACCUGAAGGCACUUGAUGUUCAACUUUAACUUGCUGACAUACCAGGCAUUUCGACACAAAUUUAGAAAUCUCUCUUUUCAUGCCGUUCCACUAGUAUGUUUUCUUCAAAUCAUUGUACAUCUUGGUACUUUUCGGGUGAAUUGACAAACGGCUGUUAUGUGCUUCUUGCAAAAUUUUCCGAAUAAGUUAAUUGUUUUUGGGUACACAAAUCGUAUCUCUGAACAUCAAACAUCCAUCAGAAACAAUCCAAAAAUUUGAUUCAAUACCUCACUCACAUUGAGUUUGUUUAGCUUGAAAGCUAUCAUCAUUAGUUUGAGCAUCAUAGAUUUCAUGAAGGAAUGUCGGCCUAGCCUUUAGCUCAGCCAAGACUGAACCAUCAUCAAGCAAUGCCAAACGAGCAUCCAUAGCCCUUAAUGCAAACAAGGAUUUUCUGUUCGACACGUCAGCGAUCACAUUCGCCUUUCCCAGGUGAUAAUCAAUAAUUAGUUCGUAAUCCUUGAUUAACUCUAGCCACCUCUGCUGCCUCAAAUUUAAUUCUUUUUGAGUUAUCAAAUACUUCAAACUCUUGUGGUUAGUGAAUAUGUGGCAAGUCUCACAAUAUAAAUAAUGUCUACAAAUUUUCAAAGCAAAAACGAUGGCGGCAAGUUUUAGGUCGUGUGUAAGAUAGUUCUUCUCAUGCGGCUUCAACUAUCGUGAAGCAUAGGCUAUUACUUUGCCAUCUUGCAUAAGUACACAACCCAGUCUAUUUGAGGAUGCGUCACUGUAGACUACAAAUUAUUUUCCCGACUCAGGUAAUACUAAAACAGGAGCUUCAGUUGACAGUGUUUUUAACUUCUAAAAACUUUGUUGACACUUUUCCGUCCAUUCAAACUUAAUGUUUUUCUGUAACAAUCUCAUCAUUGGAGUUGCUAUCAUGGAGAAUCCUUUCACAAAUCUUCGAUAGCAACCAGCUAAGCCCAAAAAGCUUCUAACCUCAGUUACAUUUUUAGGUGGUUUCCAUUCAAUAAUAGCAGAGAUCUUACUUGGAUCGACUAGGAUGCCUUCACCAAAAACAAUAUGACCUAAAAAUCCAACUUCCUAAAGCCAAAACUCACUCUUGCUAAACUUAGCAUACAGCUGCUUUUCCCGCAAAGUCUGCAACACAAUUCUCAAGUGCUUCGCGUGCUCUGUCUUAUCUUUGGAAUAAAUCAAUAUGUCGUCAAUGAACACAACGACAAACUUGAUCAAAUAUGGCUGUAAGAUCCUAUUCAUUAGGUCUAUAAAUACAGCUGGUGCAUUCAUCAGCCCAAAUGGCAUGACAAGAAAUUCAUAAUCGCCAUACCUUAUCCUAAAGGCUGUCUUAGGUACAUCCAAUUCUUUAACUCGCAACUGGUAAUAGCCAGACCCUAAGUCUAUCUUAGAGAACACGGUGGCUCCUUUCAACUGGUCAAACAAAUCAUCAAUCCUUGGUAAAGGAUACUUAUUCUUGAUAGUUACCUUGUUCAGUUGGCUGUAAUUUAUACAUAACCUCAUCGAACUAUCCUUCUUCCUUACAAAUAGAACGGGAGCACCCUAAGGUGAAAAGCUCGGCCUUACAAAACCUUUAUCCGUCAGCUCUUGCAACUGUGCUUUCAACUCUCUCAGCUAGGUUGGUGCCAUCCUAUACGGAGCAAUUAAAAUAGGAUCUGUCCUUGGCACCAGCUCAAUACCAAAUUCUAUUUCCCUUUCAGGAGGUAAUCCGGGUAAUUCUUCUAGAAAUACAUCUGGGUACUCACAUACUAUAGGCACAGAUUCAAUCUUCAACUCUGUUUCCUUAGUGUUCAAUACAAUUGCAAGGUAGGCUUCAUACCCUUUUCUCAUAUAUCUCUGAGCAACCAUUGCCGUGAUCACAACCGAAAGCGUACCCAACUCUCUUGAAUCAACCCAUAGAAAUUCACCAUCCGGACAUUUCAAUUUAAUAUACUUACCACCAUAAUUUACAAUUACAUCAUGCAGUGCUAACCAAUCCAUACCAAAUAUUAUAUCAAAUUCAUCAAAUGGUAACAACAUAAGAUUAGCCAGAAAACAAUGACCCUGAAUUGUCAAAGGACAAUUCUUACAGACUUUAUCAACUAUGACUGAUCUGCCUAGUGAGUUCGACACUUUAAUAAUAAAUUCCGUAGGCUCAAUGAGUAUGUUCAUUCUAGAUACCAAGCUCAUACAAAUGUAUGAAUGCGUCGACCCCGGGUCAAUUAAGGCAAUAACACAUGUAUCGAAAAGAGAAAAAGUAUCCGUGAUAACAUUAGGAGCAGAGGCUUCCUCUCGGGCGCGUACCGCAUACGUUCUUGCCGGAGGUUGAGCCUCUAAUUUUGCAGCAUCUUUAACCACAACUCAACUGUCACUGGCACUUCCAAGAUAUCUCGGAGGUCUACCUCAUGAAAUGGGAGUACUCGACUUCAGGGCUACUUUCACUUCUUUCUCGACUCACUCUAGGCAGUCCCUGAGAAAGUGGUCAAGAGAUCCACAUCUGAAACAUGCACGUCUCUUCACUCGGCACUCUCCGAAGUGAAAUUUGUUGCAACUCCUACACUUCAGCUUUUGAUCAUCUACACUCCCCACACUAGUUACCAUCAGGGAGGAAGACUUUUGGCUUCUUCGUUUAGAGCUUCUCGCUCUACCCAAAUAUCCUACUGAUGAAAUGGAGCGUUCAUGCUGGCUCUUUGAUUUCUUGUGGGAAACAAGAGUGUUCUACCACUAGACCUCUUGCUCGCGGCUUAGGCCUCUCUCUUUGUUUGCUUUCUUUCGUUGUUAAGCUCCCCGACCUUCUUGGCCCGAUCAGCCAAUGCAACAACCUCUCAUAUUUCAAGGAUCCCAAUCAACAACUUAAUUUGCUCCUUCAGACCUUCCUCGAAGCGUUUACACAUUUUUGACUCGGUUUGGAGCCAUUCAGUUGCGUGCUGACUUAGCCUCACGAACUCUCGUUCAUAUUCUGCUUCAGUCUUGUUCCCUUGUUUGAGUUUUAGGAACUCAUUUCGUUUCAAGUCUAGAAACCGUUGGCUAAUGUAUUUCUUCCUAAACUCUAUUUAGAAGAAAUCUCAAGUGAUAUUUUCCUUUGGCACUACCGAGGAUACAGUCUUCCACCAAUGAUACGCAAUAUCUUUUAGGAGGGACACGGCACACUUCAAACGCUCCUCAGGUGUGCACGACAAAUCAUCUAACACUGGUGUAGUAUUCUCAAGCCAAAACUCGGCUCUUUCAGCAUCAUCAUCAACUUUAGCUCUGAAUUCCUCAGCCCCAUACUUUCUAAGCUUAUCAACAGGGGCUUUACCAAUUCUUACCGGUGCCCUACCUCGUGGCACAUCCUCAUUAGGUUGGUUAGGGGGCGGGGGAGGUCUUGGUAUGUUGGGGCGAUUCCUCAGGUAAUCCCCAAACCAUUCGUCCUUCAUAAGCCUUCUACUACUACUAGUAGAUACAGCUCGUUGUAUGAAAGCUGGAGCAUGGCUCUCAGCUCCCUCGGACUCAUCUUGUGUUUGAUUGGAAGACAUUUACUAUAUUCAAAACAAUUUAAACAGUUAGGAGACGUCAUACUAUCAAUAUUCGAAUGAUGGUAUGUAUAGCAAACCUCAAUACUCUCUACGAUAGUCCUAGAACUGACUAAAUCGUAGCUCUGAUACCAUUAAAUAUAACACCCUUUACCCGUUACUUGAGAUUCUCGUUCAUAAACAUAUUAAAUCUAAUCACUAAGUUGCACUCUAAUUUAAAACUAUUCAAAUAUGUAUAUCAUUUCCCUUAAACAAGCCUUCGAGACCUGAAACAUGCCUAGAUGCAGUACGGGACAAAACCGAAAACGUUUGAUAAACUUGGGGCACCUUGGAAAAUUUCUUUUAACUUGAAGUGUCACACGCCCGUAUGACUUGGGACACUCCCGUUCAAUCACCCCGUGUCCAAGACUUGAGCAUUCUAUUAAAUUCACACGGCCAAGACACACGCCCGUGUGUCUAGCCCGUGUUCAUUUAACAGACUUACCAUUUUAGAUGCAGGGGACACACAACCAUGCCACACACCUACGGGUGUGGCCCGUGUGUCAUACACGGCCUAGGCACACGCCCGUGUACCCAACUGUGUAAACCCUAUUAGGCUAUUUUCCAAGCCUAUGGUCACCCCCUUUUUAACACUUAUACUUAAUGAAUAUUAAAAACGAAGUAAAACAUGAUUAUGCUCUUAUAAAUGAUCUUUGCAAAAACUUAUUACGUGGAAACCUCAUAUCAUUAGUUUCGUACAUGCUAGGUUAUUUCCCAUCUUGUAUUUAUGUGUUGCCAUACCACUUUAACACAUUCAAGAUUGGCUCGUUCUUAUGACUCAUUGCCAAUUGGAAUUCAACCAUCGCACAUGAUUAUAAACUUGCAUGGAAAUUUUGUAGGUCAUAGCCUACUUCAAAAUAAGCCAAUCUCCAUGGCAAUAUACAAAAAGAUAGAAUUAUCUUUACAUGCUUUCAUUUGGAAAAUUAAAUGACACAUAUAACAAAAUACUCAAAAGACCUAUACAUGCCAUUGAACAAAUCAAAAAUGUCUUUAUACCAAAGCUGAGCUAUUUGAUAAUAUGCUGACUCUCUAACCGUCUUCAAUCUUUACGAGUCCUCGAGCUCUAGGAGAGACAGGGAAAAGAGAGGGGUAAGCAUUUUCAUGCUUAGUAAGCUCGAAUAACUGGAAAGUAAACUUACCAAGUAAUUAGCAUGCAAUCAAAUUGGGUAAUAAAUUCAAUGAGCAUAGGAUGGCUUCCCUGUAGCACCCCAAACCCGGCCUAGACGUUAUGGUCGGAUCCGACAUGCCACAUCGAAGCAUUCAAAACAUUUUAUAUUAUUGGUCCAGAAAAUCUUAUUUAGUGUUUUAAAAGAUAAUUUUAUUAUAGGUUAAAGUGAAUGGAAGCUAUGCACCAGGUAGGAAACCGAAAAAGAGGUGGUGAGUCCAUCGGACUGCGUAAGUACCAAGAUCCCUUCGGAUCCAAUCCUAGACAUGCAUACUGCCAUUGUCACACCUUAACGUCAUGGAUAUUUCUAGGAAACCGAUUUGAUUAAGUCAUUUUUAGGAAAAGUGAUUAAUUUUGGAAAACACUUUCAUUGCGGAAGCUUUAUUUGUUGUCGUGUUAUUUUGAAAUCAAUUGUUGUUUUUGAAAACGCACCCUAAAGCUAUCCAAUUUCAACAGUUAAAAUAAGUAAUACCUAUCUUAGUAAUACAUAUUAAAACCAUCAAAAAUAAUUAAGUGGCCUUAUUACAUUUAAAAACCCAAAACUUCAAACGUAAAUAACAGGAUAUCCAUUUCACCGGAAGAAAAUCAAACUUUCAGAAUGGGUGGCCACUCCAAAUUCCCUCACAACUCUAAGCCCACUAUGGUUGGGGAUUUCCUGCGUGGAUGAAAAUAAAAAGGGUGAGUUUGGGGAAACUCAGUGUAUAAGGAAAACCCAUUCAAAGCCCAAGUCAGCUCAAGCCAUUGGGCCUAAGCCCAUUCAGGUAACAGUGGUACUGGGCCAGAGCCCUUUUCAGAUUACAAUAAACUGGGCCUUAGCCCCUUAUUCAGAUAACAGUAUGGCCCAUAGGCCCAUUUCAAAAUACAUGCAACAUCAAUAACAUAUGCAAGCCCAUUUGGGGAGACUACUCAACCCACCAACCACUACACUCCACCCGUACCAGUCAUACACUCCAUGUGGGGAAUAGCUCAACCCACCCAGCCCAACACUCCACAGUUGCAGCCUUGCUGCUCAGUUAACAGUAAAUUGAGGCAAAGCCUCCAGUACGUGGACAAGCCACUUUCAGUACUUCCUCCGUCAAUAUCCCAGUCCCAUGCAUCAGAUAAUAACAACAUGGCAUGCAGUAAAUAACAACAGUCAAACAUGCAUUUAGGUCAAUUUAACCCUAGCGGUAUUUCGAUAAUUUAUCUCCUAGGGAUAAAACUGUAAAUUUUCCACUUUUAAAGGUAUUUCAGUAAUUUAUCUAUUUUAGGGUUUUUCAUGCAUAUUCCUACCUUUCACGUACUAACAGAAUCACGUACCGAGGGUUCUUACCGAAUUGGGCCCGUUGGUCAAUCAUUCCAAUUUUGGCCCAUUAAGCCCAAAAAUAUCGAGGGCACAAAAAUCAUGCACUUUGCAGUCCAAACACUGCAGCUUACCAAAAACAUUAAUCGAUUUACCUCACGAGCAUUCGCACACUCGCAAAUCUACAAAAUAUCGAUUUUUGACAUUUCGGCUUUUUGGCUUUUGCCGAUCUAGACUAAGAAAGAGGGUGUUAGUUACACACCUGUUUGCGACGAUAUGCUGACGAGAUCCACACACGAACUGCCUACAAUUGGAUUACUAACACGUUAAUCUAACUAUUCAAAUACAAACUACGUAUUAACCCCUUACAAUAUUCGGCCAACCACACCUACAAAUCAUAGUAAGCUUAUAAGAAAUCAAUAAGCAACUCAUUAACAAAUUUUUAUCAAUGUUUACCACAUAAUCAUAAUUUCACUGCAAGCUAUCUUCCUGAGCAAUAGUCACUAAAUUAUUUAUAACUGGAGCUACGAAACUCCAAAUCAAGUGCCAUUAAUUUUCCAUGAAAAUAGACUCAUAUAUCUUCUAUCCAUAAAAUUUCAGAAUUUUUUGGUCUAGCCAAUCAAUACCAGAUUUUUCUCAAAGUUUCCCAUGUUUCACUAUUUGACUAAUCUGACCACUCUUCAUUACGAAUCAAAUUUCUCAUUGUACAGAAUUUAAAAUAUGUUCUUGUUUAUUUCAUUAGAACCUAGACUCAAUAAGCUUUAAUUACAUAAUUUAUUCAGCUUCAAAUUCAUCUCCCACAAUUUAUGGUGAGUUUCCAAAGUCACAUUACUGCUGCUGUCCCAAGCAGAUUUAUUACCAAAUCACUCUUUCACACAUACCUUGCAUGCAUGUUAUUUAAACAUGUAUAUCACCAAUCAAUCAUCACAUAUCUAUGAUUUUACUUAAGAAUAAUCUCCAUUUCAUCAUUUUAAAGCACAACAUGUUAGCUGAUUUUUCCCUUUAACAUCUAAGGCACAUGCAUGCUCAUUUGUUUGGCUCAACUUCACCUAUCUUCCAUUUUUUUCAUCAAAAGAACAUGAAAAAACAACCAUUUCCUUAAUUUUAAUUCAUGACUAAAUGCUCACAACACAACUAAAAACCAAAAUAUGCUUCAAGAGUUAAGGUAGAAUCAAGAAGAACUCAUGAACAUCAAGAUAGAAGCCAACUACCAUGAACUUACCUUCAAUUUUCUUCCCCAAGUGACCGAACACUCAAGAGCUUUCUCCUCUCCUUUCUCUUCUCUAACUUUCAGCUAUGAUGAACAAAGAUGGACAAGACUUUGUUCUUUUCACCCCUUUUUCUUUUAAUAAAACUUCAUAUUUCAUCCAUUUAAUUCUUUAAUACAAAAGACAUGAAAUUCUUAUCAUGAAACAUUUACCUAACCCAUUAUCAUGAAACAUUUACCUAACCCAUUAUCAUGGAACAUUUACCUAACCUAUUAUCAAUUUAUAUCAAUUUGUACCAUAAAUUAUGGAUAUCAAGUGUACAUUUUGUCUACAACAACAUGAUGGCUGGCCACUUCAUGUAAAAUGGGAGGUUUGUCAUGCAAAUCCUCCUAUUUUGCACUCCUAUUUAUUUGGUCACUUCAAUUUAGCCUAUAGCAUUUUCAAACAUUUUCACAUAGGUCCUAUUUCAUAAUUUCACUCACAAAUGACAAAAAUUAAGCAUGAAAUUUUGCCAACAUUCACAGAAUUCCCGAAAAUUGGGGCGUUACAUUCCCUAUCACAUACACUCAAUCAAUGAGUUAGUCACAUAACAAUGUAUAAUGAAAGUUAUCUUAGAUGAGCUCAUCAUUCAACAUCUCAUUUUGUACAUAUAAGUCAUGUUAAUCUUGUUGAGUUUCUAGAAAGUCUCGAUAGAAUACUUAUUAACCGUCAAUUCGUAUGAAUUAUCAUUUCCAGUAUGCACUUCCGCGAACAUCACAUCUCAUGGCAGGAUUACCAGUCCAGGCUAAAUCCCCCAUUUUAUGAACUCAUAAGGUGAUGUCAAGAUUACAAGUCCAGGCUAAAUCCCUUAUAACAACAAACACCUUUAUUGAGCUUGGAUCUGAAUUACCAGUUCAGGCUAAAUUCAGAUCCUAAUCGGAUUACCCGUCUGGACUAAAUCCAUAAUGCACACAUAUUCUUCGGGAGGCUUGACCAUUUAAAGGAACACCCGUCCGGGCUAGAUCCUUUUAUAAAUGACAUCAACGGAUUACUCGUCUGGGCUAAAUCCUUACUGCAACACAUGCAGGACUUCAUUACACAUGUCAAUCAUGGUUUAUCCAUCGAAUUCCCUUUUUAACCUCAACCGAGACAUUUAUCACAAUUCAUACUUAAACAUACAUUUCAUAAAAUUUCAUGUUAUUAAUAAAUGCAAUCAUCAUGCAUUCAUAAAUCAUAUAAUUAGGCACAUUGAGUGUUUACUUUAAGUUAUCCGAACUUACCUGGUAUUCAUUUUGGUGUCGUGUUUUGGUUAUUUCGAAACCUUUCGUUUUCCUCGAUCGACCUCCAGAAUUUGUUCCUCUAGGUCUAUAACAAUAAAAAUAGAUCAUAAACACUCUAAAUUAUAUAUUUCAAGUCUAAAUUCCACCCCCGAUCCAAAUGACCGUUUUGCGCCUAACCUUUCACAUUUUUACAAUUUAGUCCCUAGGCUCGUAUAAUGAAAGGCAUGCAAUUUCUACCUUACUCAAGCCUAGCCGAACACUUUUCCCUCUUAUGGUAGCCCACAUUUUUCAUUAUUUCCACAUUCCUGCCACACAUUUUACAACUUUUGCAAAAAGGUCCCUUUAGGGGUUUUUCAUGAAAAUCACCUAGAAAAAGUUGUUUAACACACAUCAAACUUUCAUAUUCCUCCAUAAAACAUCAAAAUACUAGUAACUUAUGCAUGGGUAAAUUUUUAAACAUGAACCCUAGCAUGAAAUAUUGGUAGAAAUGGAGAGAGUAAGCUACCGAAAUCUCAAAAUUAAGAAGAACAUUAAAAACGGGGCUUGAGAACACUUACUAAUGAGCUUGAAAAGCUUGGAAACCCUAGUUAUGGUGGCUUGGAGAUUACGGCUGGACAAGGGAGAAAAAUGGUUAAUUUUUUCCUUCUUUUCCCAUUUUAUUUCAUUAAUAUGCCACAUGACCAAAAUGCCCUUAAGCCCUUUCUUUGAAAUUUCAUCAAUGCAAGCCCAUUUUUGUCCAAAAACUUAGAAAUUAGAAAAAUUUCUCCCCAAGACCUUCUAUUUUAUAAUCUAAAGCAAUUUCAUACAAAUUGCUUCUAGAAUCCAAGUUUUGCAAUUUAUUCAAUUUAGUCCCUAAUUUUCCAAUUGGGCACUUACUCAAAGAAUUCCUUCAUGAAACUUUAACACAUGUAUAUUCUCAUAUUCUAAGCCUCGUAAUAAUUAUAAAAUAAAUAUUUUGAUGUCGUAUUUGUAGUCUCGAAACCACUAUUCCGAUUAGGCCCUAUUUUGGGGUGUUACAUAAUUUACCAACUCCAAUGUCUUUGGGAAAAAUUUUAUUGCACAAGACUAUUAUAUCUUCCUCACUCAUAUGACCUAGUUGCAUGUGCCAAAGUUUUGUUGAGUCGGAAUCGAUGAAGAAAGAGUCACGUCGUGUCGCCGUGACGUGGUGGGAAUUUCGACUUUUCUUCAGUAAUCGCAGCCACACCAGUAAUUGUUGACCCUUGCAAAACGUAUAGGCUGCCCUUUUCCUCUCCCCUCAUCAUAAAAGAGCCUCAGAGAAACUUUUAAGUCAUUUGACUCAAUGACUAUCCUGCAACCAUUAGAAUCCAAAAUUCCCAAUGAGAUAAGAUUUUUCUUUAAAUCAGGAACAUACCUGACAUAUGAAAGUGUUUGAAUAAUCCUGUCAUGCAUCUUAAUUUGUAUCGUUCCAAUUCCGAAUAUUUUACAUGGGAGAGUUAUUCCCGAUCAGCACAACUCCACCUUCAACUUAACUAUAUGUAGAGAACCAGUCCCUGUUGGGAUACAUGUGACAGGAGUACUCUGAAUCUAAGUUCCAUUCAGAAGUAAGAUGAUAGCUUUUGCUCGUUGACACCAACAAGAAAUUAUCACAUUUAUCCUCAACUACACUAGCAUCAACAACGUCGGCUUUUUGCUUAUCUUUCUUAUCGUUUUCAUCAUCAUUUUUUAUAUUAUUUUGAAAUUUCCAACAUUCUGCCUUAACAUGGCCCGCCUUUUUACAAUAACCACAAUAUUUGUGAUGAUUUCUGGAGUUGGACCUUGCUUUAGACCUAUUUUGAUCUGUCUUUCUGGUUUGUCAUUUGCCUCUUGCAACUAGAACUGAGGUUUGCCCGUAUGAUUUUUUGUUUGGGCUUAACUCAUUAUUGAGUUUAUCCUUACUCAGAAGAUUCCCCUUCACAUCCUCGAACGAGUGAUGGUAUCUCCCAUAAAUCAAAGUUUCCCUGAAAGUUUUAUAAGAAAAAGGCAAAGAGCAUAACAAUAACAUAGCUUGAUCCUUAUCACUAAUAUUUGCUUCGAGAUUCUAUAAGUCUUUAAAAAGGGUAACAAACUCGCUAAUAUGAGUUUUGAUGGACUCACCUUUAGCCAUUCUGAACAUGUAGAAAUGUUGUUUUAAUACUAACCUGUUGGCUAGAGAUUUUGUCAUAUAUAAGGUUUCUAGUUUCUUCCAUAACAUAAACGAUGUUUUCUCCUUCAAAACCUUCUAUAACACAUUAUUCGUGAGAUAUAAUUGAAUAAUGGAUAGAGUCUUUUCAUCGAGCUCUUCCCAUUCUGACUGAUCCAUAUCUACGAGCUUUUUCCCUGUAAUGACCUUUUUCAGACCGUUCUAAACCAAUAUUGUUGUCAUUCAAACUUUCCACAAACUAAAAUUUACAAUUCUUCAAACUUCUCAAUAUCAAACCUUGACGUUGCCAUCUCUAAACGGGUUGACUGUAAAAAUUAAACUAGCUCUGAUACCAUUUUGUGGGGGAAAAACCCAUUAAGCAAUGAAUAAAGUAAAUAAAAUAAGAAUCGAAAAGAUCGAACAUGUAAAUUUUGCAUGGAAAACUCCUCAAGAGAGGAUAAAAACCACGGGAAAAAACAAAUUUCACUAUAAUAAAGGAGAGUACAAAAGAUGGAGGAGAGAAUUAAAAGAAAACCCGAAGCCCUUCAAGAAAAACCCUUCAAAACAAAGAAUAAAAUUCUCUCAAUCUAAAUAAAUUUUUGUUAUGUAAAACCUAGAGUAACUAAGGACUAUUUAUAGUUGAAAUUUGUAGCAUAUAUGACUACAACAAUUAGAGUUUAAGUGGGAAAGUAGAAACAAAGUUUAACUAGGAGAAAAAUAAAUUUUGGUCAAAAUAAGAGGCAUUCUUCCACACCUUUCCAAAUAAUACCUUAAGAGAGUGUCACAAAGUUACCCAAUGGAAUAGCAAGAUACAAAAGCUUAAGAUACUCCAAAACAGCAAACAAAGUGAGACCACACUAUUGCCUAUUUAUAGGCGUCUACAAGUGAUUAUAAGAUAGUGUUUUGAUAAGCUUUAAACUCUCCUUUAAAAGUUGAAAUUAUCAAAUUAAUUAUCUUGAAUAUUUAUCACAUAAAAGACUUUAUAACCAAGUUUUCCAAUAGCUUCAAACACUCUAAAAGGUAAGGAUAAGGAUAAGUGCCCAAAUUUCGAACUCCUCUCCUUCCUAGGCUAAUCAAAUGGAUGAUAAUCAUAUUCCAAUUUACCAAGAAAUUCUCUUAUCAUUUGUUGUUAACUAAUAUUAGAACAUAAGCCAUUAAAAGUCAAACAUGCCAACACCCAAAAAUGUUGAUUGCUCCAAAAAGCUUGUUUUAAUUGUUGUUCAAACAAGUCAGUACAAUUUCCAACAAAAAUUAAUAAUAACUAAAAAAUAUUAAAAAAUAAAAAAAUAUAUUUAAUAAAUGAAAAAUCAAAUAAAACCUAAUAAAAAGCUCAACCUUUUGUUAAAAAAAAUCAAAUAACUGAUAGUGUCUAGGAGAUGAGGAGUUAUACAUUUAAAUAUAUUGUAUUAUAUUAUUAUGUCGUAUAUUAAAUUAACAUUUAUAAUCUUUUUUUUUAAGGAAACCGUUAGUCUCAUAUUUUCGUCUUCUGUUUUUUUUUUCCGGUUAACAACAAAACUAGAAAAUACUGCACUUACACAUGUAUAUAUGUUGACCAUAUCUAAGAAAUAUGUUACUGAAUCAUGUGAAAUUCAUUCCCUUGAGCCAAGAAAAAGGAACGUAAAAUCAUGUGAGUUCACGUGGCAAUUAGGUAGAAAUUAGACAACUUGUCUAUGCUUCAAUCAUUAUGAGGCAAACCAAGACAAGUUCAACUUUUUUUUUAUCCUCUCACUGUGAAACCUUUUGCAGGAAGACUUAGGAACAAUAGCUAAGCCUAAAUCCUGCUAGAAUCACAACAUAUUGUUUUGUUUAUUAAAAAAAAAAGAUGAUAUUGGUCUUUGAUAUGUAAAAUUGAUCUAUACAUGCAUUGAUGUUGAGCAAUUUUUGUUUGAGGAGUUAACCGCUACAUUAUAUAGAAGUAAUUAACGUCUUGGGGAUUUUUUAUGCAAAAAAAUAUAUACAUAAAUUUAUAUGAAAAAUACAUGGUUAAAAAAAUUUGUAAAUAAAGCCUUGACAUGGUAGGUAAAAGUGGAAGCUAUAGGCUUUGAGUAACCAUAUUCAAGACCCACCGUACACAGUUGAAUGUAUGGGUUUUAAAGUCCUAUUAUUAAUUGUUAUGUGUUGGUUUUAGUUUGAUUAAUUAUAUUAUAACUUACAUUGUUUCUGUUUAUAAUUUAUAUUUUAUGUAAUAGAUUGAUUUUUUGUCUUAAUUUUUAGUCUAUUUAAAUGAUAUAAUUGUUUAAUUCUACACUUAAUAGUUACUUUGACCUAUAUUUAUAUUUUAAUUUUUCUGUAUUUUUAAACUUUAAAAAAACAUAUAUUUAUAUAUAGAAAGUUUAUGAAUAAAAUUUCUUUUUUCGAAAAACAAUAGAAAGCAUACGCAUUUAAUAUUUGGCAAAAAUAAAGUGAGUAAUGAAAGAUUGAAUUAAGGCAAACUAUAUUUGAUAGCAUCUUUGAUUGGUAAAGCCACCAAUAUCAGAAAACCGGAAACACUAAGACUAAUACGAUGCAUUAAUCAGCGGAGUAGUUCAGCAUUAGUGAUGAAGAUGAAAGUGGUAGAUACAAACCUUUUUCAAAGCAUUAAACACACUCAACCAUAAGCUGAAACAUGAAAAAGAAAGAAAGAAACCUUGGCAUUGAAUUGGGCCAACUACCAACGCCUAACCAUAUACUAUUCGUACGUGUUUCUCAGUUCUUUUGAUAUCCCUUCACUCAACUUUUGGCUAUAAAAACCCUCCUACGCUCAAGCCCUAACCACGACAAUCAGCUAUAGUACUUCUACUCCAAGCAAGCAUUUUCCUUUUCUUGUGAUUAAUCGAUAUGGCUAGCUCAAUGUCCCUUAAGCUUGCAUGUGUGGUGGUGUUGUGCAUGGUGGUGGGUGCACCCCUGGCUCAAGGGGCCGUAACCUGUGGUCAAGUCACAAGCUCCCUCGCACCCUGCAUUAAUUACUUGAGAGGGACUGGUGCUGGUGCUAUUCCCCCAGGUUGCUGCAGCGGCAUCAAAUCUCUCAACUCCGCCGCCCAAACAACACCAGACCGGCAAGCAGCUUGCAAAUGCAUCAAAAGUGCGGCCGCCGGCAUUCCUGGCAUCAACUUUGGCCUUGCAAGCGGACUACCAGGCAAGUGCGGUGUCAACAUCCCUUACAAGAUCAGCCCUAGCACUGACUGCAGCAGGUUCGUAUGAGUUGUUUCAUUGCUUAUGCUUAUUAAUUGCUCAACAUUUAAUGGUGUGUCUUUUGUUGUUUCAUUUGCAGCGUCAAGUGAAAUUUUGGCAUGGAAUGUUCAUCAGCUAGUGGAAGCCAAAAUAAUGAUAGCUACAGAAUAAAAAUGGAUGUUUAAAAUCCAUCCGUAGGGAUAGCAGAGGAGUUAUCCUAAUUUUAGAGUUGUGCGUUGUGUACUAGGUCGGUUUUUGCGACUAUGUAAUACUAUCUUUAUCUACAAAUUAAUAUCACUCAUUAUUUUGUGUUUCUUCUAUAUGAUAUUUAUCUAUAUACCCUUCUCUCAAGCAUUUUAUAUCAACAUUCACGUGGUCUAAUAAUAAUGAAAAUCAUGAUUACUCAACCCUAAGUUUAAUUAAAUCAAUUUAUGCACCGGUUCUGUUCUUUAGUUGCAUGUACCGGAUGCAAUUCCCAUUGCAAUCUGUUUUGUAAUUGAAAGGUUAUACAACUUGCUAUAUAUAUCGACAUAUUUUUAAUUGAAAAAUUUUGGGCUCAUUCUUAAUUUACUUUAAAUCUUUAAAGUGGACUACUCCUUUGGAGACAUUUCUUUUUAAAUGAAAAUAUUAGAAAUACAAUUAAGAGAGAUUAUUCAUCUGAUCAUGUUGAAACACGGAUCAAAGUUCAAAGUUCAUGAUCAUUACGCACAAAACGUUUUAUGAAGAUUAACUGAUUAAACGAGAUUAUUAUUUGAUCCACUUGAACUUGCCUGACUCGUGGAACACAUGGAAAAGUCUAUCUACUUAAACCUUUGGAGGUUCAGUGAAACUCUCCAGUAAAAUUAGAGUUACCAGAGUAAUUAAUGUAAAGCCUAAGGGAUAAAAAUGUAUAGAGUUUAAAUCUCAUAGGACUCUCAUCUUAUAAAUAAGUACUAAUAUCAGUCGUCGAUAUAAUUUAAUCUGUAUCAUUGGAUCUAGGGGAGCUCAACUAUAAAUAGAGACCUCCUUCAUUUGUAAUCAUCUCAUUGUACUCAUGAACAAAGCCAAAAAUAUUUUUUUGGGAUAGAAUUAAAUUAUAUAUUUUUACAAUAGUAAAAAUACAAUUUCACUAAUUUAAUAGUUAUCUUUAUAAUUUUUAAAGAAUUAAAUCAAAUUUUUAUGAUGGGGAAAGUGAAAUUUUACCAUUAUUAAUUUUAAAUUUUAUAAAUUAUAAAGGGAUAUAAAUGAAAUUUUUUCUAUUUUAGAAGGGAGGUCCCUACCAGCCCUCUUAGUUUCACCACUAAUUGUACUUCAUUCCUUCUUGAGUUAAAGAAUUUAUUAAGAGUAUUUACUCAAACACCUUGUAUACAUCGUUUUCUUAUAUCUUUUCAAUUCUCUUAUUGCUCUUUCAUUUUAAGUUACUUCCACAAUAUUUUUUGCUAACAUAGAGAAUUUUUAGGAAAAUUAUCACUUUUCGAGGGUUAGGUUGACUUAGGCAAAUUUAACGAAAAGAAAUCACUUAAAACCACACGAUUUAUUUAAAUUCUAAUCCCAUAACAGUAAAGUUUUGAUAUUUGAGUAACUCAACAUUUAUGUUUCAUGAAAAUAAAAAUAAUGAGAUUCACUCCUUACAAUAAAAUUUCUAUGUUGCACCUAAUUUACCAUUCACAAUAUGAUACUCAUAAUUAAGAUUAAUACAAUACAUGGGUUUGUCAUAAUGUAAUCUGAAAUAAGAAAGUAACAUUUUUUAAAUAAAUAUAAUUAGAAUCUAUUUUAUUAGUUCUGAAUUUUCAAAGUUUAUAUUAGUUUAAAACGGUUUUAAUAAUUCUUAGUUACAUAUCGCUGAUUAAACUUUUAAAUUUAAAUUCAACCGAUUCAUCUAAUAUAAUUCUAACAACAUUAAUAUAUAAUUUUUGUAUUUUUAUAAACACAUAAUUCUAAAUAUAUAAAUUCUUAAGUUGGUGAAUUGUUUAUUUUACACUAAUUUUAUAAUAAACUAUAUGCUAAUGAGAUAAUUUAUUUUACUAAAUUAUCAUUAAUGCUCCCUGAUUAGGAAUGUGCAUACAAAUUUGAAUAUCGCUGAAGAGAUAGCGAUUGUUUGUAAUAGAGAUUUAUCGUAUAAGUCUCAUCAUAAUUUCAUUAUCUUAGAAUCUAAACACAUUUUAUACAAAAAUGUUAUUUUAAAAUUAAGUGAUGUUUUGGUUGAAAUAAUUAAGUCAAAAUUUUAAACUUAAGUUUCAAUUUUAUUAUAGUAUUUUUUUAUUUAAAAAUAUGAAAAGGCAAAAAAUACUCUCUUAUUAAUAUUUUUUUUUAUUUUAUAUUAAAACUAUUUAGUAAAUUCUCAAUAGAGUUAGUAGCCGGUUGACUCGUGACACCAACUCAACUAAGGCUUAAUAUAAGUAUAAAUAGAUGAGUAAAUUUAGAAUAAUUAUUGUUAAUGUAACUGUAAAAAUUUACCAUUACAGUGUAAUGGAUUUUAAAGGGUUGAUUCUAAAAUCUGACUCUAAAUUUUUCAUCGAGCUUUGCUCUAACAACACACUUAGACGAUGGGAUCUCUCCAACAUUCUCGGUGAAAUUAAUUUUUUUGCUACAAGUAACCAACGAGGAAAGGGUGGAGGAGAAGAGUCUCGAUUCACCUAUGAUAGGAUGAGUUAAGGAGGGAGAGAGCGAGAGAGCUACAGUUGUUGUCUAGGUUUUCAGGGGAGAAAGAGUCGAUGCUUGGUUCCUCAUGCACCAGAGCUUACAUAGGGGAUCACCCAUUGUCCUGUAGUGUCGCGUAACUGACAAUGUUGUGUCCUACAAGAUUGUGCGUGCCAGCCAAGUGACAAGGCCGUCAUAGGUCAAUUGUCAUUAUAUAGUGUAUUGUGUGAUCCUACUCUAACAUUCUUGUCUUUGGGGUUGUACGAGACUAUUACGCUUUAGUGGUCCUCACGGAACUGCGUAACGAGCUAUCUCUAGGUAGUUUAGAUAGGGUUCAUGGGAGGUCAUUUGUGAGCAAUCCUAAGCGAAGGAUCGCUACGAAAGGUUCUUAACGAAGAGUCAUACGCAAACUGCUUCCAAUGGAGAGUUGUUUGCAUAUUGCUUCAUGUCUUGCCACGUAUUGAGAUGGAAAUAUAACAAUAACAUUAAAUUUUUUUCACAUGGACUCAGAGAAGCUAAUACAAUCCCAGACGCACUAGUUAAAAUUGGCACCCAUAGGAGUCAUUUAUUUCAUGUAUUUUGGGAUAAAUUUUUGGUGUUGUUGUAUGUGUUUCUUUAUAGCAGUGGUAUGCUAGUACAGCACUUGAACAUGCCUUGCACGGAUACUUUUUAUGAAACUGUAAGUCGACUAAUAAAAACGAAGUUAUGAAUAAACUGUACAUCUAUCUACCCACCUUCUUCCCUACCAUUUAUCCCCCGCCUUACUUUGGAAAAGAUUUAGGAGGGUUUCAGAUUUUACAUUUUAAAUUUUAGAUUUAUAUUUCAAAAUCCAUAAUCAUUUUUUAAAUUUGUGGAUCUACUCUAUUUAGUUGGAAUUUUAAUAAAUCUAGAAAUUUAAUAUAUUUAUGCUAAUAUACGCAUUACAUUCAUUUAAUUUAAAUAUAAAAUGACAUUAAAAUAUACAUGAUCUGAAACAUAUUAUUAUUAGACUUUUAGUCCCACCAUUUGCAAAUGUUAUUUGUGAGUUUAAAUCUCAUCAUGUAUUGGUUCUCUUCAAAAAAUUUUGAUUUAAAUCUAAAUAUAUUUAUGUUAUCAGUUAGUUAUGCUUUGUACUAUAUAUAUUCUAUUUUUAAUUGAUCAAAUAUAUAUUAUUUUUUAUUGCACUAGUAAACUAUUUAAAGAAAAUGUUAUUAUUAUUAUUUCCUUGGCUUUUCUUUUAUUUAUUUGGAACAUUAAAAAAUGAAAGGCUUUUCUUUAACUCCAUAUUCGUAUAACUUUUUUUUUAAAUAUUAUAACUAAUUUUAUAAUGCACACAAAAAUAGACAAAGAAUUUAUAAUUUUUUUUUAAGAAGACAGAAUUUAUAUUUAAUAUAAAAUCAAUCCUCGUUGAAUAGGAUUGCUUAUUACGACACACCUGUAAGCUCAUUAAAAUCAAUUUGGGGUUAGUAGAGAUAUAAAUCAUAUCAUUAAUUAUUUUUUUAUAUUGAGUCGGUGUGAUUUAUGUAAUUUAUUAUUCUAAUUCAUUUUAGGGAAUUUUUUAUGUAUAAAUCUUGUGUUGAAAUCAUAUAAUUUAUCUUACAAUUAUGAAUUUAUCUUUUGACGCGUCGAAAAUUAUUUAUUUGAAGGUUUUAUUAAAAAAUAUUAUUUAUAUUAUUUAAUAUUAUCGUCAAUAACUUUUUAUCCAGUGACUAGAAUAUUAUGAUAUAAAUAUUAGAGUUUAGGUUUGAUGACAAAUAAUUUUAUUCUCCACCCUUAAUUAUCCAAUAUAUAUAUAUUUCAUAUUACUUAAUUUUUUUAAAGUCAAAUUUUAUUAAAGAAUGAAUAUGAAAAAAUUAAAAAUAUUUCUUUUCUAAAAUAAUUUGACAAGCAAUAAAGCAUAAAAAAAAUUCCAUAAACAAUAAUUUCGAAUAAUAAAUUAUAAACUUUUGAUAAAGAUGUACUCAAAUAUCUUAAUAACUAAUAAUAAAAUAUGUAUAUAUUUUUUAAUUUCAUGUUUAAUUUAAAAUUUUUAAAAUAUUUCUUCAUAUUACAAAUGUAAUUUGUCUCCCUUUUUUACAAUAGUUGGAUCACUCUUCAUAAUAUACACAAUAAUAUAUUAUAAAGCAAUUUAUAAACAAUAAUAUAUUAUUUAUAAAAUCUUUUAAAAAUUAAAAAUUAAUUCACACGAUGAAUCUGUGCAUCUAAACAUAUCAACUACUUAAUAAUAUAUUUUGCAUACAAUUUGAUAAUAGUCCAAUUUGAAAAAAUAUAUAUUUUUGUGCUUUCUCAUAAAAUUCUUAAAUAACCCAUAAAAAGAUAUUAUAUGUUUUAAGUGCAUCUGAAUUUUUUCAACUUUAGAGUUAUUACAAAAGCAACAAAACCAAUUAAAUUAAUAUUUGGUUGGUUAAAGUUUAGGCGUUAAUAACUUAUUUUAUAUAGAUAUAAAAACAUUCAUACAUUCGUAUAGUGUUCAUAAUAUUUUUAUGCCAUUUAAUGUAUGAAUUGAUUUUCCAUAUCUUCUUUGUAUUGUUAAUUUUAACACUAUAUUUUUUUACAAAAAUUUAAAUUUUUAUACAUAUAUAAUAUUAAUAUAAAAUUUAAUUUAAUUUUCAAAAAGCUUUGAGCCAACAUAUUCAAAUUAGUCAACAACCUAACAAAACAAGUGGUUGAGGUUGCUUGUUGGCGCUGAUAUAGAUCCGACUAAUGUCAUUCACUACGAAAAUAAUGGAAAAGGCCACCUGUGGGGCCAACUAGGUAGAUAUAUUAUGAAUUGAAUGACAUGUGGCUGGUUGUAAUACCUCAUUGCAUUCAUUGCUUCAUUCACCCCCUAUUGAAAGUGAUAGAUUUUUUCUUUUAGGGAGAUUUAACUUACAAAUUCAUACUCUCUUUUUUUUUUUAUCAUAAGAGGUGUUUAAACUGUUUUUUUUUAAGUUUGGUAUUUCGGUUUAAUCAAAUUAUUAAGUUAAAAAAAUUUUAACCCAUUAAUUAGUAUCUAAGCUACAUAUUUUUUUCAAAUUGAUACCUAAACAUUUUUUUAUCCUACGUGGUACUUAAAUUAUUCUUUCAUUUUCCAUUUAAUACCAAAAUAUUAUAUUCAUUAAAAAAAUCUAAUCAAUAAUAGAUUGACAUGUAAAAUUUUAAAAAAAUAAUUAAUUCUUCUCUUCUCUUCUCUUUUUUUUUCAAUUAUUUCCCUCAUUUUAACUUUUUAUUUUUUUUUUCUUUCUUCUUCCUUUAUAAUGUCUAACAAUGACAACAAAUGCAAUGCUCAAAAUUCGCCCUCGUGAGGUUAAGACUAUGGAAAUUAAUUUUCUUUUCGAACUAUAUCGCUUGUAUGUUAGACCUGACGAGAUCGUAAAAAUUCUUUCAUUGAUCAAAACCAAUUUUUUUUCAGAAUCAGGCUAACAGGUCAUACUUUUGUAGGGGUGAGCGUCUAAUCGAAUCAAAUAGAAAAAUUUCGAUUUAAUCAAGUUGACGAGUCCUAUUUUAUCAUCUUAAAAUGAUUUAAAAUUUUAUCGAAUCGAAUCGAAUAUAUUUGUCUCCAGUUAAUUGAAAAAAAUUCUUUGGAUCCUUGUAGCCACUGUCACUCAUCAUAAUCAAAUUUGUCCAUCGUAAUCAAAUUUGUUAUUAACUUUCAUCCCUUCAUAAUUUAUUUAUUAAUCUUUUAUAUACGGGUUAGCUUCUUUGCUUGCUUAGUUGCUUCAAUUAUCUUUUAAUUCUUGUCACUGUGUAUUUUGAAAUUAAAAAAUAUAUUAAAUGUAAAAAAAUAUUUUUUUAAUAAAAUUUAUUUUAAAGAUAAAAUGUGAAAUUGGUACCAAUAGAAAGUUUUAACACAAAUAUUGUAUGACAUCACCAAUGAUACAAUUUUAACAGAAAUUGAUAAAGAUUCAACAUGAUUAAACAACUUAAUAAUAUAAAUAAUACAAAAUGUGAAAUUUAAUUUAUAAUAUAAAUAAUAGCCAUAAAUAAAAUUAUUACUAUUUAGGUCUAAGGAUUUUUUUUGGAGGAUUUUGAUUUUUGAUUUGGGGAUAAAGGGUGAGAAGUAAAAGUUUUGGGGGAAAAGUAGAAGGGUUUGGGACGGGGUAGGGGUGGGGGUGGGGUUGAGGCUGGGGGAAGGGGAAUAAAAGUUUCGAGGGUAAAGUUUGGAGGUUUGGGGUUGUAACACCCCAAACCCGGCCUAGAUGUUAGGACCAAGCCUGGAAAGCUACAACAAAUCAUUCCAAAAAAUGUCACUUUUAACUAAUUAAAGUUUAAUUGUCAGAAAAUGUUUAAAUAGUUGAACUAAUGUAGAAAUAUAAAUUUGCAAUCUGUAAUUCAAGAUAAACAACUAUAGUAUAAGUUUAAUUAAAGCGGAAAAUUACUAAGUAAGAAUGACUGAGCUCCCGCCACGGCGACCGGCCUAAGUCGAUGAGUUACCAAAAAUUCAGUCAACAGACAAAAUGAGUCGGUAAACACAACAUGUAAAUUAUAUUUUUAUUAAGCAAAACAACAGAACAUAUCUUCAGUUUUUCAAAAUUCGAACAGUUUUCAAAAUCAUAUACGGAAGCAGAACAGAAUAUGUCAGUUACACACCAUCUCCAUCCAACCCUACACACCAAAAAGGUAUGGAAUGCCCAUUCAUCCCUACACACCACAUAGUGACCAUAUGUCAUGUUCAAAAGGUUACAAACUAAAUUCUAGGACAGAAUGUGAAAGUCGCCAAAAUUAGAUACAUUUACGUGGCUUAGCCACCAAUCUUAGUAGAUUAUUUAACUGCCACAACUUCCUCCUUAUUCAAUCCCAACCCCAAUGCAGAUGCAAAGUUACAGAUACAGAUAUAAGCAUAGAUGUUACAGAUUCAGAUUAUACUCAGUUAACACAGAAUACAACUAUUCGCUAGUUUACAAUUCUAUGAUGUAUAUAAAAUAAUAGUUUAUACAGAAACAAAUUACUAGUCAAUGGGUUUUAUAACCCAAAUCGGAUCAUACAAACCCUAAGGUAAGCCUACGUUCGACUGGAACGACGUUUAUAGCCCUAACGAAAAAUUUGAAAUUUUGACCCAUACACUUGUGUGGAUUCACAUGUCUUGGAAGGCUGGCCUAUGUGGCACACGAUCUAUAACAUGGCCUGGCACACGACCAUGUGGCUCAAAAAAAUGAGUUACACAGUCUAGCACAUAGUCAAGCACACGUUCAUGUGACUCAAUUCAUAAAAUUUCCUUCAUAUGGCCUGGACACACGAACGUGUCCUAGCGCGUGUGACUCUAAUCCACAAAUAGUAAGUUACACGACCUAGACACAUGCCCACAUCCUUGGCUUGGUGACCCUAAUACACAAACAGUAAGUUACACGGCUAUAUGAUUAACAACCAUGUGUUCCAGUGUUCGCAAAUCAUAAAAAAAUGCGUUUUCUUUAAACACUUGAUGUAGUUUCGAUGUAGAAGCAACACACAAGAAUUUGGAACCUAAAACGACAAUUAAUUGACCAAUUAAACGACUAAUCAACUCAAAAUUCCAAAAUUAGCACUCAAAACUAACGUACGUCGAAAACUUCGAUGCAACCAACCAAAGCAGAAAUUUUCGCUUAUUGACAAGCGAGCAACAAUAGUUCAGACCUAAUUUCGCAGGAAAACAUUACUUUUGAAACCUUUUCCUAAAAGAAGAUCCAUUAGAACUAUUAACGAGAUUUUACAAUGAUUGGCAGUAAUAUCGAACCUCGACGAAACAGAAAAAGUCUAGCAAAAAAUAGGCAGAAAAAAACAACAGAAAUUACGAAAUAUCCUUGCAAUCAACGUAAAAAACCACACAGAUUUCCCAAUUAAGCACGAUAGCAAACUUACGGAAGCAAUCAAGCAAGAAAGGUGUAAUAGCCCAUUUUUAGUAAAAUCAGAACAGUGGUUUCGGGACCACAAAUCUAGAGUCAAAAAUAUAAUUUUAUUAUUAUUUUAUGGUCUACAUCAUGAUAUUAUUACAGUAUAAAAAUUUUGUUAAGAAAUUUUACCGUUUACAUGUUCAAUUUGAUAAAAAGGACUAAAUCGCGUAAAGUGCAAAAGUAGAGUUUUAAUAGCUAAAGGUAUUAAAUAGCUAUAUAAAUUUAAAUUAGAGGUCCUUAUAUGGUAAUAACCCAUAAAUGUGUUAGUGGAAUGUCAUGGCUUGGUAAACUUGUAAAUUGAAAUAAUUUUAAAGGUCAAAUAAAUAAUUAAGUAAAUAAAGGCAAAAUUUAGUAAAAUAAAGCCAAGUAUAAUCUUUUAUCCUCUUUAUUCAACCGAUUAGCUUAGAAAAAGAAGCCAUUUUUUCUCUUUAUGGUUCGGCAAGCUUGUUUCCAUCAAUUAGGUAUGUGUUUUGUCCCCCCCUUUUUUUAUAAUUUCUAUGUUUCUAGGAUCGUUGUAACUUAAUCUAGCUAGCCUGGGAAUUAAUUUGUGAAAAUGUUAAAGUAUUUGAGUUUUACUAUUGAUGAACAUGUUAGGGUUUUGAAGUUUAAUAGUAUAAAAUAAAUGGUUGUUGUUAGAUAAACAACCUUUUUAAAGGAAUUUUUUAUGAAAUUAUCAAUUAGGGAUUAAAUUAAAAAAUAUGAUAAAUUUGUGGUACAAUUUUGAAUUUGUGAAAUAUAUGGGCAGCUAUAAAUAUGUUUAUAGUUCGGCUAGGCUUGGGUUUGGAUAAAAUCGAAUGAAUUUCAUUUUUCGAGCCUACGGACUAAAUUACAAAGUAUUAAAAGUUACCAUUUUGCCAAAAAUGUAUGCUGGACUAAAUUAAAAAUGAAUUAUAUUGAAUUGAGUUAAAUUAAUUCGUAUAGAUCCGGUUAGACCUCGUAUGGAGUUCUAUUAGGGCAAAGGAAAAAUAUCAGAUUAGUCGCCUUCGUAUCUACGUACACUUGUCGAGGUAAGUUCAUGUAAUUAAAUUGUGUAAUUAUAUGCUUUGAUUGAAUUAGAUGUAUGUUAUUUGCAUUAUCAUCAUAAAUGAAUAUCGAUCGCAUAUCUGAUGACGUACGACGAUUACCGAGCCCCAUUUGAACCUUAAGAAUUAGUAGGAUAUAAAUAACAUGUCAUUAGGGUUAUCGAUUUCAGUUCUUAUGAGCUUACCGAUACUCAGCUCGUAUGAGCUUACUGUUAUUCAGCUCGGAGGAGCUUACUGUUUACAGCUCGUAUAAGCAUACAUGUACAUGAGUUGAUGAAUUACAGUUUAAUACACCUCGUGUGUACUACUACAUAUCCAAUAAUAAUCUAAAUGGUUCAACGUGCACUGUUCUGUUAUGAUAUUACAUGAGUUCAAUACGAACUAAUACAGGUAUUUACAUAAGAUAUAUGAAAAUGAUUUGUACAUGAUAUGUAGAUACAUGAUGUGAAAAUUAUAUGUACAUGGAAAUUUGAUAAUUGUUGAGCUCAUACAUGUUUCUUGAUAUUUAUAUGAAUUACAUGACUAAAAUGGUUGAUCAAGAUAUGUGUUUAGGCUUCUAUCCAAAUUGAGUUUGGAUAUGUUUUGUAUGCUUACCUUAAAUGUGACUAAAUGGUAAGUUAAAUUCUAUGUUAUACGAACUUACUAAGCUUAAAUGCUUACUCUGUGUUAUUUUUCGUGUUUUUAGUGAUUCAGAAGCUCGUUCGGGUUGGAAGCUUGUCGGAGCUAUAUCACACUAUCCAUUGGCUCUUUUGGUACACUCAAUUGUUUAAUUUCAGUUAUAAUGGCAUGUAUAUGUUAAUUUGGCCAAUGUUGGCUUAUAUGUGUUUUGUUGAGAUUAGCCAUUUGUUUGGUUUGUGUUAUAGAAUUUUAGAUAUGUUCAUAUUUUGCUUAUUAUAGUUGACGUGUAGUUUGGUUCAUGAUUGAAUAAAGAGUGGUAAAAAGGUAGCCUAAUGUGCAUUUCAUAUAUGUGUUUUGGAAUGUGAAGAAUUGAUCAUGAAUUAGUGUCUGGAUAUGUAAGGCAUAUAAGUUAAAUAUGUUAGUAUGUGAAAUACAAUUUGGCAUCAAAUGAUGUGUUUUGGAAGGCAAGUAAUUUGGUAAGAAAUGAUGUAAAUCUGCUUAAUAAACUUUGGAUGCAAAUAUGCAUAUAAGUGAGUUAAACAUUUGGAUAUAAUGAAUACAUGAAAAUUCUUAUUAUAAGUUGUCAUUUGAGGUGCCUAAGGGCAUAUUGGUUGUAUGUAAUAAUAUUACAUGUUUUAAGCUUGAUUUUGGCUGGUUUUGGAUGCCUAUUUAUGACUUGGUUAUAUGCAAAAUGUUGUGUUUAGGUUGGUACCAAGUUGGGUGAGAAAUGUGGCUUGGAAAAUGACCUAUUUUCAUACACAUGGGUAGAGACACGGGCGUGUGUCUCAACCGUGUAGGUGAUAUGGCCGUGUGUCCCCUGUAUCUUUUAAAGAAUGCAAGUUAGUAUGCUCACACGGCCUGGCACAUAGGCGUGUGGCUUGGCCGCGUAACCCAAGUCAGUGAGUUACACGGGCAUGGACACAGGCUGGGACACGGUCUUAUGUCCCUAUUUCGAAUACCCACACAACCUAAGACACGGGCGUGUCUUUUGGCCGUGUGAGUCACACAGCCUGGCCACACGGCCAUGUGACCCCUGCAGUUUUGAAAUUUUUAUAAGUUUCUGAAAACUUCUCUGAAUUUUUUAUUUAGUCCCGAAUUAUUUCUAAGGUGUAUUUUGGGUCUCGAGGACUUGUAUUAGGGACAAUAUGCAUUAUUAUGAUUGGUUUCUGACAUGAAUACUAUAUGUUAUGAAAUGUUUGAAUUUUCUGUCCAUUUAAAUUGUAAACUUCGGUAAUACUCCUAACCCUAUUCCAGCGACGGAUUCGAGUUAGGGAUGUUACAAAAGGAGAAAAAGAAAAAAUAAGGAAAAGAAUUGUAAGGAAGGAGAAGAACAAAAAAUAAAAAUAAAAAAACUAAAAAUAAGUUUUAAACAAAAACAAUUAUUAAAAUAAAAUUGAUUUCCCGAUAGCACACCAAAAUAUUUCCUUAUUUCUUAUGCAGAGACUCAAACAUGAGACCUUAGGUAAUAUAAAACUUAAUCAUUAAACCAGAUGACUCAUUCUUGACACAAAUUAAUGUAGACACAAACUUAAGUCAAACAUUCAAGAAUAAGAGUUGAAACAAAAGAAUAAUAAAAUUCUCUAAAAGUACGACUUGAACCCUCGAUCCAAAAACCAACACAUAUAACUUAACCACUGAAGCAGAUACUUGCUUAUAAAUAGACACUAAUAGUAACAAUUCAAAAUUUGGGGCGUUACAGGGGCAGACAAAGAGGAAAGAGUAAAUUUUUGGGGGAAAAGUAAAAAUGUUUGGGGUUUGGGUUUUGAGGUAAAAUGUAAAAUAUUAUAGUUUGGUAUUCGGCUUAAUCGAAUUAUUCGGGUUAUUUGAAUUCAAAAACUCAACUUGACUCGAACUUGAAAUUAAAAAAAAUCUAGUUGAUUUGAUUAAUUCGAUUAGAAUAAUUCAAAAUUCGAGCUUUUUUCAAUUUUUUCGAGUCUAUUCAAAUUUUGCUCACCCUUAAUACUGGGAACCAAUUAGGAUACUAGUUUGGAGAUAGGGCUUGAACCAAUUAACCUGCAAACUGAUACAGAUUUAUUGAGCCGAGCUAAAAAAAAACUAGUUGAACUAGUUUUCUCUAUUUUUUAUUUUUAUCUUUAUGAAUUUUUAAUAAUUGAUUUCAUCAAACUGGAUAAAUUGAUUAAACCAGUAACUAAUGAUCUAGCUAGUUUGAAUAUGGUAAUUUUUAAUUGGUUAUCAUUUUUUAAAUAGACUUAACGAUUUGAGUAAAAUUUAAACUAACAAAUGUAUCAAUUUGAGAAAAAAUAAAUUAAGUACCACAUGUGACAAAAAUGUUUAAGUAUCAAAAUAAAAAAAAUAUAAUUUAAAUACAAAUUUGUAGAUUAAGGUUUCUUUUAACAAACUUAACGGAUUAAGGAAAUUAUCAAUUUGAGAAAAAAAAUAAUUUCGAUAACAGUCGCUGGUGACAAAAAAGGAAUUAACUACCAAAAUGAGAGAAAAGGGAAAAGAUUGAUAUAAUGUGAAUUGAAUGACAUGUGGCUGGUUGUAAUACCCAACAAGCUUUAACAGGUGUCACUGAUUAAAAUUAUAUCAUAUGUAUUCUAUCAAAAAUAUAUUAUGUAAAAUUACAAUUUUUAAAUUUAAUAAAAAAAUAUAUUAAAAAUUUUAACUCCGGCCAAAACGUGAAAUAAAUCGUUUUUUAACAGUGUUUUGGAAAAAAAAAUUAGGGUUAAGUACCGAAAUGAUCACUAGAGUAUUACUUGUGUUUUAUUUUGAUUACUAAAUUUUUAAUUAUUUUUAUUUUAGUCACUAAACUAUAUGAAAUCAAAUAUUUUUGUCACUAAAUGUUAAUGACCGUUUGAAAAUUUUUCGAAAGUGUUGAAAUGUGUUAUUUUUUAUUUGUCUAAUAAAAAAUUUAAUCUUCUUUACACAUUCUAUCAAUUUGAUUCUAAAUAUAAAAAAUCAAUAAAUUUAACACCAAAUGUUUACAAAAUUUGUCACUUUAGUUCAAAUUCUAAAAAACAAAAUUAAUAAAUUUAGCUCUUAACAUUUACAAAAUGAAAAUUUUUAAUUUUUAAAAAUUUUGUAAAUUAAAAAGAAAAACAAGUGUAAUAAUUGUAAAAAUUAUUAACAAUUAAAAAAAUCCAUAAAGCCGUUAGCUACCUCAUAGUCAGUGCCAUUUAAAAACAUGCUUAGCCAUAAUAGUACAAGAAUUAAUGAAAAAGUAGAGUAAAAUUCAAAACAAUCAAUCUUAUCGAUAUACUUUUUCAAGGCUUUUAAUGUAAACUAAAAAUUCUUGUCCCAUCUUGUUCUUCUUCUUUUUUCUACAUUGGUUUAAAUUAUUAUUUGCUAUUAAGACAUUGUCAAUUUCAGUAUUUGUCUCAUUGCUUGAUCUUCACAAGAAAUUCUAGAAACAUAGUAUUGUGUUUUUGAGAAACCGUGAACCUUGUUUUGUUAAUCUAGGUUUACACCAAAUUUCAUUAUUGUACUCUACUUGUGAUUUAUUUGUGAUUCUUUUUUCAAUUUCUUGUAUUUGAAAAUAGAGUAUUAGUGAUUUUUUAGUACUGCUGCUAGUUAUGUAUGAAGUUGCUCAAAUUUAUGUGUUUAGCCAAAGGGUAGGGGAAUCAAUGCAUCCGCUACACUUACUUUCAAUGUUUCGCCUUGUCUUGGGGUUAAACUAAAGUUGAAGUCUCAUUUUAAAGUUGAGAGAUUAGAUCGUGGUGAUGAUAAUUAUUUCUUUUUUUUUUUUAAGUUUAUUUAGGUUUGUGUGUUGAGUUUUUUAAAAAAAAAUUUACAAACUUUUAAAAAUCAAAUCUUGUCAUUUUGUAAAUGUUGAUAGUUAAAUUUAUUGAAUUCUUUUAGAAUUUGAAUUAAAAUGAAAAAUUUUGUAAACAUUGAGGGCUAAUUUUGUUGAAUUUUUUUAUAUUGAAGACCAAAUUGAUAGAAUAUAUAAAUAUUAAAAAACUAAAUUUAUUAUUAGACCAAUAAAAAAAAACCAAUUCCACACUUCUUUUAAAUUUCAAACUGCUCUUAACAUUGAGUGAAGAAAAUAUUUAGUUUUAUAUUAUUACCAAAAUAAAUAAAAAUAAAAAUUCAAUCAACCAAAUAAUCUAUAAAUAGAUUUAGAAUGUUGCAUGAUAUAUAUAUUAAAAAAAAGAAAAAAAAACGAUGCAUGUGCCCUAAUGUUGUGAAGUUUUUUUUUUCAUUGAAAAUAACAAAAUAACUAUUUGUUUAUAUUUUAUAUUAGUUCUAUGGCAUACCGCGUGGAAAAGGAAAAUUCAUGUAAAUAAUAUAUUUAUAAAAAUUUAUAUUAAAACUAAAUGAGAUUUUAGUUGAAAUAGUUAAGUUAAAAAGUGUAAAAUUUAUGAGCUAUAAGUUUAAAUCCUAUUGUAGUGUUAUUUAUAAAAAAAAUGAGAAAAGAUAAAAAUACCUUUAUAUUAAUAUUUGUUAUAUUAUAAAAUAAGGAUAUUUUUAACAAAUUUUCAAUUGAAUAGAUGUUUGGGUGAAUCCUAAUACCAAUUAAAGUAUAUAUACACAAACAAUUAUAAAUCAAAUUACUUUUAAUAAAAUGCUAUCAUUCAAUUCAAUGACAAUAAAUGCAUUUAUAAAUACAUCAAAUGUAAAUCUCAUGUUUAUAAGAAAACACGUAGAAAAAAAGUUAAACCAAUAUUUGAGUCCUAGCUGUGGAGGCAUGAUUGAGUGAAAUCAAAUGGACGCUGGUUUUAAUUCUAUUGAAAGAAACCAAUAAUCACGUAGGUUGGCAGUUGAACAUAAUUGAAUGGUCUCAACUUUUAAUGUGGUGUUAAUGUUUGGAUCGGAUAAUCUCAACUUACCUAAUAGCUAGGAAAGUAAAAUUCAAACAUCACCCGCUACUACUUUUGGCUAUAAAAACCCUCCUACCCUCAAGCCCUAACCACGACAAUCACCAAUAGUACUACUACUCCAAGCAAGUAUUUUCCUUACACGUUUGUUUUUCUUGUGAUUAAUCGAUAUGGCUAGCUCAAUGUCCCUUAAACUUGCAUGUGUGGUGGUGUUGUGCAUGGUAGUGGGUGCACCCCUGGCUCAAGGGGCCGUAACCUGUGGUCAAGUCACAAACUCCCUCGCACCCUGCAUUAAUUACUUGAGAGGGAGUGGUGCUGGUGCCGUUCCCCCAGGUUGCUGCAGCGGCAUCAAAUCUCUCAACUCCGCCGCCCAAACAACACCAGACCGGCAAGCAGCUUGCAGAUGCAUCAAAAGUGCGGCCGCCGGCAUUACUGGCAUCAACUUUGGCCUUGCAAGCGGACUCCCAGGCAAGUGCGGUGUCAACAUCCCUUACAAGAUCAGCCCUAGCACUGACUGCAACAGGUUCGUAUGAGUUGUUUCAUUGCUUAUGCUUAUUAAUUGCUCAACAUUUA
rnacentral:lncRNA from 1 species